rnacentral:lncRNA from 1 species
UCAAAUCAAAUAUAAAGAUGGCAAAAAGAUGCAAUUAUUGAUAGCUGGAAAAAGAUAUUUAGGACUCCUACUACAACAAAACAAAGAAAGUGAAAUUGAAAUACAGUUUGGAGUAAUAAUAUAUGUUUCAUGAAAUGAAAUUAUAAAGCAUAAAACCCAGCCCAGAAGUUAUCGUUUCUUCCAAUCAAGGCAAAUAACAAAUGCCUUUCUUUUAGUCAAAGGCAAAUAGUGAUACUUAGAUUUCUACUUUGGAGAUUCAUACUUUUUCUAUAGAAUGGUUUUGCAUGAAGGGUAAAUGAACUCGGAGCUAGCAAGACAACAGAGGUUAGAUAGUUCUGACAGAGGAAGAGGUAGGUAAGUUGAGGUUAUACAUUCAUACAUACGUAGUAGGAGGAUGACUACUUCUGAUGAGUCUGAAACAAAAGUAAAAGAAAUUAUGAAUGCAGCUCAAAUACAUCUAGUUGUGGCCACACUGCUAGUGACGGUCACAUUUCACGUUACCGGGAGGUUUUGAGAGCGAUCACCCUAGCACAGGAAUAGCGAUUCUGACGAAAAAAUCAGCAUUCUGUGCAUUCGUUGUUACGGAUGCCAUUGCCUUUGUAUGCUCCGCAGGUGCUGUGUUUAGCUACUUCGUCAUGGCUGCGAAUCACAGGCCAAAGACCGCAAAAGAGCUGAGAGUUCUGAUGGACAUUUGUAGAGUUGCAACAAUUUUGCAGUUCCUUUCAAUGUCUGCAGUUGUCAUUGCAUUUAUAAAUGCUUUGUAUGCUACUUUGUCACAUUCUAUUGGUCUAGCUAAUACUGUUUGUGCCAUUGGUUGCGCCUCUUUUUUUAUUUAUGUGUUGGUUUUUUAUCUUUAUUAAAAGAGGAAUGGAUGAAGAGUCAUGAAGCUUUUAGGGCGCGUUUGGUACGAGGCAUAAGGAAUAAUAAUCUCGGAAUGAAAUAUGAAGAUGGUUGGUUAGGGGUAGUUUUGCGAUUAUUUAUCCCAUAUCAAAUGACCCCUUACUGAGCUGCGGUCUUGCAUCAAGGGCGGAGCGAGGAGGCACAAGGGCAAGGUUUCGAUCCUUCGUCAGAAAAUUAUUAGACCCAACAUACAAGGUCAAAAUUUUUUUGUUAUCUAUAUUUAAUAGAUGUUGAAUCUUGUCUAACUUUCUUCUUUAUAUUUUGAAUCGUCUAUGUCUACGGUUGUGUAUUUGCUUGGCAUACUAAUGUAAAUAUUUGUACUAAUCGUCUAUCCCACUUAGAAGGAGUAUAUUUUAGGGUUAAAAUAUUUGAUCAAACCAAAGAUACUUAUAUAGGAAAGCAAUUUGUGCUCUAUCUAAAUAGUAGCCUCUAAAAGGCUAUUUGUGCAAAUGCUAGCUCCAUAUGGCCACCAAUUAUGAACCUCACACAUGAUUGCAUAGAAAUAGCCAUUUCGACUUGUCUUUAAAAAACAACCACUGUCAUGAAGUUUCAAAUUCCUCAAACUCUUCUUUACAAUGUCUUGAAGUGCUACCUAUGAAAUUUGUGGCUAUCUUUCAACUAUAUGGCUCAAAAGUGGUUAUCUUUUAAAUAUUACCCCAUGAUUGACCGAAUAAAGGUCGAUAAUAUAAUAAGCUAAUUAAAAAUAUACUCUGUAUGACAGUUUAAGAACUUUUAGAUGAAAUAAUUGUACACGUUAAUAACAGUACCAUUUGGCGGCUAAUAUGAGACAUAAUUUAAAUAGUAGCCUCUGAAAAGGCCAUUUGUGCAAAUACUAGCUCCACAUGGCCACCAAUUAUCAACCUCACACAUGAUUGCAUAGACAUAGCCAUUCGACUUCAAAAGUGGUUAUCUUUUGAAUUUUACCCUAUGGUUGGCCGAACAAAGGUCGAUAACAUAAUAAAAUAACUAAAAAUAUACUCAAUAUGACAGUUUAAGAACUUUCAAAUGAAAUGAUCGUACAAGUUAAUAACAGUACCUUUUGGCGGCUAUCUCAGCUGCUACAAUCGAAGCCGAGGGACCAACAUUUGAACUCAGCUCCAAACCAUUUACCAUAGAUCGAUUCGCCAUCGAACCGUUACAAAUGGAGCCAACUUUGUUAGGAAAGUCAUUAUUACUAACCUCAGAGUAACCUAAACUUAAAGACCUCCAUAAUUCUACUUUUUCAUCUAUUUCCCUUUUUUUCUCAUUAUUAAUUUCAUAAUAAUUUUCACUCAUUUUCUUGUCCAAAAUAUCUCUAUAAUCUAAUGAAUUAGGAUUAAUAAUUUCAUUAUUAAAAAGUAAUGACAUACUUUUUAUUGAAUUUUCAAUAAUAGCCACUCCCAUGUUUAAUAUUCCUUGUGGAUUUCCAGAUGGCCUCCUAAUUUGUAAUGCAACAAAUCUUUUUCCAUUUAAUGAUUUUUGGAAUUUAACAAAUGGAUUAAUUAAAUUGUUUAAUUGAACAUUAAUUGUACCUACUAAAACAUCUCUAAACCAAGAAACACUGUAAAUUUCAACAUGCAUUGUAGAAUUUUCUGAAUAUUGAAACUCAUCAUCGACCUGUAAAAAAAAAAAAAAAAGUUAGAGAAAAUUAUCAAAUGCAUGUUAUUGAAUCCUCUCGUUUGAAUUUCUAACUCAGACAAAUUGAAUUUAAAGAAAAUAUAUAUGUAUAGAUAUAAAAAUAUAUAACGUGAAAAACCUUGGAGAACUUGUCAUUCCACGUUGGGUUGUUGUGACCUUCAUUAUCAAAUCUUAUAGUUUUCUUUUUAUUAGGAUUAAUCCAUGUAACAGCAUAAGUACGUAGAAAUUUCGAAAUAGGAGCUAACUCUUGGGCAGAAAUUAGACUAAUUUCAAGAAUAUUAUUGAUAGAGGGAAAUUAUUGAUGUUAUUAUUAGGGAUAUUGACAUUGUUGUUGUUGUUGUUGUCGUCGUUGUCAUUGGUGGUGAUGGGGUCCAUCUUUGUUGUGUUAUUUUCGCCGUCUGUGGCGGCGGCGACGAGGAGGAGAUGGUGGUGGUGGAGAUUGGAAAUGGCAUCAAGAGAGGAGGAUCGAAGAAGAUAUAAUAUGUGUGUGUGUUUUAGUUUUGUUUUGAGUUUUUUGCAUGCAUGCAUGGAUGCUAAUUUUAUGGCUAUUAUUUAGGGUUAUUUUGUGUGUUUUGAAUCCUUCUAGAUUAUUCAACUUUAGACAAAUUUAAAUGUAGCGAAUAAUAGCGAGGUUUGGGAAUAGAGUUUCAUUAUAUAUUGAUUGGUGAGUUGAUUAAUAUCAAAUAUGAAAGGGAAAUCGUGUGGUUAUAUACGAUAUUUAUUUUUGUUUCGUUUGGUGUUUGGUACCUGUUUUGAGGUUUUGACCUCGAUAAUUCAGAUUUGUACAACCUAAAGACUCGUUAAAAGAAAAAGCGUUCCAUAUCAAUGAUCCUCUAGUUAUCUCUUUUUGGUCUGUCAUCUAAUAUCCGACACCCAGGGAUACACAACAACAACAACAACAAACUCAAUGUAUUUCCAUAAAGGGGAUCUUGACAGGGUAGAGUGUACACAGUUCAUACCGUUACCUCAGAUGAAGUAGAGAGGCUGUUUUCAAUAGACCCCCGGCUCAGAACUGACAUCCGAGGGUUCAACUUGACUAAUUUGAAUUCACAUCUCGUAAGACUCAUUAAAAGAGAAAACACUCCAUAUAUACCAAAAUGAAUCAUUCAUUCACUUUGCUCAAGCCUAAGAUCCUCUAAUUAUCAAUUUUUGGUCUCUCAUUCGACGUUCAGUACGUGUUUUGAAACACUGACUUGACUAAUUCAGAUUCACGAUGCAUAAGUCUCAUUACGAAAAAAAGUGUUCGGGAUUUCUUUCAUUCUCAAGGCUCGACCUAAGACCUCUUAUUAACGGUGGAAGGAUGAUAUCCAUAUAUAUACCAUCACAUCCUUCCAUAUCAAUAUUGCAAAAUUAAAAGCUAAAAAUUGUACUAUAUCCAUUUAUUUUUAUUAAAUAGAAAAGUAUAGUAAUACAUCUAAAACGAGGAAGAAGAAAUUAAAUUGAAUAAAGAAUUAUACAAAUGAAUAUAUAUAAAGGGAAUUGGUGGGUGGGUGGGAAUUAAAUUUCUCUGCUGAUUAAUUAAAGUUCAAACCUAAUCUCCACCUUGGUUCACCAAUAAUCUGCACCAAAUAAAAUAAUUAAGAUUUAAUUUAUUAUAUGAGUGCAAAUAAAUUAAUUUGUAAAUAUGAGAACAUCAAGAUAGUCAUGUUAAGUAACCAAUACAAUACUGUAUAGUAUUCGAUAUCCGCAUGGGAAUGCGAUUCAUUCGAAUUCUCGUCAAGUAUUAAAGUUGAAAAUCAAAGUAGACACCGCCACACGGAUACCUGAGUUGUUUAGGGUCUCUAAAAAUAUUGUUGCGCCCAUGUUGAAUCCAUCAAAAAUACACUACUUCUGAAGAUGACCUUUUUGAAGAGACCGAGCAACAUAGACGGACCCAUGUGAAAAAAAAAUGUGGGAAUUGUAAUCUUGAAAAUAAUUAAAACAUGUUAUCGAUGUAGUACAAUUUUAUUGCUUUUUGACUCUUUAGAAAUGGUGACGAAUAAGCGUCAGAUCCUUCAAAAAUGCUGCACUUUUUAAAAAAAAAUUCGACAAGAUGUCCUAAAAUGUAGUCAGAAAUUUCGAACAACACGUUGUCACAACGACUUCUCUCUAGAUGACUCGUUGGGUCUGAUCACGAGUCUUUAGGAGGGGGAUCGCUGACAGGGACUUGAUUUCUUUCUGUUGUGAUGACGAGUUCACCUAACGACUCGUUUGAACUGAUAACGAGUAAUAUAUGCUGGACUUGUCAUCACUGGACUGAAAGUCUUUGAUCCCUCAUUGCCGUAACACAAUAAGUCUUCACUAUGACUCAUUAUGUCUGACAACGAGUCGUUGUCACUUGCUAUAUCAUAUUAAUAUUAUUUUUAUAAUACAAAUAUUUUUUUUAUACUGACGAUAUAUAUAACUUACCAUCAUCCUUCUUGCCCCAAGACUUGAAGAAAUAAUAAACUACACCUAAUAAAAUGGUAGCCACUAUUCCUUCUGCUACAAUUGCUAUUAAUUUAUGUCUACAGAUCCUUUGCCUGUCAAAAAAAAUAAAAAUUGAUAUAUAUCUUAUGUAAAAUAAAUAAAUAAAUAAAAUGGGAUUGGAUUGGAUUAUUUUUGGCUCUUUUUAAUUUUUUUUUGUCUCUUUGUUUGAAUUUCUGGCUUCGUCAUUAUUUUAGAUGGCGUGUUAAGUAGCAUGAAAUGUUGUAGAGCAAAAUAUCUAGUACUCCCUGAGCAAAUAUCACCAAAUUAGCUGCGACACACUUUAACUUCAUCGGGAUUCUAUUACUCCCUUGAACUAAAUCUUAAAGUAUUUUUGUCAUCCUUUUUAGCUGACGUGACACCUUUUGUCAACUUUUUUAGCUGAUGCGGCACCUUUGACGCAGUUCCCAUUUUAUGUAGUAAAGAUGCCACGUCACUAUAAAAGAAUGACAAAAAUACACUAAAAUUGAAUUCAGGGAGGAUAGUACGAUCCCUGUGAAGUUGAAGUGUAUCGUAACAACUUUGACAUAAUUCAAGAGGAUACUGAAUAUUUAUCUCAAUAUUGUAGAGUAAAGCAUCUAGUAUCCUCUGAACUAUGAUCAAAUUUGCUACGACACACUACAACUUUACGGUGGUCUUAUUAUCCCUUCGAACUAAAUCUUAGCAUAUUUUUGUCAUCCUUUUUAGCUAACAUGACACCUCUUGUCAACCUCUUUAGUUGACAUGACAUCUUUGACGCAGAUCCCAUUUUAUGUAACAAAUAUGCCGCGUCAAUAUAAAAGAGAGACAAAAAUACAUUAAAAUUAAAUUUCAGAGGGAAAUAGAGUUCCUGUGAAGGAGUAUAUCGUAGAAAAAUUUGUUCAUAGUUCAAACGGGUACUGGAUGCUUAUGACAAUAUUGUAAACUCUUACAAAAACAAUUUGAGAUAGAUAACUUACCUUCGUCAAGAUCAUUAAAAAUCUUAUUUUUACCAUAAUUAUAACUCAAAUAACAUCCAUUCAAAUAAAUUUCUCCACUUAAAGAAUAUCCACAUUCAUCUUGAACAAUUUGUAUUGCUUUAUUCAAACAUUCACCACAAUCACAAACACCUAAAUUCCCAACACAUUGUGUUAUAACAUGAAAUUUUCCAUAAUUCAAAUCACAAAAUCCAUUUUCAUUAUUCAUUCUACAACUCUCAAUUUCACCAAAUGCAUAGCUCAUCUCCUCUAUAAAUCUAUGCGAUUUCGUCUUUUUUUUUACUGCAGACCUGGAGAUGACAAAAUCGACUCAUUUUUAGAUAUACAACUCGUUCGAUAUUCAAAAAUAAAAUAAAAUUUAUAACCUAUCAAGCUAUUAGGACAAAUGAGACAAAGUAGAAAUUGCACUCACUAGCCACUUUUCGACUUUAUCUUUACAAAAUGGGAAAAGGUUCAAAUAUACUACUGAACUAUCAGAAAUGGCUCAUUUAUACCAUCUGUUAAAAGUUGGACUCAUUUAUGUCAUCACCGUUAUAAAAUCGGCUCAUCCAUGCCAUUACUUUUUAACAACCGAUUUUUAAAAACAACCUUGCCAUGUGGCAGCUUAUUAGAGGGCCACGUAAUUUUUAUUUUAUUUUUUAUUUUUUUGAUCCAUAAAAAAAAAUCCACGCAACUUUUUGAUCCGUUGAAAAUUAGUUUGAUUUAUGCUUUUAAAAUUUAUUUAAUUUUUCAUGAAUAUAUUCUUAAAACAUUCUCGUUCGAUUCAUUUUUUUUUUUUUUUUCAUUUUUGACAUAUUAGUUGAUUAAAGUUCGAGAUCCGUUAAAGGUAAUUCUUAACAUGUUGAUAAAAAAACGAAUUAAAAAUUUAAUAAUGAUCAAACUAAAAUUUUGAAAAAAUGGUUGAUUUUUGACAUAUUAGUUUGUCAAUGAACAUUCAUGAAUUAACAUUCUCGAACGAUUAAAGUUAAUUCUUAAAACAUUCUCGAACGAAUAUAUUUUUGAAAAUUAGUUUGAUCCAUUAAAGUGUUGGCAUAUAUAGUUGCGUGGAUUUUAAAAGCAUAGAUCAAACUAAUUUUCAAUGGAUCAAAAAGUUGCGUGGAUUCAUUUUAAUGGAUCAAAAAAAAAAAAUUUUUUUAAAAAAAAUUUUUAAAAUUUUUUUAAAAAAAUAAAAAAUGACGUGGUCCUCUAAUAAGUUGCCACGUAGCAAGACUGUUUUUAAAAACCGGCUGUUAAAAAGUAAUGGCAUGUAUGAGCCGAUUUUGUAACGGCGAUAACAUAAAUGAGCCCAACUUUUAACGGAUGACAUAAAUGAGUCAUUUCUGAUAGUUCAGUGACAUAUUUGAGCCUUUUCCCUUAAAAAAUAGCCACUAUCGUGGAGGUUCGAAUUUUAUGAAUGAAAUUGCAUGAUAGUAGCUAUUUUUCUAUUACAGUUGCUGAAAAGUGGCUAUUUGUGAAUUUUAUCCUAAGUCAAAAUAGUGUAACAAAUAUAUAAAAUUAAUUUGAAGAUGGUGAAAACCCCAAUGAUUGAGAAAUAAAAAAUAAAAAAAAUUAAACCAAACAUCAUUAGAGGAAAAAAUGAAAAAAAUCCUUACUUUUUAUUAGAAAAACUAAAACAAUUUAUCCAAAGAUUGGAAUUUAUUUUAUUUUAUUGUUUUUAAAACAAAUUCCACCUAAGAAUUAUGUAAAUUUUGAACAACUUCGAAUUAACAAUUGAAGAAAAAAAAUAUUAUCCUUCAAAUUGUUUAAAAAAAAAAGGAGGGAAGGUCAGGUCACGUUGAACAACUCAAGUUAUACAAUUCAAAUUCGACUCAUUUCAACUCAAACACAAUUUAGACAAGUCGCGUCAUGAUACGUUUAUCAAUUCUGACCUGUCCAAAUUUGACCUGACACGUCGAUUUUCCACCUCUAUAUUAUAUAUACUAAUCUUAUGAAGCAUUUGAAGUUUGAAAAUCUCCCUCUCUUCCUCUAAUUUGUAAUCCAAAUAGCAACCAUAAAGUUGAACUCUAGAUGGAAUUCUUCCUCCACAAAAUUGGCUAUAAAUGUCAAAUAGGCUAUUUGUGCAAAUAUGACAUUCAUUAUAAUUAAGGUCAUUUCUACAUGGAAAUAAUCCCAAAAUUGCUAUUUUCUCAUCACCUACAUAUGUUCCAAAAAAUUUUGAUUCUAAAGAUUUAUUAAGAAAUUCUUGAAAUAAUGAUGAAACAAUUGAUAAUUUUGAAAAAUAAUAAUUUUGGAAUGUUUGAUUUUGUGUACAUGUUGUAAAAACUAAUUGAUUUAGGUCUAUAUUAUGGGAGUUAGAAAAUUGUAGCAUAAAAUUAAGAAAGAAAAAUUUAAGGAAGAAUUGAUAAUUAAGAAAAAUUAAAAGAUUUGAUUGUGAAAAAUAUCCCAUUUGGGAGAAUAAAUUUGAUGUUAAAAAGUUAAUAACAAAGUAAUAAAGCUCUAAGUAUGUAAUAUAUAGAUAAAUAUUAAGGCUUUAGGUAGGAAAAAUAUUAUCCACUAAAUAUUUAAAAAUACAAUAAUAAGAGAGCAACCUUUUUGGGAUAAGCAUAAUUAAAGUUGUGUUAGAAACUCAUUUUCUUUGUUAGGUUUAACCAAAGUUUAAUUAGUUAUUUUCUUCGUCUUUAAUUCACUUAUUCAUUAAUGGACCCCAACUCUUUUUUAUUAAUAAUUUUGUCAAUUAAUCCAUGAUUUAAGGAUCAAAUAAUGAUGAGUUGGACAAUAAAAAAAAUUCCACAAAUUUGUGGACCUCUUUUUAUGAGCCAAUAUUUUAUAUUCAUAUUAAUUAUAUGGUCUACUUUAAUGUGGGACCCACCAUUGACACAUUAAAAAAAUACUACUGUUAUAAUCUCAACUUUCAUUGGUCACCACUAAUUACCAUUUGCAUAAGCAAACGAAAACGAAAUCACACUCAACAAGUGGUUAUACUUAUUUAAUAUCGUGACGAAAUAGUAAGUAUUUUUUAUUUUUAAUUAACUAAAAAUAUUUAAUUUAAAUUUAAAAGUAUUUUAUCGCCAAAGUAAAUUUAUUAGUGUAAAUUUAAAUCUUGAAAUGAGAAUCUAAAAUUAAACGAAAAAUAAAAAUAAUAAGUGAUCCAUAAUAAAUUGCGGAGGGACCUACCUAAAAAAAAUGUGCGAUACAAAUUAUUUCUUUUACAUUAAAGUUUCAAAUAUUAUAUUGAAUUAAAGAUGAGUCAAUUCAUUGGCCAUAGCAAAAAUUCAUGAUCAAUAAUGAAAUGUAGAAAAUCAUAUAUAAGUUAAAUCACUUUUUUUUUCUUGAAAAUAUUUGUUUAAAAUUAUAAUUCAUAUUAUUUAAGAUAACAAUUUCUUGAAAAAUAUAUGAUAUUUAAUGGUAGUAUGUUAGGUAGAAUUCAUGAUCAAUAAUGAGAUAUAAAAAAUCACAUAUAAGCUAAAUCACUUUUCUUUCUUGAAAGGAUAAAACUAUUUUCAUAUUAUUUAAGACCACAAUUUCUUGAAAACUAUAUGAUAUUUAAUGGUAGUAUGUUAGGUAGAAUUCAUGAUCAAUAAUGAGAUAUAAAAAAUCACAUAUAAGCUAAAUCACUUUUCUUUCUUGAAAGGAUAAAACUAUUUUCAUAUUAUUUAAGACCACAAUUUCUUGAAAAAUAUAUGAUAUUUAAUGGUAGUAUGUUAGGUUUAUUAGAGAUUUAUAUACUAGUAAAAAAUUAAAAUAACUUUUAAAACAAUAAUUUUCAUACUAGUCGAUAGUGAAUACGUAAAGAUGUUAUUUGUUGUUUCUUAAUAUGUAGAUGUGUGACAAGUCGAUAAUGGACACGUAAAAAUGUUAUUUGUUGUUUCUUAAUAUGUAGAUGUUUGAUAAGUCGAUAGCGGACACGUAAAAACACUAUUUGUUGUUUCUUAAGAUGUAGAUGCGUGACAAGCCGAUAGUGAACACGUAAAGAUGUUAUUUGUAAUAUGUAAAUGUGUGACAAGAUGCGUGACAAGUCGAUAGCGGACACGUAAAGAUGUUAUUUGUUGUUUCUUAAUAUGUAAACGUGUGACAAGCCGAUUGCGGACACGUAAAGAUGUUAUUUGUUAUUUCUUAAGAUGUAGAUGUGUGAUAAGUCUAUAGUUGACACGUAAAGAUGUUAUUUGUUGAUUCUUAAUAUGUAAACGUGUGACAAGUCGAUAGUGGACGCGUAAAGAUGCUAUUUGUUAUUUUUAAAGAUGUAGAUGUGUGACAACUCAAUAGUGGACACGUAGAGUUAGAGAUGCUAUUUGUUGUUUGUUAAGAUGUAGAUGCACGAAAAGUCGAUAGAGGACACGUAAAGAUGCUAUUUGUUGUUUCUUAAGAUGUAGAUGUUUGAUAAGUCGAUAGAGGACACGUAAAGAUGCUAUUUGUUGUUUCGUAAGAUGUAGAUGUGUGACAAGUCGAUAGUGGAUAUGCAGAGAUGCUAUUUGUUGUUUCUUAAGAUGUAGAUGUGUGACAAGUCGAUAGUGGACAUGCAGAGAUGCUAUUUGUUGUUUCUUAAGAUGUAGAUGUGCGAUAAGUCGACAGUGGACACGUAAAGAUGCUAUUCAUUGUUUCUUAAUAUGUAGAUGUGCGACAAGUCGAUAGUGGACACGUAAAGAUGCUAUUCAUUGUUUCUUAAUAUGUAGAUGUGUGACAAGUCGAAAGUGGACACGUAAGAUGCUACUUUUUUUUCUUAAAGAUGUAGAUGUGUGACAAGUCAAUAGUGGACACGUAAAGAUGCUAUUUGUUGUUUUUAAUAUGUAGAUGCAUGUGUGUCAAGUCAAUAGUGGACACGUAAAGAUGCUAGUUGUUUCUUAAUAUGUACACGUGUGACAAGUCGAUAGUGGACAUGUAUAGAUGCUAUUUGUUGUUUCUUAAUAUGUAGUGGACACAUAAAAAUACUAUUUGUUGUUUCUUAAGAUGUAGAUGCGUGACAAGUCGAUAGUGGACAUGUAAAGAUGCUAUUUGUUGUAUCGUAAUAUGUAGAUGGGUGACAAGUCCAUAGUAAACACGUAAAGAUGCUAUUUGUUGUUUUGUAAUAUGUACACGUACGUGUGACAAGUCGAUAGUGGACACGUAAAGAUGCUAGUUAUUGUUUCUUAAUAUGUAGAUACAUGACAAGUCGAAAGUGGACACGUAAAGAUGUUAUUUGUUGUUUCUUAAGAUGUAGAUGUGUGACAAGUCGAUAGCGGACACGUAAAGAUGCUAGUUGUUGUUUCUUAAUAUGUAGAUGCGUGUAAAGUUGAUAGUGGACAUGUAAAGAUGCUAUUUGUUGUUUCUUAAUAUGUAGAUGCUUGACAAGUCGAUAGUGAACACGUAAAGAUGCUAUUUGUUGUUUCUUAAUAUGUAGAUAUGUGACAAGUCAAUAAUGGACACGUAAAGAUGUUAUUUGUUGUUUGUUAAUACGUAGAUGUGUGACAAAUCAAUCGUGAAUACUAAAGAUGCUAUUUGUAGUUUCUUAAAAUGUAGAUGCGUGAAAAGUCAAUAGUGGAUAAUAUGUAGAUGUGUGACAAGUCAAUAGUGGACACGUAUAGAUACUAUUUGUUGUUUCUUAAGAUGUAGAUGCGUGACAAGUCAAUAGUGGAUAAUAUGUAGAUGUGUGACAAGUCGAUAGUGGACAUGUAAAGAUGUUAUUUGUUGUUUCUUAAAAUGUAGACGUGUGACAAGUCAAUAGUGGAUAAUAUAUAGAUGUUUGACAAGUCGAUAGUGGAUACGUAUAGAUACUAUUUGUUGUUUCUUUAGAUGUACAUGUGUGACAAGUCAAUAGUGGACAGAUCCACAGUAGACACAUAAAGAUAGUGUUUGUUGUUUCUUAAGAUGUAGAUGUGUGACAAGUCAAUCUUAAAUACGUAAAGAUGCUAUUUGUUGUUUGUAGACGUGUGAUAAAUCAAUCGUGGAAAAGUAAAGAUGGACGGAGGAAAGUAAAUUGAACCCCACAGUUGAUUGAAGUCCCAUUAUUGGUGUAGAUGAGAUAAUCCCAACAUUGAUGACUUGAGUGAAUGAUUGUUUUUUUAGACAAAUUGGAAUCUUUCUAUUAAAUAUAAUAUAAUAUAUACCCACGAAAGUCUUGAUUUUCGAGCCCCAAACAAAUUGUUUGUCAGAUUCUUGGAUUUUAAGGUUCAUUUUCUUAUCUUUUACUUGAACCCCAUGUUGAAUUUUAUCUUUAAUUUCAGUUUUAAUGUAUAUUAUCAAUGUUGUGUUAAUAGUGUUAUAUGCUUAUCUAGUCCAUUUUCUUUUUGUAUAAUUAGAAUUUUGCUAUUUUUAGAUAACUGUGGUGUCUGAGACAGCUUGCGUGCUUGACUAAUUUCACGGGAUACGUGUUACCUUCCACCGGCAAUAGGUAUCAGGUAACUCUGUUCAAAUUUGCUGUAUUUGAACUUGGUUGUUGAUGAUUUUCAGGAAAGUUUGCAACAUAUUCUUGUUUAAUUUCAACUUUAUUUCAGUUGAAUGUAUAUAUCAAUGUUGUUUCAUUGGUGUUAUAUGCUUAUGGAUUCCAAUUUUGUUUGUGUUUUUAUGUUUCUAUUGUGCUUGUAUGGUUUGAAUUUUGGAUUAGUUGAAUUGGGUUGUUGAUAGUUUUCAAAGGGGAGUUUUGGAGUAAUUGGUAAAGUUGUCGCCAUGUACUGGCGCAAAUAGGCCAUUUUUUCGGGUUAAGUCGGCGUGCUAUAGCCCUCAGUUCUGGGGUGUGCCCGGUGGACGGGAGUGUUUUGGUCGGAUAAUCGACCUGGGGCUCCUAGGCAGGUCACGGAUUUUAGUCUUGAAAACAGCCUCUGACAGAAAUACAAGGUAAGGCUGCGUGUAAUACACCUUGUAGUGGGUCCCGUCCUCGGACUUGGCACAUAGCGGGAGCUUUAGUGCACCGGGCUGCCAUUUUUUAUAGUUUUUUUGAAAGUUUGCAGCCUUUUGUUGUAUAGGCUUUUGAAGUUUGGAUUUUAAGGUUCAUAUUCCUUACUUUUACCUGAACCCCAUGUGGCUCCAUAGUCCACUGGGGGGCCGCCUGUCGAUUUUUGCCCAGAUCUGGCACGGGCCCUAGGCUCACCCAUUGAAACGGGCUAAAAUGGGCUCGUUAGUGCCGUUUCGCCCGUUUGACCACCAAAACAGCCCCAGCGGUCUAGCGGUCUUGAGUUCUGUUUCCCUUUCUAUGUAUGUAUGCGUAUGAGCGUUGAGCAAUCUUGUAUAAAUGGUGUUAUUUGCUUAUGGAGUCCAUUGCUAUUUCUCUGUUUCCCCCACUUUCUGUUGUGCUUGUAUGAUUUGAAUUUGCUAUAGUUGGAUUGGUUAGUCGAUGGUUUCCAGAAAAGUCGCAACGUUUUGUUGUAGGCUCUUGAAAGCUAAGUUGCUCGGACUCUCCAAAAAUGUCAUGUGUGCGGGUUGGAUCCUUCAAAAGUAGUACAUUUUCGGAGGAUCCGACACAGGUGCGGCAACAUUUUUGGAGAGUCUGAGCAACUUAGCUUGAAAGUAUGAAGCCUGUUUGCUUCUUGUUGAGCUCGUUCAAGUCAGAUUCGUUGGCUCUUCCGUUUUGCUCCUCUUUACUCUUUGGUUAUAAAUCACCAAGUCGAGAUCUUUAGGCUAUAGAAAUGAUGACUAGUAACUUCGGCCAGCUCCAUUUGAACUGCAAAGCCGUGUUCAUGGAGGUUGGUGCUAUGAAUCGAUUGAAAGGAAGAUAGCAUUAGCGUUUGUCUAGUGUCAUUUUGGGGCUACGUUAUAGCUACAUUCCUUGCGUAGGAUUUGUCUGUCGGUAGAAAAAUGUAGAGAAGUAACGAACGAAAAAGGGUCCAAAUAGAGUGGAACGGAUAGUGAGAAUUCAUGUAGCUGACGCUAACUACAUUUUAGUCGAGCGUAGUAGUUCUUGUUGUUGCACUACUCACCUUAACCGGACUUCCUUAUACGUGUCUAGAUAUCUUUCUCCUAUAUAGCCCGUCUUAUUAAUAUAACUGCUGAACAUAAUAGGUUAGCUUACAGUAGUGCGGUAUACACAUAAACAUUCUUUUACCAAUGUGGAUGUGAUAUCUUUAGAGAGAAUGCAUCUCAUUUCUUGAUGACCAGCUAUCGACUGUCCUUGAUGUAAGCGUUGUCUUUUCUCGCUACAGAUACAAGGUGUACAAGGUGGAGAACCGUCAUUGUAACAUUCGUCUUUUGACUGAGUGGCACAACGGAGUGUGUUGGAACUGUUGUGUUAAUCUUAGUCUUUAUUAGUUCAAUUUAUGGGAAAAAAUGAAGAUGCGCCGUGCAUUAUGUAUUCAACGAUCUAGUGAAGCUCAACACAGUAACAUGGGUGUUUCUGGAGCUACGUCGACAUCUUCAAACCUCAUUCCCUCACAGGCAAUCCCGUCAGCAUCUAAGAGUCGAACAGUAGGGCAUCUAUUAUCUUUGACUUCUGGACCCCAUAAAGAUUUUAACUUUUGUUCUACCUCCUCUCAAGAAAGUAGGCAACAUAACUAUCCAUUUAUUUCAAGUGAAGCUUCUGCGGCAACCUGCCGAUCUUCACUCUCAAGUAUACAUUCGACAUCAUUUGAUAAUUGCCCCAUAGGGAACGACAGUAAUUCCUCGGGCAAAGAUGCAUAUCAUGACUUAAUCAAUUUUCCUACGAACGAUCCUGUUCAGAAUGGCCAAGUCGAAAGCCUUGCAGUUUUCAUGCCAUCUGACAAUCAGGCUAAGAGAUCUGAUUGGCAAGAAUGGGCUGAUCAGCUAAUUAAUGACGAUGAUGAUGAUGGUUUGGGUUCGAGUUGGAACGAUAUUCUUGUUGAUAUCAGUCCUCCAGAAAUUAAGGUUUGUUCCGUACUGAAUGUAUGAUAUGAGCCUUGUAUUUCUUUCUGCUUUAUUUUACAUUGAUUUCUCGUUUUGCAAAUCAGUUUCUGGAAACGUCUGAAGUCCUGGCUUGCGAGUCCCAUAUUCUUCCACCUCCUCCUUCUCCUGCUGCUGCCACUGCUGCAUCGUCUGGGAAAAUUUGCCCAGUUGGUAGCCCAUCGUCUACCACAGCGCUGGCAAAGCCUCGCAUGCGUUGGACACCUGAACUUCACGAAGUCUUUGUAGAAGCCAUCAGUAAGCUUGGCGGUAGCGAAAGUGCGUGACCUCUCUAGGAUGAGUAACCGUAACGUUAAGAUUAUUAUAUCUGAUUCAUGAAUUCGACUUUACAGAAGCUACACCAAAGGGAGUCUUGAAGAUCAUGAAUGUUGAAGGCCUAACCAUCUAUCAUGUCAAAAGCCACUUGCAGGUAUAAUAAAUCAUCUGUCAUUAAUUUUUUCCGCGGUAACAAUUUAUUUAACUUAUUCAUUUUAUUUUGAAUUUCAGAAAUAUAGAACUGCCAGAUAUAAACCAGAACCCUCGGAAGGUAGAAAUUUCCUCUCUGAUUAGUUGAUAAACUUUUGCAUCCGUCAAGGAACUCAGCGUAAAUCUUGCUAAUUGUAUCAUGAACAUACAUGUAACGUUCUGUAAGAUGCAUCUCUAUAAUUAUAUCUCAUGCUUGCGUUGUUUCUUCUGCAUGUGUCAUAUCAAUGCCCGACUUUGAAAUUCACGGAGAUUGUAAUCUGCUCAUUGCAGGAACACCGGAAAAGAAGCCCACCAGUGUCAUAGAGAUGCCAUCGUUGGACCUGAAAACGUAAGUCUUUGCUGCCACACUAUGCAUAUCGAUAGAUUAUGCAGCGAUCACACAUCUUGUAUGUCUGUUCAUUACCGGGCAUAAUGUUUAACAUGACGCCAUAUGGCAAAAGUUUAUUCGAUUCCAGUGUUCUAUUUUACAACUGCCGAUAUCUCACCCCCAUCCCAAACCCAACUUUCAGUCCGAAAGUACAAAUGUAGAUCAUCCUCUACAUACUUGAAAUUUAUUCUUCUUGCAAUUCCCGUUUCUCAGUCAAAGAAGUCGAAGUCUCUUUUCUUUUGUGACUGAUUCUUAAAACUAUAUCGGGAUUUUUGGUAAUAGGACUAUGGGAAUAACAGAAGCGCUGAGACUGCAGAUGGAAGUACAAAAGCAGCUUCAUGAACAACUUGAGGUGCGUAGAGAUCAAAGUCUACAACAUUACUCAUGUACCUUUUCUUGCUUUUCUUGCACCUGUUUUCAUUGUCAAAUCUUGUACAUUGUGCGUCUGUGUAGACACACAUCCAAGUUUAUCAUUUUAGAAGCAGCUCGAUGUAUUCGAACGUGACAUUAUGAUAUUGUUCUGGUUUGAAUCCAUGCGGGGAUGAGGGAGAGUAUACCACAUUAAACAACUCGCAACUCCAUCAAAUUGACGAUGACAUGGUCACUAACUCCAUUCCGUACCUUUUUUCAUUUUAGCCUAUUAUUGCUUAUGCAGCAGGUAGUUAGAAGCUUUUCUGGGUGAAACUACUUGAAAGCAGAUGCUGAGUCGACAUCUAUAAUUUUAGGAAAACACAAAUUUUAGGGAGUUACCAUCACGCCGUAUUGUACUGCAGAAUUGAAAAGAAUUGCUUCUCUCAACUUGGAGCCUGUGUUACUUGGACUCUUCAAAAAUGUCUUCGGGUGCAUGUCAGAUCUUUCAAAAGUUGUUUAUUUUUAGAGGAUCCGACAGGGGUGAGACAACAUUUUUGGAGUGUCCGAACAACAUAGCUUGGAACUGAUUCCUUUGGUCCGAGGAAGGACCGGACCAUAGAACCUUGUGGUCCGGUCCCCGGACCUUGUGCAUAGUGAGAGCUUAGUGCACCGGACAGCCAUUUUAUGGUUAUUAUAAAAAGAAAUUCUAUCGAGUAGAGUCAUAAUUUUAACGUAUCCCUUUCCGCAGAUCCAAAGAAAGUUGCAGUUGCGGAUUGAAGAACAAGGUAAAUACCUCGAAAUGAUGUUUGAGAGGACGAAGGACAUUGGGAAAGAUUUCAAGGUAUCAUCAUCAAUAACAGAUGAACAUCCUUCACUAUCAACCGAGACAAAGCAUUCGCCUCCCAACGACAAAUCAGAAGCACUCGAGAAAGAUCCUGUUAGUUUGAAUGAUCGUUCAAGUUCUGGAGGGAAAUCACCGGACAAGAAAGCUCGUGAAGAUCACGACACAGAUGGUACAGACUCGUGUUGUUCACCUCCGUCAAAACGAGCAAGAACUGAGGAAAGGUCAGCUGUUCAUGAAUCUUGAUAGACUCAUUUGUAAUAUGUAGCCCAGCAGGAUAGCUGAAAUGUGAAUUGUUGUCUCUGCAAAUAUUAUCGACUUGAUGAAAGCUUCCGGCUUGAAAAUAAUUGUCUUCUUUGGUUGUUUCAUUCACUUUUCCUCCGUCCUUAAGGAUCGACUAUGUUCUUCACUAAUCACUACAUGACUCGAACCACCAUCUCCUGAGUUUACGAGUAUGCUUAUCGACACAGGAUCUUUCCGUCCUAUAAGAAAGCAGCUUAUCUGUCAUCCCGAUUGUUGGUGUAAUACAUACGGGUACACCUAAAGCGGCCACAAUUUUUCACUUAGAUACCUCAAGCAGGCUGCGUUCUGGUUGAACACCCAUAAGUAGGCUCAACGUGUACCAAUCAGACACGCGUUGCUGAAUGGCUGACAGUGUAUUUUUGUUUUGUUUUAGGAAGAAGUAUAUACGUAUAUUAAUUUUUGGACACGUGCUUUAUCUCGUAUUAGUGUAAUAGAAAAUUUGUCAGCCUGCAUUUCCACGAGCGUGAUCUAUCAAGAAGUCUGAUUAACUUUGCGUCGUUUGGCAAUCAUGAAAAGGUGCAAAAACAUCUUGCAAAAACAUCUAGUACCCCUCGAACUACGACCAAAGUUGCUACGACAUGUUUCAUCUUCACAGGGGUCUUAUUACCCCCGAACUCAAUUUUAGCGUACUUUUGUCACCCUUUUAUGAUGACGUGGCACCUUUCUUACAUAGAAUGGGGCUCACAUCAAAGGUGCCAUGUUAGCUAAAAAGGUUAACAAAAUGUGUCACGUCAGCACAAAAGGGUGACAAAAAUUAAAAUUGAGUUUGGCGGGGUAAUAGGACCCCCGUGAAGUUGGAGUGUGUCGUAGCAAAUUUGGUCGUAGUUCGGGAGGUACUAGAUGCUUUACUCUAAUAAGAAUUCAGAAUAAUUUGACAUAAAAGUUCUCUUAACUACAAAGCUCGCAUAUAUUUACAUUAAUAUGCCAAACAAAUACACAAUCGUAGAUACAUAGACGAUUCAAAAUAUAAAGAAGUAAACAAACGAAGAAGUUAGAGAAGAUUCAACGUCUAUUAAAUAUACAUAACAACAAAAUUUUCUGACAAAGGAUCGAAACCUUGCCCUUGUGCCUCCUCGCUCCGCCCUUGAAGAAAGAUCACUGCGUAGUAAGGGGUCGUUUGAUAUGGGAUAAAUAAUCUCAAAACUAACUGAUACCCCUAACUAUAUUUUAUCCCGAGAUUAUUAUUCCUUAUCGCUCGUACCAAACGAUCCCUAAAAACUUCAUGUCUCUUCAUCCAUUCCUCUUUUAAUAAGAUAAAAAACCAACACAUAAAUAAAAAAAGAGAGGCAACCAAUGGCACAAACAGUAUCAGCUAGACCAACUGAAUGUGACAAAGUAGCAUACAAACCAGUUAUAAAUGCAAUUACAACCGCUGACAUUGAAAGGAACUGCAAAAUUGUUGCAACUCUAUAAAUGUUCAUCAGAACUCUCAGCUCUUUUGCGGUCUUCGGCCGGUGAUUCGCAGCCAUGACGAAGUAGCUAAACACAGCACCAGCAGAGCAUACAAAGGCAAUGGCAUCCGUGACAACGAAUGCACGGAAUGCUGAUUUCUUCGUCAGAAUCGCCAUUCCUUUGUUAGGACUAUCACGGUCGUUCUCAAAACCUCCCGGUAAUGUGAAACCGGCCGCGAAUGUGACCGUCACUAGCAGUGUGGCCACAACUAGAUGUAUUUGAGCUGCAUUCAUAAUUUCUUUUACUUUUGUUUCAGACUCAUCAGAAGAAGUCAUCCUCCUACGACGUAUGUAUGAAUGUAUAACCUCAACUUACCUACCUCUUCCUCCCGUCAGAGCUAUCUAACCUCCGCUGUCUUGCUAGCAUCGAGUUCAUUUAACCUUCAUGCAAAACCAUUAAAUAGAGAAAGGAUGAAUAUCCAAAGUAGAAAUCUAAGUGCUAUAAGAAAGGUAUUUGUUAUUUGCCUUGAUUGGAAGAAAGGGAUAACUUCUUGGUUGUGUUUUAUGCUUUAUAAUUUCAUUUCAUGAAACAUAUAUUACUCCAGACUGAAUUUCAAUAAUUCAGUUUUGCACAAAGUAAUAAAUACUCCCUCCGUUUCAUAAUAAAGGAAUUAUUAGGUUUUGGCACACAGAUAAAGAAAAAAGCAUUAAAGACAUAAAUUUAACACGACUUUCCAUUUUUAUCUCAAAAAAAGAAAAAACUGACCUUAUAAUAACUUUUCAAAAGUUAAUUGGUUGUCAAAUCAUAAGGGUAAAUUUGAAAAAAAAAAAAAUCAAUGAUUCACUUAUUUUGAAACACCAAUAAAUAUCCCAACAAUUCACUUAUUCCGAAACGGAGGUAGUAUCUUUUUGCAGCUAUCAACAAUGGCAUCUUUUUGCCAUCUUUAUAUUUGAUGAUGUCCCUACAUAAUUAAUUACUUUAACACUAUGCCUUUACUUUUUUCAGUCUAGACAAAUACCAGCUGUGAAGGCCACUAUCUUUGACUAUUCUUUCAUCUCACGGAGAGUGUUGGAGUAAUUGGUAAAGUUGUUGCCAUGUGAUCUGGAGGUCACGUAAAAUUAAUUAAUAAAUCUGCAAUGAACUUGAAAGUCUUUUGCUUUCUUGAGGUGAAACAACAACAACUAACAGUAUUUUUUAUAUAGUUUUCGAACAUUUAAAAUCUUAAAAUCUGCAAUAUUGAAUUAAUCUUAAAAUAUCAUACUGGUCCAUNNNNNNNNNNNNNNNNNNNNNNNNNNNNNNNNNNNNNNNNNNNNNNNNNNNNNNNNNNNNNNNNNNNNNNNNNNNNNNNNNNNNNNNNNNNNNNNNNNNNNNNNNNNNNNNNNNNNNNNNNNNNNNNNNNNNNNNNNNNNNNNNNNNNNNNNNNNNNNNNNNNNNNNNNNNNNNNNNNNNNNNNNNNNNNNNNNNNNNNNNNNNNNNNNNNNNNNNNNNNNNNNNNNNNNNNNNNNNNNNNNNNNNNNNNNNNNNNNNNNNNNNNNNNNNNNNNNNNNNNNNNNNNNNNNNNNNNNNNNNNNNNNNNNNNNNNNNNNNNNNNNNNNNNNNNNNNNNNNNNNNNNNNNNNNNNNNNNNNNNNNNNNNNNNNNNNNNNNNNNNNNNNNNNNNNNNNNNNNNNNNNNNNNNNNNNNNNNNNNNNNNNNNNNNNNNNNNNNNNNNNNNNNNNNNNNNNNNNNNNNNNNNNNNNNNNNNNNNNNNNNNNNNNNNNNNNNNNNNNNNNNNNNNNNNNNNNNNNNNNNNNNNNNNNNNNNNNNNNNNNNNNNNNNNNNNNNNNNNNNNNNNNNNNNNNNNNNNNNNNNNNNNNNNNNNNNNNNNNNNNNNNNNNNNNNNNNNNNNNNNNNNNNNNNNNNNNNNNNNNNNNNNNNNNNNNNNNNNNNNNAAAAAAAAAAAAUCAAUGAUUCACUUAUUUUGAAACACCAAUAAAUAUCCCAACAAUUCACUUAUUCCGAAACGGAGGUAGUAUCUUUUUGCAGCUAUCAACAAUGGCAUCUUUUUGCCAUCUUUAUAUUUGAUGAUGUCCCUACAUAAUUAAUUACUUUAACACUAUGCCUUUACUUUUUUCAGUCUAGACAAAUACCAGCUGUGAAGGCCACUAUCUUUGACUAUUCUUUCAUCUCACGGAGAGUGUUGGAGUAAUUGGUAAAGUUGUUGCCAUGUGAUCUGGAGGUCACGUAAAAUUAAUUAAUAAAUCUGCAAUGAACUUGAAAGUCUUUUGCUUUCUUGAGGUGAAACAACAACAACUAACAGUAUUUUUUAUAUAGUUUUCGAACAUUUAAAAUCUUAAAAUCUGCAAUAUUGAAUUAAUCUUAAAAUAUCAUACUGGUCCAUAGACUUAAAAAAGUCUUUGUCAAUAUAUAAAUAUCCUUAUGAAGUUUUCUCUGAGUCUUUGUAUAACUAAAAUAUCUUGAACGUGAAGGACUAGCUGUAAAUAUGUACGUUAUUUUAACGACGUGGGUUGAACACCGUCAGGUCUUAGGUUCAAUUCACACAGAGACGAACAUUAGGCGAUUUCUCCUGUUGCUUGUGGGAGGUGUCAAGUAUCCCGUGGAAUUAGUCAAGAUGCGCCAAAAUACAUCAAAAAUCAUUUGCAAUUAAGCAAUUAACUGCUUAUUAUCAGUUUCUACACUACUUCCAAACAAGUAAUUGUUUAACAACAACAACAACAUACACAGUGUAAACCCACAAAGUGGGGUUUGCGGAUGGUAGGUGACGUACUGAUGUAGACCUUACCCCUACCCUAGAGGUAGAGAGGGUGUUCCCGAUAAACCUUGGCUCGAUGAAAAAGCAAUAACGAAAAUGCCGAAGACAUAACAAAAUACUAUAGAAAGCGUGACAAAGCAGUCUGAACGAAAACUAGAAAAUAUGAUAAUCAAAGUACCAGAGGCGUCAAAAUAAUAAUAGAAAUCAAGGAACAAGAAACUACAUGAGUAAUACUAUGAAUACUAAUAAGGAAGGAUUGCUAACCUACUACGCAAAUCUGCAUCCUCCACAACCUCCUAUUUAAGGUCACGUCCCCAACAAGCUAGGUAAACACGUCGUUGUUGAUUAUACUUUCUCUGUUCGCUUUUACUUUUUCACUAUGUCCGCUAAUCCAGAUUUUCAAAUUUUCUUGUCACUUUUAACAUCAUAUCAAGAAAAGACAAUAAUUUUUUUUUUCAUAAUUUACCUUAGCAUUUAUAUGAGCAUUAUGGCAAAAUAUUCAUAUCAAUCAUUGUUUCUUUCUUAAAAGGGGUAUAAAAUCCAAAGUGGAAAAGUAAAAGUGGUCGGAGAGAGUAUAUAUAAAAUCAAGGCAUAAUACACUACCGUGUCGUUUAACUUGGCCCCUCUUACGCUCUCUAACUUUGAGUGUGCAUAUAAGGGUGUAUUUAUUUCAUUUUAAAAUAGUUCGGAGGUAAUAGGACCUUUCGAAAGAAGAAGUGUGUAGUUGAAAAGACAAUUUGUUUGGUCAUAGCUUAAAAAAGGAAGAGAAUAAAAGCAAAAGCAAAAGAAGAGAAUCCAAAGCAAACGCAAAAGCUAAAGCAUUGAUUGGUAACUUUGAAUAUAUACUUAACUAACAUGCUAUAACAAUAUAAUUCACAAGUGUAUAUAUAACUUAAUAUGAUUCUUCAUAAAAAAAAAAGAAAGAAAAAACUCAAUAUGAUUCAAGUAUAACUUAUUAAUUCAAUUGACUCUGGAAACUCACCAUCAAAAAAGGCCAGAAGAGACUUCCAAGAGCCAACAACAAAACAAAAAAAAGCGUAACUCGGUGCACUAAAGCUACCGCUAUGCGCGGUGUUCAGGGAAGGCCACCAUAAGGGUGUAUUGUACGGAGCCUCGCCUUGCAUUUCUGCCAGAGGUUGUUUCCAAGGCUUGAACCCGUGACCUCUUGGUCACAUGACAGCAACAUUGUCACUUAUCAAGUUGAAAGGACCCUUAAGAAGUUCUAUGCAAAUCAAAAUAAAAUUGUAUGACUUGAUUAUGGUUAGUAGAAUAGGCUAGUUUGGCCAAGCUAUCGGCUACCUGGUUGCACUCUUUGCAUCAGCUAGGCUGCUCCUCAGUCUGCCUGGGGCGCCCCGGUCGAUUUUCGAUCCAAAACACACCUGACCCUGGGCCCACCCUCGGAACCGUGAGCUAUAACAUUCCGAUUUAGCUCGAAAAUGCUCCGUUCGUGCUUUUUCGCCCGUUUGACCACCCAAAUGACCCCGCUGACCCACACUAGGCCACUCCUCACCGUACCUGGGGCACCGUGGUCGAUUUUCGUCCCAAAACAUGUCCAGGAGCCCACCCGAAACCGUGGGCUAUAGCAUACCGAUUUGGCCUGACUCAUCCACUUCACAGUUGGUAGCUUGCAUCUCUGAGGCCAAAUAUUUCUAUUAUAAUUAUAUUUGAUGAAGUCUAUUUACCUUAAGUCUUUGCAUUUGAAUAACUUAAUAUGAUGUAGAACUUCUAGGUGUGUUAUAUCUCAUAAAUGAAGUCUUUGUUGAGUCUUUAUAUUAGAAUAUCUCAAGAUACCAGACUGGUCAAUUUUAUAUAUAUGGUGUGGCCAUUUGUUGUUGAUAUUAAAGUAUCCAAUGAACUUGAAAUUCCUUGCUACCUAUAACCUUCCCCAGCAACAAAUAUCAAAUACCAGGUAUCUCUAUCCAUCAAGGCCAGAACAGAUAGGAAGAAAUACUAAUUUCGUUGACCACUGGACCUCACCUUUGGAUGCUACUUGCUAAAAAAAGGGCAAUCGGUGCACUAAAGCUCCUGCUAUGCGCAGGGUUCAGGGAAGGGCCUCACCACAAGGGUGUAUUAUACGCAGUCUUACCUUGCAUUUCUGUUAGAGGCUGUUUUCUGGACCCCAUCUUGGAUGAGUCUGAAAUUGUUUUCCUAUAUAACGUUUCAUCAAGAAAGAAAGCAAAUGACAUACCAAGUAUCAUAAUUUUGGAUAAUAGCCCAGAACAAAAAAGAAUGGCAGAGAUAGCGAUGGCCAUAAAUGUUGCAAAUAAACUUGCAAGUAUACUCCUGCCCAUGAUGUCUGUGACAAGAAGGAUGAUGGUGCCGUUACCAGAGGCGGAGUCAGACGGUAAUGAUCAAGAAGAAAAAGCUAAGAGAGAUGAAAGAAUGGUUGAAAAUAUUAUGAAGGCAGCUGAAAUACAUUUAGUUGUGGCAGCUCUAUUAAUGACAGUGACCUUCACAGCUGGUUUUACGUUACCAGGAGGUUUUGAAAGCGAUACUAAUAGUCCUAAUAAAGGGAUGCCGAUUCUAUUAAGAAGAGCUGCAUUCCGUGCAUUUGUCAUUUCGGAUGUCAUCGCCUUUACGUGCUCCACUGCAGCUGUAUUCGCCUACUUUCUCAUGGCAACAAAGUCAAUAUCAUCUGCAAGAACAGAGCUAAAAGCUAUUAUCCGGCUUUACAAUAUGGCAAUUCUGUUGCAGCUUCUUGCGAUGACGGCAGUCGUAAUUGCAUUUUCGACUGGUUUGUAUGUUACUUUAGCACAUUCUGUUGGUCUUUCUGUUACUGUCUGUGUCAUAAGUGCAAUCUCUUUCUAUAUGGUCUGCUAUAUGAUUCUUCUUCCUGAAAAUUAACAAUUGCAUCUUUUGCCAUCUUCAUAUUUGAUGAUAUUUCUGCAUAAUUAAUGUACUUUAACACUAUGUCUUUACUUUUUCAGUCCAUACAAAUAUCACUAAUAAAAUGCAAGGUAAGGCUGCGUACAAUACAUCUUUUUGGUGGGACCCUUCCCCGGACACCACACAUAGCGGUUGUUUUGUGGUGAGGCCUUUUCCCAGACACUGCACAUAGCGGUCGCUUUAGUGCACCGAACUAUCUUUUUUUUUUCUUUUUACAAAUACCAAGCUACUGUCAAUUAAUCAAUCAUGCUAUAGGGCUAUCAAUACCACUUUCAUAACGUGAAACCAGCUGUGAAGGUCACUAUCAUAAAUAGAUAAUGGCCACUAAAUGUAUUUGAGCUGCCUUCAUCAUAUUUUUGAUUAUUCUUUCAUAUCACGGGCAGCGUUGUAGUAAUUGGUAAUGUUGUUGUCAUGUGAUCAGAAAGUUACGGAUAAUUAAUGAAUAAAUCUUCAAUAAACUUGAAAGUCUUUUGCUUUCUCGAGGUGAAACAAGAACACCAUACUCGGUAUAUUCCUCGCCAAGUAGGUUCUUGAGAGAGUAAGUAUACGCAGUCCGUACUAAUAUCUCAGAGGUGAAAUAAAGAGGUUGUUUUCGAUAGAGCCCUGAGUCAAGAACUUUCUCGAGGUGAAACAUUAUACAAAAUUAAAAGUUGGGCUACCUGUACCAUGUGAAAUUGAUGAGCCUGAUAUAUAGUAGUACUAAGUAAAGACCAAGUCAACUUCGUCAAUCUUUAUUUAUCUAUUUUUCUAUUCUAGGUCGUACAAUAAUACUCGUUUAGUUUAUAAAAUUCAUGAAUAAUUUAUUUAUUUUUAUCUAUUUAGCCCUUAGUAUUAAAUACGAUACAUUAUUUAAUGCAUUUUUUAAAAUAUUAAAUUUAUUAUAUUUAAAGGAUAACUACCUGUGCGAAUAAAAACGUAAACAAGACAAGACACCAUGUAAAGUGGAUGAAAUAAAUUCACACUCCUUACAUAGAGUUAGGUGAGAUGAAAUAAUAGUCAAAAAAAAAUAUUAUGAAGGCAGCUCAAAUACAUUUAAUUAGUAGUGGCAACACUACAAGAAAGUAGAGAUACGAUGACAUUAUAUAAAUGUCGUGUUAAGGAGUUUAAAUGUCACAAAUUUAUCUACCGACAUUUAAUUUACAUAGUACGCCUAUUUUCCCCAUAAAGAAAAUCAAAACAAAAUUAUAAGAUUGUUUCAAUAACAAAUAUUGCUUCAACAACAAAUAUUUGACCAAAAUUAUCGAUGAAUAACUCUGAUCUAGUGUAGCAAUAUGAAAAAUUCAUAUAUUAAAAUACACAAAAAACAAUUAGUUAAAAUGCAACUUAAUUAUUCAAUUAUGAUGCUCAUCUAUAAGUUACAGAACUACUAAGGUUGAACUUCAAAACCAAUAGUUUACAUGACGUAGUGACUAAUAGUUGGUCGAUUAAUCCCAAAUAGAAACAAGAAAAGGAAUCAGCUGAUCCCAAAAUCAUAUGAAUUUUAGGAUUUAAACAAAUUGAAAUAAAAAUCAAAAUUUUAUUUCCUCUAACCUUUUUUGUGUGAACAAAUGAAAUGGGUGAUAACGGUAGUUGAUGAUCUUCAAUUGAGUUAUCAGAAACCUAUCACCAAAAAAAUAAAAUAAUUCUAAUUAAAAAUAACUAAGUUAUCAACUAACAAAAGUAAUUUUUGUGAACAACACAAUUAUUUAUCUGUCCUGAUUUUGUAUAUGCAUCAAUAGUAAUAUCCAAAGACUCUAGAUAUGCUUGUACACCUGCUUUUACCCUACCUACUAUAAUUACUUCCAUGUCCAUUUUUGCUUCCGAUAAUUUUCUCUCCACUGAUUCCUUAUCCUCUUUUGCUUUAGACAACUUUUUAUCCAUAGCUUCCAUUUCUUUUUGUGCUUCAACCAACUUUUCCGCCAUCUCAAUUUUCAUAGCUGAGGUAGCUUUUUGAACUUCCAACUUAACCUGUACAUCAAAAUCUCUUUUUUCAGCUUGAGAUCAUUUAUAUACAGGACCAUAAACGAAACUUAGAGCUGCUCCCUUUCCUAAAGUUCGGACAAUCCCAUGAGUGUCUGGUCCCAUUACUUUUGAGUACACAUCGUUGGGAGCACUUCCAGGGAUAUUUAACUCGGGAUACACCUCAGCGAUAUCAUCAAUUUGUUUCUUUUUGAAAGAAAAGUCAAGGAACGAAAAUUUAAAGAAAAUUGCAAUAGAAUAAAAGUACCAAAAUACUUAUAAAGAAUCAGAAUUUACCAUAACUUCACCGGCAAUCUCAUUCACUGGUUGUGUAUUCUCUCUCGUGUGAGUUUUUCUGAAUACCUGAAUAUGGGUUGACUUUACACCACUAUUCUUCUUUGUCAUCUAUUUCAAUAGUAAGAAUGCCGUAAAAUAUUUAAUACAUGUAUCAAUUAAUAAAAAAAAUUAAAGAAUAAAGAGUGUGAUUAUGUCAUACCUCAUCUAUAAUUUGAGCAUGACUUUUUCUUCCUGAUGUGUGUGGCAUAGUCAACUUUUUUCGACUUUCUUUGUUUCUCUUGCUCUUUUCCUAGAGAAUUUUAACACAAUAAUACAUAAUAGAACAAUAGAUUUAAUAAUAUAAUUUGAUUAGUUAAAAGGUUCCAGCAUAGCCAGAAUGACAAAAAGAGAGAAAUAACAAUCCAAGUGAAAUCUCCAACUGCUCAGUCUAGGAGUCCUGAGAACUUGAAGAAGCUUGGCCAAAUAGACUAUUUCACUUUAUUUUCUUAACUUUAAAAGUUUUCAUUUUGCUCUUUUUUGUUUGUACAGAGACAACAUGUUAUCGAGCAAGAACUAGCAAAAGUGCAGGAGGAGAUCCCAUAGUAUAAGAAAAGUGUCAGGAUGCGGAAGAUCCAAAGUUGCUAAUUCUGAAAGAGCUAGAUAGCACUAAGAGACUUAUAGAAGAGUUGAAACUCAACCUAGAGAGAGAAUGAGAAUGAGGCUCAUGCUACUUUCUCAGUUGGUAGUACUCAUGUUGACCGGAGGCUUCAUCAGAUGUUCGUUGGUGAUAGGGAGAUAGAAUACCCUCCUAACUCCAAACCAGACGUUAGAAUUGAAAGCUGUGUAUUAUUCUAUAGAGGUGGCAUACUGUAUUUCGGAGAAAAAUUAAAAUCUUUACCAAUAAAUAGUGAUGAAUAACAUAAAAAGACUUUCAAAAUUAGGAGUAUAUAUCGGUAAUUAGAGAUUAAUAAUAUAUUUUAACGAUAAGUUUGUCAAUUAUCGUUAAAAACGACAUUUGCAAUAAAUAUCUAAUUUAUCCAUCACUUAUAUCAAAUGGCAUUAUUUUCGCUAAAUGUCGCUAAAAUCAAUGACACUUAUAGCAAACGUCAAAUAUAUUCGACGUUUGCGUCAAAUGUCACUAUUUUAUCGACAUUUUUGCUGAAUGUCGCUAAAAUCAACAACAGUUAUAGAAAACGUCAAAAAUAUUCGACGUUUGCAUCAAAUGUCACUAUUUUAUCGAUAUUUUUGCUAAAUGUCGCUAAAAUCAAUGACAUUUGCAACAAAUGUCCUUAUUUUAUUGACAUUUUGGAUCAAGUAUCGUUGUUUUUACAACAUUUGGUAUCAAAUGUCGUCUUUUUUACGACAUAUGUUAUCAAAUGUCAUUGUUUUGCGACAAUUGGUCAUAAACAUCAAGAAAUUCUUUAUUUUCUGACAUUUAUUUCAAAUGUCGCCAAAUAAAUGUCGUCGUAUCUCCACUUUCUUGUAGUGCAACUAUCUAUUUAUGAUAGUGAACUUCACAGAUGAUGUUGAGUUUGAAAUUGAGAGCAUCACAUGGAAAUUUAUAGUUUGCAAAUCAUGGAGACGAUAAUUUAAAGGCAUAAUAUGUAAAUAUAACCCUAAACUUGACACCAAAUUAUAACUUUGACCUUAAACUUUGAUAGUGUACAAAUGGGACCUUUAACUAUUCAAAACCUGAACAAAUUUUGCAAUCCCCAUGCAUGAGUUUCACUCGCGCCUAUGUGGAAAGGUAAUCCAAUCAUACGGUGCCACGUCGUUAAAAGGGCUGACUUGGAGAGAGGUCAUAUUUGUAUAAUUUUGAAUAGUUAAAGGUCAUAUUUAUACACUAUCAAAAUUUUGCUUUUUGUGUUAAAAAUGCGUCGUUUUUAUUAUUAUUUUUAUUAGUACUAGUAGUAAGUAGUGAUGGCAACUAUUUAUUUAUGAUAGUGACCUUCACAGUUGGUUGAUGUUGAAUUCGAAAGCGAGAGGACGUCAUGUGAAAGUUUAUAGUUUGUAAAUUAUGAAGACGGUAAUUCAAAUGACACAAAACUAAACUAAAAAGUAUAAUAUUAUUUAGGUUUAAGUCAUCGAUAACCCCUAAACUUGUAUUGAGAUUUCACUUGACCCUCUCACUUCAGACUUAAACCUAUUAAACACCUAAUCCAUCCGAAAUUUGAACAUCUUUUAUCAAUCAGUUAAAAACACAAAAUGUAUGCAACACACUCUUGCUGACAUGGCAAAAUGACGAAUUAAACUUGGACGUUUGGUUUAAAUCUAAAAAAUAAUUAAAAAUAAAUUAUAAGGAAGAAAAAAAAAAGAUGGUACCAAUGAUUUUUAUUUUUUUUAAUAUUUAAAUAAUGACUUUUUUCUUUGACAUGUCAAUUUUUACUUGGUUUGUUGAAAAAAACUCCUUGGCUUCACACGCCUUGGAGAUGUGAAUUGAACUUGAGGUGUCAUAUCACUAAAAAGUGUUUAACAGUGACAUGUUUUUAAUAGUUGAAGUGUUCAAUAGGUAUAAAUUUAAGCGUCUAUCAAUUGACUUACACCAAUUAUUUAUGAUUUGGCCAAUUGAUCUACGUCUAAAACUUCAUAUUAAAAAGCAUAAAUAGUAAUGCCAGAUAAAAUCCCCCUAAUUAAACUCUUAAAGGACUGCAUUAUGAAUGAUACAAUUUUAUGGUAUGAGAAGAGACGACUUCUAUUUAUAGAGGUCCAAAAUCUUUUCUUCCAGAAAGAGGUUAGCCAAAUAUAAAAGAGUUUUGUAUUUUCCUCUUAGGAAAAGUAAAAAGUAAUUAUCAUAUUAUUUUUAUUUAGUUGAAAGAAAGUAAAACUCCCCACAAUUGAUGACCCUAUAACAUGAUUGAUUAAAUAUGUAGGGACAUCAUCAAAUAUGAAGAUGGCAAAAAGAUGCAAUUGUUGAUUGCUGUAAAUUAUUAUAUGCAACAUAAAACACAUUGCUAGCUGCAUCUUUAGAACAUAAGUUUAUCCUCUGCUCAAGUUCUUUCUCUUCGGAUGUUAAAUUCAGGAAGAAGAAUCAUAUAGCAGACCGUAUAAUAAGCGAUGACGCCUAUGACACAGACAGUAACGGCGAGACCAACAGAAUGUGCUAAAGUUGCAUACAAACCAGUUAUAAAUGCAACUGCAACUGCUGUCAUCGCCUGAAGCUGCGACAGAAUUGCCAUAUAAUAAAGCUGGAUAAUGACUCUUAGCUCUGUUGUUGCAGAUUUUUUGUUGCCAUAACAAAGUAAGAGAAUACAGCCGCAGUGGAGCGCGCAAAGGCGAUGACAUCCGAAAUGACAAAUGCACGGAAUGCUGUUCUUCUUAAUAGAAUCGCCAUCCCUUUAUUUGGACUAUUAGUAUCGCUUUCAAAACCUCCUGGUAACGUAAAACCAGCUGUGAAGGUCACUGUCAUUAAUAGAGCUGCCACAACUAAAUGUAUUUGAGCUGCCUUCAUAAUAUUUUCAACCAUUCUUUCAUCUCUCCUAACUAUAUCUUCUUGAUCAUUACCGUCUAACUCCGUCUCUGGAAUCGACAUCAUCAUCUUUCUUAUCACAGACUUCAUGGGCAGGAGUGUAUCUGCAAUCUUCACGACCCAGCGAUUCGACACGGCCUCCGCCAUUCUUUCUUGAUUUGGGCUAUUAUCCAAAAUUAUGAUACUUGCUGUGUCCUUUGCUUUCUCUCUUGAUGAAACAUUAUAUAGGAAAACAAUUACUCUUAAUAGUCAAGUUUCUCUGCUGAGUCUUUCUUUUUAUUAUUACAAGUUUCAGACUCAUCCAUGUGGAGUCCAUCCCAUGUAUGACAUAAAUGUCGUCUUCAUAUGCAGGGAGCCUUGAAGUAACUAGUAAAGCCUUGGAAGAAAUGCAAGAUAAGACUGUGUACAAUACACCCUUGCGGGAGCUUUAGUACGCCCACGGCCCUUUUUUUAGCUAGUAGCAUCCAAAGGUGAGGCCAACUGGUCAACCAAGUUGGUAUUUCUUUCGAUCUCUUAUAACCUUGAUGGAUAAAGAUAACUGAUAUUUGUUGCUGGUGGAAGGUUAUAGGUAUCCCAUGGAAAUAGAAGCAAAGGACUGUCAAGUUCUUUGAAUUCUUUAAUGUCAACAAUGUCAGCUGAUGGCCACACCAUAUCUAUAAAAUUGACCAGUCUGGUAUCUUAGGAUAUUCUAAUUGUUGGUUUUAAUACAGUUAAGAUAUUCAUAUAUAUGGUGUGGCCAUCAGCUGACAUUGUUGAUAUUAAAGAAUCCAAUGAACUUGAGAGUCCUUUGCUUCUAUUUUCAAGGCUAGAACAGAUAGGAAUAAAUACCAACUUCGUUGACCACUCGGCUUCACCUUUGGAUGCUACUAGCUAAAAGAAGGGCAGUCGGUGCACUAAAGCUCCCAUUAUGCAUAAGGUCCGCCUCAGCACAAGGGUGUAUUAUACACAGUCUUAACUUGCAUUUCUGCCAGAGUCUGUUUCUAAGGUUUGAACUCGUGACCUCCUGGUCACAUGAUAACAACUUUAUCGGUUAUACUCCAAGGCUAUCAUAAUUUUGGAUAAUAGCCCAAAGCAUUUACUAAUUUCUAGCCAUCAACAAUUGCAUCUUUUUGCCAUCUUCAUAUUUUAUGAUGUCCCUACAAAAUUAAUGUACUUUAACACUAUACCUUUACUUUCAUAACGUGAAACCAGCUGUGAAGGUCACUAUCAUGAAUAGAUAGUUGCCACUACUAAAUGUAUUUGAGCUGCCUUCAUAAUAUCUUUGACUAUUCUUUCAUCUCACGGAAAGCUUUGGAGUAAUUGGUAAAGUUGUUGCCAUGUGAUCAGAAGGUCACGUAUAAUUAAUAAAUAAAUCUGCAAUGAACUUGGAAGUCAUUUGCUUUCUUGAGGUGAAACAACAACUAACAGUAUGUUUUGUAUAGCUCUCGAACAUCUAAAUUUUUAAAAUCUGCAAUAUUGAAUUAAUCUUAAAAUAUCAUACUGGUCCAUUGACUAAAAAAAGUCUUUAUCAAUAUAUAAAUAUCCUAAUGAAGUCUUCGCUGAGUCUUUGUAUAACUAAAAUAUCUUAGAACUGACAAACUGGUCCAUCAACUUGUAGGACUAGCUGUAAAUAUAUACAUUAUGCCAAAAUAUUCAUAUCAAUCAUUAUUGUUUCUUUCUGAAAAGGGGCAUUAAAGCCAAAGUGGACAAGUAAAAGUGACCGAAGAGAGUAUAUAUAAAGUCAAGGCAUAAUACAUUGAUGUGUCGUUUAACGUCGCCACUUUUAUGCUCUCCAACUUGGAGUAUGCAUAUAAGGGUUUAUUAUUUCAUUUUAAAGUAGUUCGAAGGUAAUAGGACCUUCUGAAAAUAUAUGAUAAAAGUUCAGAGGUACUUAUUCCAUUCCCAAAAGAAAAGGAAGAAAGACAAUUUGUUUGGUCAUAGCUUAAAAAAAGGAAAAGAAGAAAAGCAAAAGCUAAAGCAUUGAUUGGUAACUUUGAGUAAAUAGUUAACUAACCUUCUAUAACAAUUUAAUUCACAAGUGUAUUUGUAACUUAAUAGAGAAAAUACACUGUUUUUAUCCUAAAUUAUAAACGAAAUUGUUGAGACACACUCCAACUUAAAGGAGCUCCUAUUAACCCCAGGACUAAACACACUGAAGGUCCACGUAUGCACACGUAUGUGCCACGUGCACUAAAGUUUCCAAAAUUACGGUUUACUUAGUACUUGAGGAAAUAGAACCCUCCUACUCAGUAAUUUUGUUUAUAAUUCAGGGUGGAAACAAUGCAUUUACUCAACUUAAUAUGAUUCUUCAUCCAAAAAAAAUAAAUCUUAAUAUGAUUCAAGUAUACCUUAGUAAUUCAAUUUACUAUGUUAUAGGAGGUUGUAUGACUUGGUUAUGUUUAGAAGAAUAGGCUAGUUUGGCUAAGCGAUCGGCUAUUUGGUUGCACUCUUUGCAGCAGUGUUUCACAUUAAAGUUUGCCUCAUUCUUGAUUUUCAGCAUAUUGUCGAUAAAUCUGUUUCAGUUUCAGGUGGCUCGAGACUUGUCUAGCAGUCAUACUUGCAAUCACCAUGGAUUCAAUUUCGAGGGUGAAAGUAGUGUAUCCGUGGUGAUAACACCAUUUCACCGCCAGACUCGGCUGGAAGGGCCUCUGCACUAUUGUUGCUGCUUCAUUGAAUUGCGAUAGCGAACCAUGCAAGAACACUUAGUAGUAACGUUCAUAUCUCUCAUUCACUCGUGGUUUCUUCCUCGUCCCCAGUCUUUGCUAGAUUUGUUCUAAAUGCAUUUCGGUCUGAACUUACCAGUAUUAUAUUGUGAAGACAAUUUUUACUCUUUGAUUUAAGAGUAUAUACGGUUGGGCAUUCCCAUAUGUCGUCACCAGGGACGGUUCUAGGGGGGUCGGGUGAACAUCCCAUAUGUCGUCACCAGGGACGGUUCUAGGGGGGUCGGGAGGGUGUUCACCCAAACCCCCCAAACAAAAAAUUACGUUGUAUAUAUAAGGUAAUGCAAACAGUAGUAGAGAGACCAACUGUGAAGUCACGUGGCUUCAAUAUCUAUAUCGCUUUAAAAACCUCCUGAUAAUGUGAAACUAGUUGUGAACGUCACUGUCAAUAACAAAGUUGCCACAACUAAAUGUAUUUGAGCUGCCUUCAUAAUAUUUUCGACUGUUCUUUCUUCUCAUCUAGCGCUAUCUUCUUGAUUACCCGCUGACUCCGUCUCUGGUACCACCACCAUCAUCCCUCCUGCUGCAGCGCAAGAAGAAUGCACCGCGCACAGCGAAUUCUUCGAUCAUUCUUUAGGAAAUUAUCCACAAUGACAACUUCUAAGUGUGUGUAUAUCUUAAUGAUGUCUUCUCUAUGUGUUUGUAUUAAAAUAUCUUAAAAUGCAUUUCAUACUAGUUCAUGAACUUGCAGAAGUAUAUUUCUUAAUCAAUUUUAUAUUGUGUGGCCAGCUGACAUUAUUGAUAUUAACAAAUGUCCAAUGAACUUCUUUUGACAAAAAAUUACCUAGUUAAUUAAGAUUCUUGAUGAAGCAUUGUUUAAGAAUAUGUAAUAUGCAAAUUUCAAGCUCAUCCAAUCACAUGGUGAGGACAACUUAAAUUAAAGCCUAGGUGUAUUAUAUUACAUUUCUUUGCCUACCAAUGUAGGGGUGAUAUCUACGUAUACUCUAUCCUCCCCAAACUCCAAUUGCGGAAUUUCACUGGGUAUAUUGUUGUUGUGGUACCAUGAAUAUAUUAUUUAGUGAAGGUACAUUGGGUCUAUAGCAUUGUCGGUGACGAAAAAAAUGAUCUUUUGUGACCACUUAUGAUUUAAAUAGAAGAAAAUGAUCUUACAUAGAUUGUUAUGUCAUGUGAUAAAGGAUGUAUAACUAAAAUAACAUGUAAUGGACUAAAAAACCAUAUCUGUCAUAUGUAAUUCAAGGCAUUGGGUAAAAACUGAAUAUGUAGUUGAAUUAUUUAUUUGCAAGCAAUAAGUACAAGUAGUAGCUAGCAUUCAUGUCGCUCUACUCGCUUAUACAUAUACACAACUGUAAAUAAGAACCAAGAGGUACAGGGGCAUUCAUGAUAAUCAAAGCAUCAUGAAAACCAGAUUCAGCAGCCAGAUACAGUGGCGUCUCCUGCGCAUGGUUAGGCGGAAAUUCAAAUUCAGAAUCUUCUUUCACCAAGAGCUUAACCACAUCUAGAUGUUGGCUCCGCACGGCCUUGUGCAGGGCUGUAUCUCCACUAGCAUCCGUCAUCCUCGUGAGUUUCUCCUUAGUAUUAUGAUCUUCNNNNNNNNNNNNNNNNNNNNNNNNNNNNNNNNNNNNNNNNNNNNNAAGAGGUGUUUCAUUUUUCUUGUUUUGACUGCAUAACAAUGCUGGUGUAAUCUUAAGGACUUCUGCCACGAAGUUGGAGUGGCCAUAGAGGGCUGCGACACGGAGGACCGUGUGCCCUUUGGAGUGACUUGGUAGCCGUUUUCUUCAUCCCUUUUCAAAUGAUCAGCAAGUAGAAAAUUGGCAUUUCCGAUAUUGCCUCUCAUCGCAGCUUUAUACAAGGUCGGAUCCAUUUUGGAUUUGGAGUUUUAUCCAAGAUCUCCCAAUGACAAUCCUGUGAGUCCUUUGUUUUCUCUGGAUGAAACAUUAUUAUAUAUAGGAAAAACUAAUUAGAUUCUUAAUGAAUCUCAAAGAAGAAAGGGAACUGGUGCUUGCCUUGAUCACAAGAAAGGGAUUUUGAUGUUUCCAUAUUUUCGUUUUCAUGUCAAAAACUGAAAGAAUAUUAUGAACAUAAACAGUUAUAAGAACUUAUUAAACCUCCUAAGACAAAAAGAAUACAUGGAUCUCUUAAGAUUCACUUCAUCUUAUGAUUCUUUUAUCCUAAAAACAAGCAAGUAGUCACCGGAACAAAGAAAUCUUGUAGCAACUCAAAUGAGCUAAAGAUGAAACUUACCAAAAUAAUAAUGGCGCUCGUUGGCUCCCAUUGCCCCAUGAGACUGGCGAACGUUGCUCCUUUUCCCUUUACUCAACAUAUGCUCUUCGUGGAUCUACAACAUCCAAACUGAAAACCAGCAGCACAUUCGCGAUAAAUUGAAUUUGAAUUCAAAAAAUUGAAUUGGGAUGGGCCCAGGGUCCAGGCGUGCUGUGGGCCGAAAGUCGACCGGGGCAUGCCAGGGAGGUUGGGGAUCGUCCAGUAUGAUCCGUUUAAUUUUUCUUGGCCAUUUGGGUGGACAAACGGGCGAAAAGGUGUGAAUGGGGCAUUUUCGGGCCAAGUCGGUGUGAUAUAGCCCUCGAUUUUUGGGUGGGCCCGGGUUCCGGGCGUGUUUUGGGCCGAAAAUUGAUCGGGGCGCGCUAGGGAGGUUGGGGAUCGUCCUAGUCUGGUCCGUUUAAUUUUUUGUGGCCAUUUGGGUGGACAAACGGGUGAAACGGCGUGAACGGGACAUUUUCGGGCCAAAUAGGUGUGUUAUAGCCCACGGUUUUGGGGGUGGGCCCGGGGUCCGGGCGUGCUGUGGGCCGAAAAUCAAUCAGGGCAUGCCAAGGAGGUUGGGGAUCAUCCCAGUGUGGUCCGUUUAAUUUUUGUGGCCAUUUGGCUUGAAAAACGGGCGAAACGACGUGAACAGGACAUUUUCAGGCUAAAUCGAUGUGUUAUAGCCCACGGUUUCGAGGGUGAGCCCGGGAUCCAGGCGUUCUGUGGGCCGAAAAUAGAUCGAGGAGUGCCAGGGAGGUUGGGGAUCAUCCCAGUGUGGUCUGUUUAAUUUUUCGUUGCUAUUUGGGUGGACAAACGGGCGAAACAACGCAAACGGGGCAUUUUCGGGCCAAAUCAAUGUGCUAUAGCCCACAGUUUCGGGGGUGGACUUGGGGUCCGGGCGUGCUGUGGGCCAAAAAUCGACCGUGGCGUGCCAUAUAGGUUGGAUAUCAUCUCAGUGUGGUCCGUUUAGUUUUUUUUGCCAUUUGGGUGGACAAACGGGCGAAACGGCGUGAACAAGACAUUUUUGGGACAAAUCGGUGUGCUAUAGCCCACGAUUUUAGUGGUAGGCCCAGGGUCCGAGCGUGCUGUGGGCUGAUAAUCGAUCGGGACAUGCCUGGGAGGUUGGGGAUCAUCCCAGUUUGGUUCGUUUAAUUUUUCGUGUCCAUUUGGGUGGACAAACGGGUGAAACGACGCGAACGAGGCAUUUUUGGGCCAAAUAGAUGUGCUAUAGCCCAUGGUUUUGAGGGUGGGCCUGGGGUCCGGGCGAGUUAUGGGCUGAAAAUUGACCGGGGAAUGAAAGGGAGGUUGGGGAUCAUCCCAGUGUGGUCCGUUUAGUUUUUCGUGGCCAUUUGGGUAGAUAAACAGGAGAAACGAUGCGAACAGGGCAUUUUCGGGCUAAAUCAGUGUGCAAGCCCACAGUUUUGAGGGUGGGCCUAGGGUCCAGGAGUGCUGUGGGCCAAAAAUUGUCCGAGGCGUGCCAGGGAGGUUGGGGAUCGUCCCAAUAUAGUCCAUUUAAUUUUUUGUGGCAAUUUGGGUGGACAAACGGGCGAAACGGCGCGAACGGGGAAUUUUUGGUCCAAAUCGGUGUGCUAUAGCCCACGGUUUUGGGGGUUGGCCUGGGGUCCGGGCGUGCUAUCAUGACCCGAUCCGGGGCCCUGACCGUGACGAUCAUUCCAAACCAUGAAGGCUCGAAACACCCCUAUCUAUCUGGUAAUCAUGCACAUAAUUCAUAUGAUAAAAGAAAUGCGGAAAAGACACAAUACUACGGAAACAUGGUCAUGAGUCUAAUAAAAUCAAUAAGGGGAAAUAAAGUCCCACAACAUCCAUCGACAUCUAAAAACAGUCUGCGAAAUUUCUAAUACAUAAUCACUAAUAAAUCUGAACACUGUCUGAAAACUGGGACAAGGCCCCCAAUAGACCCAAAACUAUUAAAUGAUAAAUAAAUUGCCAGACAUCAGGCCUUCUGGAAUAUAGAAGGCUCACCACUUGUCUCUGCAAAUCUGUCUGAAGAAUCUACUGCUUAUCUGGACCCCUAGACUGCACCUCAGAAUUGGGAGGAGGGGGGGUCAAUACAAUUGUAGUGGUAUGUAGAGCAAAUACAAAAUAAUCAUUUAUAAUCAACAUAUAUGAGAGCAGUUUAAAACAGUUCAUAAACAUGUCAUACAGUAAGAAAUCACAUGGGCAUUUUAAAAAACUCUGUGAAAAUCAUCAUGACUCUGAGAAAUCUGUAUUACAUCUGCAUUAGGUAGUAUACCCUACAACUCUGAAAAAUUCCAUGGGCUAUAUGGAAAAUGCCAUUAACUCUACAGCGAAGCCCCUAACCCAAGUGUUCCGCAAUGGUCAGAGUCUCUGACUCUACUACGCCACACGGCCGUCGCCAGUGUACAAUAAUAAUCUACCCAUAUCGGCAAAUACGAUUUCAGGCUAAGAGUUACUUGAACUCGUGCCUUCUUCGGGUAACCACCUAACCCUCUUUAAGCCCCUUUUUGAAACUCAAUCAAAACAUGCAGUCUCUGAAAACAUGCUCUGAAAACAUACUCUGAAAAUAUGCUCUGAAAACAUACACUAAAAACAUAAUCUGUUAUGGCAUAAAUACAUAUGGUAUCGUCAUAUCAUUGACUUGCAAGUCACAUCUCUGAGCCAUUGUUAGCAUACAAAAUUCUCUAUUUCAAGACAUAAGUUCGGGACCACCAUAUCAAUAAAAUAAUUCAAGAAAGCUCAUGUAUACACAUGCAAUUAACCCUUUGUCAACAAUUCAAAAAAACAAUGGUGGUUUUGCCCAAAGUCUCUUUCUCAUGCAAUUCUUCUGUUUGACUCAAAACAUAGUCAUAUCAAGACACCUUCUGAAAAACCCUAAACUAAUGUUUCAAAUGCUAUGACGUUUCAAAUCACAAAAAUCUGCAUUUCAAUUCUCUUUUCAAUAAAGCCAAAAUCUUUAAUUAUUACAAGAGAGGGAGUCCAUAAUUCAUGCUCUCAAACAAAGAUCAGAUCUUAGUUUCAUACAUAAACGUAUACAUGUAAAUCAAUAAGGGGGAAAGACCACAAUAACAAAGCAAUAAUAGCAUUUAAACCUUCUAAACACAUAGUCUAAAUAUAGUUUUCAAAGCCCCCAUAAAAUACAUGCAUUAAAACUUAAACCCUGCUUUAACAAAGUUCAAGCCCAUGUAGUUUUUAGGAUAAACCCCGUGUACCUCUAUUUUGGAAAAUAAUGGAUGAUUCUUGAAGCUUACGGAUUGGGGAUUCCAAAUCUUCUAAAACCCACGGUUGAAUCUUGAGUUAUUUGGGAAUCUUGUUUGAAACCCUAGGGAGUGUUCUUGAAGAAAAUUGAGAGAAAUAUGAGUAAUGUGGUGUUUUAGGGUUGUGAUCCCGUGUUUAAACUGAUAAGGGGAUUGAAAAUACCUAAAAUGCCCUUAAUGAGUCGGAGAAGGGGUGUAGAAAUUGGCCUGGCACGAUAGAGAAGGCACCCCCCGCUCUAAGGCCCACGUCGCCUGGCUUAUUGCAGUGCUCUUACCUGGGCGACGCGGGCUGAUCACCUGGAGCUACUGUUUCUGCAACCCAAACAUGCCCUUAGGCUCGUCUAAAAAUUCCAAAACUCACCCAUUACGUAAUACGACCUUACCCCAUCGCAACAAGAAAAUUUAAUAUCAAAGGUUGGGAAGGUCGAAAAUAAAUUCCCCGAAGAUUAACAACUAAAAAUGAGACUAAGUCUCUUUAACACUUAGAAUAUUUUUAAGUUUUUGAGACUAAGAGUACACUACUAGAAGCUAACACAUGCACGGCUUUUACUGGGCGUUACACGUGCUGUGGGCCAAAAAUUGACUGGGGUAUGUUAGGGAGUUGGGGAUCAUUCUAGUAUGGUCUGUUUAAUUUUUCGUGGCCAUUUAGGUGGGCAAACGGGUAAAACGGCGCAAAAUGGGUGUUUUCGGGCCAAAUCGGUGUGCUAUUGCCCAUGAUUUUGGGGGUGGAUCGGGAUCCAGGAGUGCUGUGGGCCAAAAAUUGAUCGGGGCAUGCCAGAGAGGUUGGGGAUCGUACCAAGACAAACGGAAUAAACGAUGUGAACGGGGCAUUUUCGAGCCAAAUCGUGUGCUAUAACCCACGGUUUCGAGGGUGGACCAUGGGUCCGGGAGUGCUGUGGGCCAAAAAUUGACCGGGGCGUGCCAAGGUGGUUGGGGAUCAUUCCAAUGUGGUACGUUUAAUUUUUUGUGGCCAUUUAAGUGGACAAAAGGGUGUAACGACAUGAAUGGGGCAUUUUCGGGCCAAAUUGGUGUGCUAUAGCCCACAGUUUUGGGGGUGGGCCCGGGGUCCGGGCGUGCUGUGGGCCAAAAAUUGACCGAAGCAUACCAAGGAGGUUGGGGAUCAUCCCAGUGUGGUCUGUUUAAUUUUUUGUGGCUAUUUGGGUGGACAAACAGGCAAAACAGCACGAACAUGGUGUUUUUGGGCCAAAUCGGUGUGCUAUAGCCCAUGGUUUUGGGGGUGGGCCUGCGGUCCGGGCGUGUUGUGGGCUGAAAAUCUACCGGGACAUGUAAGGGAGGUUGAGGAUCAUCCUAGUGUUGUCCGUUUAAUUUUUCGUGGCCAUUUGGUUGGACAAACGGGCGAAACGGCGCGACCGGAGCAUUUUCGAGCCAAAUUGGUGUGAUAUAGCCCACAGAUUGAGGUGAAUACGAGGCCGUAGUUUGAUGGACAAUUCCAUUCUCUACACAUAUUUUGGCGAAGGGAGAUUCAUAUUCUCUGCCCCUAUCACUUCUUAUAGUUUUGAUCUUUUUCUCUAACUGAUUUUCAACUUCAGUUUUGUAUUGCCUAAAUGCAUCUAUUGCUUUAUCCUUACUAUUUAGCAAGUAGACUCAACAAUAUCUAGUGCAAUCGUCAAUAAAAGUUAUGAAAUAUUUUUUCACCACAUGAUGGUGUUGACUUCAUAUCACAAAUUAAAUGUCAAUAUGGAUUAAGUCUAAGGGAUUGGAAUUCUUUCAAUGGACUUAUACAAAUGCUUAGCAUACUUUGAUUCCACACAAGUUUAACACUUUCAUUUAUUGCACUCAAAGUUUGGCAAAGCUUAUAAGUUAAUCAAUUUUCGUAGUGUUUUGUAAGUAACAUGGCCUAGUCGUUCAUGCCAUAAAUUGGGAGACUCAAGCAAGUAAGAAGAAUUUGAACUUUUAUUGAUUUCAACAUUCAUUUUGAAUAGGCCCUCAUUGAGGUAGCCUUUUCCUACAUACACUUCUCAUUUACUAAGUUCAAUUUUUCUGAAAAUAAAUACACAUUUGAAUCCGUUCUUGCCUAGAAGUGAAAUAGAAAUCAAGUUCUUUCGUAACUCAGGAACAUACAAGACAUUGUUAAGUGUCAACACUUUGCCGGAAGUCAUCUUCAAGCACACUUUUCCUGUUCCUUCUACUUUUGUAGUAGCGGAGUUUGCCAUGUAGAUCAUUUCUUCUACUUGAGCCGGAGCGAACAUUGAAAACAACUUCUUAUUUGCACAAACAUAGCGAGUGGCACCAGAAUCCAUCAACCAUUCGCGAGGAUUUCCCACCAAGUUGCAUUCGAAAAGCAUAGCACACAGGUCAUCCAUUUCUUUCUUUGACUCAGCCAUAUUUUCUUGGUCCUUCUUCUUUUCUUUCUUCGGGGCACGACAAUCCGUAGACUUAGGGCCAAUCUUGCCACAGUUGAAGCACUUUCCCUUGAAUUUCUUCUUAGGUUGAUUGCUUUUAUUUCCAGCUUUCUUUCGCUUUUAGAGUUAUUUUGGUCAUCUUCUACAAUGUUCGCUCCACUCAUUGCAGAAUUACCUCUUGACCUUCUUUCUGCAGCCUUAUUAUCUUCUUCAAUGUGUAGUCGUACAAUCAGAUCUUUGACUAACAUCUCCUUACAUUUGUGUUUCAAAUAGUUUUUGAAGUCUUUCCACAUAAGUGGUAGCUUCUCUAUUAUCGCUGCUACUUGAAACACUUCAUUCACAAUUAAACCUACAAUAAAGUUCUUGUGAAUACUAAGAACAUUUUUAAAUUGUUCAACAAUGGUAUUUGUCAAAAUCAUACCUUCCACUAGGAGAUCAUGGAUGAUCACUUGCAGUUCCUGCUCUUGGGAAACAACAAAUUUGUUGUCUAUCAUUUUGUACUCCAGGAAUCUUACAACAAAGAACUUUUUAGUUUUGGCAUCCUCUGUCUUGUACUUCCGUUCUAGUGCUCUCCAUAACUCUUUUGAAGUCUUGGUUCCGCUAUACACAUUUUAAAGUUCAUCUUGGAGACCACUCAAGAUAUAAUUCCUGCAAAGGAAAUCUGAGUGUUUCCAAGCCUCCACAAUCAUAAAGCAUUCUUUUUCAGAGGUUCCCUCGGGCACCUCCGAAGCUUCCUUAAUCGUGAACCUUUGAAGAAACAGAGUUGUGAGGUAGAAGAACAUUUUCUGUUGCCAUCUCUUGAAGUCAAUACCCGUGAACUUUUUGAGUUUCUUCGCCGGUGCCAUAGCUUGCGGAGCAUUAGUACGACUCAUCGUAGCAAUACUAGUUGCCGUCAUAGUCGUUCCAGCAUCAUGCAUUUGACUAUCAGUCAUCACUUUUCUGUCACAACAAGACAGAACCUUUAGUAUGUUAAAAUACUACUAAUAAAGUUGCAGUAACUUUAAACACCUCUUGUUUUUAGUUUAACUAUGAAGUUUUUAUGACUUCCAAUCGUCAACCGAGUAAUCUUUAACCUGUGAUGAAGAUUUUAUGUCUUCAAAUCACUAUUUAAGUUCAAACAGAGUAGAAAGAUGAAAGCUAAUCUCCAGAAAUCAAGCAAUACAGAUUUCGAAAAAAAAACUAUAGUGAAAAGAAAAUUUUCCCAAAUAAGCAAAAAAAGAUAUUUUUUUUCCAAAGAUUAUUCCUUAAGAUUGUUGUUUUCAACGUUUUCGGGUACAAGAAUCUAUAUAUAUAUGCAACAAUAACUUCAACACAAGUUCAAGUCUAAGACUAGAACACUUAUUAAGUUCCUUAACACCUUCAACACAAGAUUAUAAAUAAUCUAUCCAAGAAGUAUGUUUACUUUUAGAAAUGAGAUGAAAUAGAAUUUUAAGGCCAAGUCCACCGACUUCACGGAGUGUCCUUAAGGAAUAAUUGUAACACCCCGUAUUUUUGGGCUAGAACGUAAACCGUCAUUUCUUAUCAUAAAGGUUACAAAAUCCAUAAAUCCAAUGCAAAUUUAGUGUGUUGAUCAAUUACGUAGUGUGGAAAUCUAUUUGAGCAUGAAUUAAGAUCAUAGAAGUCCCAUAACUCAAGGACGAGUUGAAAGAUUUCCAAUCGUUCGAAUUUGAGUAAGCAUCGAAACUUGGAUCAACUUUAAUCAACCAUAACUCAUUGUAUAUGAUGAACUGGGUGGCCUACUAUAUACCAAAUUGUAGAUAAUUGAAUAAGCUUUCCAACAAUAUAAGAUUUGUCAAAAUCUGAUAACCGGGUAAGGAGUUAUGGCUAUUUUAACUUUCAGCUGUAAGACUAAUGCCAUUUCAAUGCAUGGCACGUUGCACCAGAGGCCAAAAUGGCACUCGUCAAUUUCCAACAAGCCUCUGCGAUAGUCCCAUGUCGCGCCAAACUUUCAGGUCUCAAUAAUUGGCAUUUAUCCAAACUCCGCGUCGCGCUGGGGCCAAACAUGAGGCUCCAGGUUCAGAAUUUCACUCAAGGGUAUUUUGGUCUUUUCUACCCAUUCCUACCCUCUAUAUAUUUCCUAGUAAAGGGAAAAAUCUCAUUUUUUUCUCUCUUCCAUUCAAGAAUUAGGGUUUCCUCCCUAUAAUUCCAAUCCAAUUAUCUCUAGUAACUCAAGAUUCAACCAUGGGAAUUCGAAACAAACUGGAGAUUUGUAAUCCCCAAAUCGUAAGCUUCAAGAAGCACCUAUUAUUUUCGCAUAUAGACGUACGUGGGGUUAUCUAAAAAAUCUCAUGGGCUUAAAAAAAUUCAUGUUUUAAAAAUGAAAAUUUUGAAAUUAUGAAUAUAAACAUGUUUUAAGCAUUUUUAUGAUAUUGAUUUGGUCUUUAGGUCUAUUUCCGAAGUAAUUUGAUAUAUUAUAUAUGCAUAUGCUUGUGAUUCAAAAUAUGCUAACUUGAGAGCAUGAAUUAUAUGAAACCUCUCUCUUGAUAUGAAAUUGUUUUGGAUUUUCAUAUGAUGUGAAUUGUUAGAAAUCAUCUUGACAAGCAUGACAUGAACUAUUUUGAAAGUGAAUAUGAUUUUUGACUUGCAAGGAGAGGCUUAUCAUGUUGAAAUGUGAUGAAUAUAAUGGUUGCAUGAAGUAAUGAUGUGAUAUUGAUGGCUUGCAAGUAGGGUAUGACAAUACCCUACAGAAUAAGAUAUGUGGUUGAAUUAAAUGGAGUUAAAUGCAUUGAUUUUAUACGAGAUAGGUGGAUGCACGAAGAAGGCAUUUGAGUGUAAGGGAUCAUCGUUGGAAACAGUGUUUGCCGACAUGGGAAUUUGGUACCAGGCUAAGUGAUCUUGUGUACCUAACUUUAUGUCAUUCCCAAAUUGGGACUAUGGCUAGGAGCCCUGCUUUGUGAUCUUGUGCACUACCCUACUUGGUCGAGACACCCUGCUGUGUGAUCUUGUGUGUCUUCCCCUUACUUAUACUCUAAUCUUAGCAGCAAUCAAGGUUUGACAGUUGGUGUAUGUUAUAUGUAGGGUAUUCCACCUAGCUCAGCUGCAUUACAUUGUUGUUGAAAACUAUUACAUUAUGCCCAUGUGUUUUCAAAUGAUUUGAUACGAAAUUGCUUUAUGCUGGCUCUCACCUAUAUUUUGUAAAAAUAUUGUAUUUUGUUUUGAUUUCUUUGCAUACCAGUACUUUUGUAUUGACCCCCUUCUCUCCCAAGUUUGGAGGCACAGUCUAGGGGUUCAGAUAACCAGUAGAUCUCUUCUGACAGAUUUGCAAAAUCAAUUGUAUAUUUUGGAAAGCCUGAUGUCUGUCAGUUCAUUUAUCAUUUAGUAGUUUUGGGUCUACUGGUGGCCUUGUCCCAGUUUUCAGAUAGUUAUUUGCUUCAGUCAUGUAGUAGAGAUUUCGCAGACAUUUUCGAGAUGUUGAUUGAGAAUUGUGGGACAUUAUUCCCCAUUACAUUUUUCAUAUGAUUCUUGACCAUGUUUCUGUUAUAUUGUGUAUCUUUCGCAUUUCUUUAUUCAUAUAAGUCAUGUGCAUGAUUACCAGAUAGGGGUGUUUUGGACCUUUAUGGUUUGGAAUACUCGUUACGGCCAGGGCCCCGAUUCUGGUCGGACAAACUUGGUAUCAAAGCACGGUUCAUGGUCCUAGGGUGUCUGCAAAAUUGCGUCAGGUAGAGUUUUGUUUAUGGUUGUGUAGCACGCCACACUUUUAAGCAGGAGGCUACAAGGUGUUUAGGAAUGUAUCUCUUUCUUCAUGUUCUAAUUUGUGCAAUAGAGUCAGAAUGUUCCUCCUUCAUACCCUAUUCGUGCUAUGGUGACGUCCAUAUGAAAGUAAAAUCAUCCCAAAUUCUUUCCUUACUUUAAUGUUCUCAGACCCAUCACAUUACUAGGGUGAUUCAAGUGCAGAAGUUUAGAGUCUAAAUGGUAUUGUCCCUUCGGAUCUCGUCAUAUAAGAUCUUAAAAUUGUGCAAGGACUUGAUAAGAGUCUGUUAUUGCUUCAGAGUGUAUUGGUUCUCGUGUGAACCUUGAUCUUGAUGAAAUCUUGCUUUUCAGCCUUCUGUAUUGAGUAUAUUCGGCCAUUUUCAGAAAUUUAUGUUGCAGAUGUCAUGCUUAAGGGAAAAGAUGUGUAGUAGAAGUGUUGGAAUUGUAUUUCCACCCAAAUAGUAGUAUAAGUUAAAGUGUCGGUGUCAUGGCCUAUUGGUAGCUAGUAGCUUGUGUGGAUUGUAUGAUAAUCUGUGGGGGAAAUAUUUGACUUAGAUUUUUUUUAUCUAUACAAAGUAAGAUGUGUAUUCUCAGAUUAUGAAAUAUUGUGUGACAAGUUUCCAUCUCUUGAAAAUAUUUUAUCAUCAUGUUGAUGAAACUAAAAAGUCUAGUGAAGCCGUGUGGGUCUCUUUUGAUUCACUAGCAUAGUUGCCUUGUCAUUCAUUUCAUUUUCUUGUUCAAACCACAAAAAUCAAAGUCUAGUGAAGCCAUGUGAGGCCUAUUUUGAUUCACUAGCAAUUUUUCGUUCAGCGUGUUGUUCUUGUGUUGGUUGAAUAUAUAUAUAGCUGAAUCUUUUUACAUGAGAUAGAUUUGGUAAUGAAGCAAUCCGUCCUUGUGUGUUAGUUUAUUAGUAGAAGAUAGAGAAGGAGUUAUUAGGCGAGGUGAAUUGUCCUUUCUUGAAAUAUGAAAAUGGCCAGAUUAGCCGGUAGGUUAUAAGUAUAGACUCAUGGUUGUUGUGGACUUUGAAGGUUGUGUAAAUAUCCGCUUGGGUAAGUAAUUGUGAUGUGAGAAAGCAGUAUAAGUAGAUACGAUUGUGCGGGGUUAUAAUAUAAGGAUAAGGUUGACCAUGUCUAUUAUGAGGCUUUAACCCCCCUUGCCCUUCUUUUCAUUGGUAGUUGUAAACUAGUACUACUUGUGAGAAACUAAGUAGUAGAUUUUUGAGAUAUUUGGGUAGAAUGUCCCAAUUUGAUGGAUUGUUAUAUUUAUAUUAUGUUGCAUUUUUCAUUGGUGGUAAAUGAUUGAUACUAAACUAUAGGAUUGAAUUUAAAUGGUGUGGUGAUAAAUAGUGGCAAGAGUUUGAUGAUGCAUGUUUUGUGGGAUUAAAUUAGUAGGCUUGAUGUGCUGAAAUAGUACAUGCUAAUGGAUUAUGAUAAGAAAAAUCGUUAGGUCAUGAUUGAUUAUUGUGGUUAUGAAGUUCUAGUGCACUAGUUUCGUAAUGAAGUAUGACGGUGUAUGUAUGAUGAAGAAGUAUGCCCAGGGUGGUUUAAAUCUGCGGUAUUUAUUCUAAGGCUAUUACAUGUUGUGUGUGGCUAGUGGUACCGGUGAGUUGCUAGGUGGGAAAAGGACUAGUUAGAUGGUAUAUGGUAUUCUAAAUAGCCAAAUUAAGGAACUUUAAUUGAUAGUGUUGAGCCUUUUUUAUAUGAUCCUGAUUCUCAUGGUAGAGGAAUAUAAUUUUAAGGUGGCUAUAUUGGUAGGCUAUGACAGAAGUAGAGUGAUUCAUUAAAGACUUGGUGACAUCCAUGUUAUGUGUUAGAAUCUAAGUUUGAGUCCUUGAGGGUUGCACUAUUAGAAAUAAGAGUUGAAGUGCUAGAGGGUGUGUACUCCAACUACGGGGAGACUCAUAAGGAUUUGAAGUAAGUAAGUGUUCUAGUAUUAUGUGAUGACUAUUGGGUCUAUAGAAUGAUAGAGUGUGUCUCAGAAGGUGGUAUUAGUAGUGGGUUUUCCACUUCCAGAUGUAGUCAUUCGGGUUAAUUUCUAUUAAUUACGUGUAUUGUCGUUUUUCAUACCCCAGAGUGCAGUAAGGGUAGUUCUGUUUAGAGUCUAGUAAGGGAUUUCUCAAGCUUAAGAUGAUGGCUUAAUGCUAAGAAGGAGAUAAUAGUACAAGUGACCGAGUCAAACUCUCAGAUUCUAGUAGUAAUGUCAGUAUGAUAUAGAGCAUCAAAAAGUGAGGGUGAGACUCCACCCAUUCUUAUCUCAGUGUUUUUCAGUUACCCCAAUGCCUACUCAUGCCUUACAUUGCAAUUCCAUGAUCAUAGUUCAUGUUCAUGCAUACGAUAGAGAAUCAUGUGCUCUUCCAGUUCCUAAAUGAGAAAUUCCAAUUCAUUCAAUAGUCGGGAUCACAUUCCAUAAGUUAUGAACUCCAAAUUGAGGUCAUGCAGACUCAUGUACUCACGCUUUAUAGUGUGCUCAAUUCCCAUAACUCAUGCUAUACGCCAAAUGAUUGGCGAGAUUCAGCUUUGAGACGGGUGUACUCUCAACUCAGAUCACUUUGCAGAAUCCCUGAUAUUGUUUUUCUAUUCCUCAGACCUCAGUUAAGUGCCAAGUCUCGCAUAAUACCCUCCUUAUGUAAUGAUAGUGGCGUUUAGUAAAUGCUUCCUGUUGAUAAAAGAUUAUUGUAUGCUUGUUUAGAUAAGGCCAUGAGUGUGAAGUAAGAUUUGGGGCUAAGUCUGUGAUAUAUGUGAUGGUUAGUGGAAAUUUGUGUGUGCAUAUAUUUUUUGAGGUAGCGCGUGGGAGUGAUAUUGACAACGGUUUAGGGAAUAUGCGAAGCAUGUCCUUAUGAGUGUUUGCUUUGAAGUUCAUAUGUGGUUAUAAAGAUAGGCUUGAAUGACAUGUCAGGAUUUUUGUAAAGGAACGCUAUAUGCGCUAGCGACUUCAUAGUAAGAAUUCAGAGUAGCCAUUGAAGUGGUAAGGCAUGUUAUGCUUAGGUUGUGAUCUUUAAAAGAGAUAUAGAAGGUUGCAUCAUAUGGUUUAGAAUAAUAGCGUGGUAUGACAUGAUGUAUUUUUGUCACUUGGAAUUAGGUGUGAUCGCAGUGAAAGGAUUUAAGCUACUAUAGACAUUAGUAGAAAGAUUUAUCAAUGCCCAUAUGAUAAUUAUCAGUUGAAUAGAAUGAAUAUGGUAUUUAAGAAGUUGUAUUGCCGAAGGCCUAACAAUUAUAUGUCUAUAUUCCAGGCUGCAGAGUAAUGUCAAUGUUGGGAUCCUAUAGUCGGAUGUCUUGUGUGACUCAUGCCCAAAUAUUUUGCUAUCUAAUGCUUACAGGACUUCGUAAGGAAGAGUGUUGAUAAGAUACUCCUGAUGGAGUAUGAGUUUCCAGUAUAGUUCAGUCUAUGUGGCAAGCAAAUCAGUUUAGCCGUCAGAUUCGCAUGACUUGUUUUUUCGUCUUUUCAUUUAAUAAUGCUACCCAAAAAUCUCAGAUAUGUUACUAUUCAAAGAUAGAGUAUACUAGUAGUUGCGAGUAUAACUCAGUUCAUGCUUCAUGUACUAGAUUCAGAUUCCAGAUGUUCAGUUAUGAUUCAAUUCGUAAGUUCCUAGUGCAUAGCCACAAUUUUUCCGAGUAUCUUAGUGAUUUGAGCAUUCAUAGAAGGACAUAGUGUCCCAAGGGGGAGCUACCCCUAUUUAGUUGCAUGCAUAGAUUUUUAUUUAAAGCUUCGCAUCAGUUAUUAUUGCGUAUUCAAUCAUACGUUCAUAUGUCAGUUCAGUCAGAUACACAUGCAUUAGAAAGGCAUGUUCAAUAGAAAAAGUUCAGAUUAUUAGUGUAUUUAGUCCUACGUUCAUGAGAACAACUCAGUCACAGAUCCAUGCAUCAGAUAUGCAUGUUCAUUAUGAGAAUUCAGCUUAUGAGUAGCUUCAGUUGUGUAUUCCAUGCAUCAGAUAUGCACGUCCGGUAUAAGAAUUCAGAACAUCAAUGGUUCUAGUCUUAUAGUCAUGUUUCAGAUCAGUGUAUUCUUUCUUAGAGAACAUAUCAAGUCCGCAUUAUUCCAUAUUUUAAAGCUUCAAAGUCUCUGCCCAUCAUUCGGGGACGAAUGAUCCCAAGGGAGAGAUAAUGUAACACCCCGCAUUUUUGGGCUAGAACGUAAACCGUCAUUUCUUCUCAUAAAAAAUUCAUGUUUUAAAAAUGGAAAUUUUGAAAUUAUGAAUAUAAACAUGUUUUAAGCAUCUUUAUGAUAUUGAUUUGGUCUUUAGGCCUAUUUCCGAAGUAAUUUGAUAUAUUAUAUAUGCACAUGCUUGUGAUUCAAAAGAUGUUAACUUGAGAGCAUGAAUUGUAUGAAACCUCUCUCUUGAUAUGAAAUUGUUUUGAAUUUUCAUAUGAUGUGAAUUGUUAGAAAUCAUCUUGACAAGCAUGACAUGAACUACUUUGAAAGUGGAUAUGAUUUUUGACUUGCAAGGAGAGGGUUAUCAUGUUGAAAUAUGAUGAAUAUAAUGGUUGCAUGAAGUAAUGAUGUGAUAUUGAUGGCUUGCAAGUCGGGUAUGACAAUACCCUACAGAAUAAGAUAUGUGGUUGAAUUAAAUGGAGUUGAAUGCAUUGAUUUUAUAAGAGAUAGGUGGAUGCCCGAAGAAGGCGUUUAAGUGUAAGGGCUCAUCGCUGGAAAUCGUGUUUGCCGACAUGAGAAUUUGGUUCCAGGCUAAGUGAUCUUGUGUACCUGACUUUAUGUCAUUCCCAAAUUGGGACUAUGGUUAGGAGCCCUGCUUUGUGAUCUUGUGCACUACCCUACUUUAUUGGGUCGAGACACCCUGCUGUGUGAUCUUGUGUGUCUUCCCCUCACUUAUACUCUAAUCUCGGCAGCAACUGAGGUUUGACAGUUGGUGUAAAUGUUAUAUGUAGGGUAUUUCACCUAGCUCAGCUGCAUUACAUUGUUGUUGAAAACUAUUACAUUAUGCCCUUGUGUUUUCAAAUGAUUUGAUACGAAACUGCUUUAUACUGGCUCUCACCUAUAUUUUGUAAAAAUAUUGCAUUUUGUUUUGAUUUCUCUGCGUACCAGUACUUUUGUAUUGACCCGCUUCCCUCCCAGGUUCGGAGGCACAGUCUAGGGGUCUAGAUAACCAGUGGAUCUAUUCCGACAGAUUUGUAGAAUCAAGUGGUGAGCCUUCUAUAUUUUGAAAGGCCUGAUGUCUGUCAGUUCAUUUAUCAUUUAGUAGUUUUGGGUCUACUGGGGGCCUUGUCCCAGUUUUCAGAUAGUUAUUUGCUUCAGUCAUGUAGUAGAGAUUUCGCAGACGUUUUUGAGAUGUUGAUUGAGAAUUGCGGGACAUUAUUCCCCAUUACUGUUUUCAUAUGAUUCUUGACCAUGUUUCUGUUAUAUUGUGUAUUUUCUGCAUUUCUUUUGUCAUAUAAGUUAUGUGCAUGAUUACCAGAUAGAUAGGGGUGUUUCGGGCCUUUAUGGUUUGGAAUACUCAUCACGGCCAGGGCCCCGGCUCGGGUCGUGACACUAAUUCCCCUCACUGUACCCGAGGUUAUGAAAUCUUCCUCCCAGGAUAAAAUAGCCAAACAAACCAACUGUAACGGUACCUCAAACAAUUGGAAUCUCUUCGAACUCACUCAACGGUUUGAUUGAUCACACAGAGUUUUUAGAAGUAAGAAAAUAUUUUUCUUAUACAGAAUUUUUUUCAUCCUAAACCUAUGGAAAAAAUGCAGGUUUAUAUUGCCAUAAAGUACCCCUUCCGAGAGGUUGUAAUGGUUCAUCCGAAAAGGUGUAUCCUUUGGAAGAGUCAUGUCUGUUCAUUCGAAACAUUGUGUCUUUUUUCUGAACAAACACAACUAUCUGAACAGUUACACCUUUUCCAAAACAUAUGUCUUUUCUUCAAAGGUUGUGUCCCUCCAUUCUCUAUUCACACCAAUUGAAUCCAACAAUCUUCCACAUGAAUGGGGAAUGACUAUUUUUUGUAAAACUUUACGGACAAAUAUGUGAUCAUCAAGCAAAGACUGAUUGCAUUAGGAUAAGUGGGUUUCCUUUGAAUUUUUCAUAGUGAACAUGCAUCGGAUGCACUCGGUCAAUCGGUAGAUUUGACCUCCACUGGCGUUUGUCAUCCUCAUGAGUUUAUCAUUAGUAUUAUGAUCUUCUUAUAUUCUUCUUCUUACACUCUUCAGCAUCAUAUAUACUUUCCUUCCCAUAUAAAUAAGAACCAAGAAGUACAAUAAAAUAGAGAGGCAAACUAUGAAACAGACAGUAACAACAAGACCAAAUACUGAAUGUGAUAAAGUAGCAAACAUACCCGUUGCGAAUGCAAUUACAACUGCUAACAUUGACAAGCAGUGAAAAAUACUUGCGAGAUCAUAAACUUCUCUACAGCUUUCUUAUUUUUGAUGCAUUGAAGUAAAGAAUUCAAGACAUCCAUACAAAUUUGGAAGCAAUAAGUAGAAACUAGUAUUCAUGCCUCUCUAUUCUUCAUCUUACUCUCAUCACAAAUAUCUACAACUAUAGAUAAGAACCAAGAAGUACAAUAAAAUAGAGAGGCAACCUAUGAAACAGACAGUAACGGCAAGACCAAGUGAAUGUGAUAAAGUAGCAAACAUACCCGUUGCAAAUGCAAUUACAACUGCUAACAUUGAAAAGAACUGAAAAUAAGCUGCAAGAUUAUAAAGCUUCUUUACAAUUUUUUCCAUUUGAGGAUCUGCACUUACAUCUGCCAUGAAGAAGUAGAUGAAUAUGGCAACAGCUGAGCAUGUGAAGGCAAUGGCAUCGGAAACAACAAAUGCAUGAAUUGCUGUUUUCCUUAUUAGAAUUGCCAUCCCUUGAUUAGGGCUAUCGGAGUCACUCUCAAAACCUCCUGGCAAUGUGAUACCAGCGGCGAAAGUGAUUGUCAUUAUCAAAGUGGCCACGACAAUAUGGAUUUGAGCUACUUUCAUAAUACUUUUGACUUCUGUUUGAUCUGCCUUUUCAGCUUUAUCGUGAUCAUCUUCCCCCAGUCGCAUUUUGACUCCUGUUCCCAUUUCAUCAUUUGGAUUGGGCAUGUACUCGUACUUCCGCUUUACCUCAAAGUCACGUUUUCCAAAUCGGCCGAUGCUACACAAAUCCUCCACCAAUUUCUCCUAUUUUCAUCAGUAGUACAGUUUAUUUGAGUUAGUCGAAAAAUUUAACACAGUAACUUGUCUUACUGAGAACUAAUCUGUUCAUAGCGUAGGAGACAACAAUAUCAUGAAAUAGAAUUACAGUUUUACUUGAUGUUUCAAUGCCACAUCAAGAAUGGUCAGAAAGCUGAAGAUUUGUGAGUGCACGCAAAUUGUUCUUUCGCUUGACAUAAUCCUUGAACUAGUAUGUCAAUAUUUCACCAGUAUAUACUCAAGCUUCACCAGUAUUUGAAAAACAAAUGUGUGGCCUCUUACCUUCUUUGUUGUCGCUGUGCAUGACAGUGCUAUAUCAAGUGGAGUCUGGUUUUCUUUGUUAAAUGACAUCUUCUUUGCUCUAGGAUGGUUUAUUAAUUCACACAUAUGGUUACCAGGGGCAGCAAGCAAAUGGAGAGGAGUGUUGCCAUCGAUAUCUCGCUCAUCAACAAGGCUGUCGCACUUAUCAGAGCCUAAUAAGACGCGGACUACCUUGUCUUGAUUUUUCAAUACGGCAACAUGAAGAGCAUUUUGAUUGUUGCUGUUAAGCGUAUCGCGACAAUCAGGGAAGUGAUUUAAUAGCUCAAUUAUCAUGUUUACAUCACCUUCACUGGCUGCAAUGUGAAUUGCUGUCGUCCAGUCAUUUUCACAGCCUGCCGGAAGGUACACUAAGGAUUUUUUCCACCACAACAUAUAAGAAACGACGUCUAUCAGUCCUAAUUUGACAGCAUAGUGCAGUGAAUUCCAACCCCAUAAGUCAGGUUCCUCGCAUAAAGGCUUAUUCCAUCACCAUAGUGAUCUAAUGCAAUCUGGAUGUGUCAACACGAUAAAUGCAUAAAUAAGGGGUUAGACCUUCUCGCAAAUAUAGUUGCACGACAGACACUAAAAAUUAUGUACCUUUAUGUUUCUGAAUUACUGCUGCAUGAAGAGGUGUUCUAUUAGAUGGACCUGCAGCGUAAGUUGGUUUCUUGCAGGAUUCCAAGAUGUUAAUCAAAGCAUCAUGAAAACCUGAUUCAGCCGCCAGAUACAGUGGCGUCUCCUGCGCAUGGUUAGGCGGAAAUUCAAAUUCAGAAUCUUCUUUCACCAAGAGCUUAACCACAUCUAGAUGUUGGCUCCUCACUGCCUUGUGCAGUGCUGUAUCUCCACUAGUAUCCAUCGCCCUCAUGAGUUUCUCCUUAGUAUUAUGAUCAUCGACACAUGCAAGUAGCACACGUACUACUUCAGUAUGCCCUUCAUUAGCUGGUAUGUGAAGAGCUUUUCUUGUUUUGACAGCAUAACGAUGCCAGAGUAAUCUUUAGGACUUCUGCAGCGAAACGGGAGUGGCCAUAGAGGGCUGCGACGUGGAGGACUGUGUUUCCCUUUGGAGUGACUUGGUAGCCGUCUUCUUCAUCCCUUUUCAAAUGAUCAGCAAGCAGAAAAUUGGCAUCUCCGAUAUUGCCUCUCAUCGCAGCUUUAUACAGGGUCGGAUCCAUUUUUGAUUUGGUGUUUUAUCCAAGAUCUCCCAAUGAUAAUCCUAUGAGUCCUUUGCUUUCUUUGAUGAAACAUUAUUAUAUAGGAAAAACUAAUUAGAUUCUUAAUGAAUCUCAAAGAAGAAAGGGAUCUGGUGCUUGCCUUGAUCACAAGAAAGGGAUUUUGAUGUUUUUGUAUUUUCGCUUUCAUGUCAAAAACUGAAAGAAUUUCAUGAACAUAAACAGCUUUAAGAACUCAUUAAACUCCCAAGACAAAAGUAAUACUUGGAUCUCUUAAGAUUCACUUCAUCUUAUGAUUCUUUUCUCAUAAAAACAAACAAGUAGAGUAGUCGAUUACUUAAGAAACGAACAAAACAUGACUACAGAACAAAGAAAAUCUUGUAGCCAACUCAAAUGGCGAUCAUUGGCUCCCAUUUCUCCAUGAGACUGGCGGACAUUGCUCCAAUUCACCUGACUCAACAUGACCAUAUUAUACAAUAUGAAUUAAUUUUGAAACAAGAUGUUGAUGACAUAUCUAUCACUCAAGAACAUUAUACGAAAAGAUUGAAGAACUGAGAGACAGUGAACAUGUCAAGGUUGUAACAUAGACUCGAGUCUCUAUGUAAGUUACGUAGGAAGUUUCAGAUCAUAAGGCCCAUUCUUUCACCAAAGCAACGGUACUUCUUACUAACACGCAAUUGUAGCUUGCUUUCUCAUUCAGGGAGUAUGGGAUUCUUUAACCAAAGCAAUAGUACUUCAUAGUAACACUCGAUAUUAUCAAUAGUAGCUUGCUCCUGUAGCAUCUUUAUCAACUUCCAACGCCAAAUUUUAUGACUAACACAUAAGGCAGCUGCGACAUACUUGAAUUUACAAGUAAAGAAAGGAACCAAAAAAAGAAAAAAGAGAAACAAGAGAAUAUCAUCAUAGGUUGCUUCUUAAGCACCAAAGUGAAUGUCAUUUCUCCAAAAGAAAAGAUUGCAGUGUAAAGCAUAACAAAGCAGUCUUUAAAAAAAAAAAAAAAGGAACAGAAUGCUAUGAUAAUUGGAGUACAAAAGAGUAAUAGACAAUGACAGUGACCUUCACAGCUGGUUUCACUUUAUCAGGUGGUUUUGAUAGCGAUACUAAUAGCCCUAAUAAAGGGGUGACGAUUCUAAUAAAAAAAGCAGUGUUCCGUGCGUUUGUUGUUUCGAAUGUCACCGCAUUUGCAUGCUCCUCUGCUACUGUAUUUGCCAACUUUUCCAUGGCAACAAAUGCAAUAUCAUCCGAAAAGGAGUUCUCGCUUAUUGUCUGUUUUUAUAUGGUUGCAACUAUGUUGCAGCUUCUGUCGAUGACAUGUUGUUAUUGCAUUUGCAACUGGUAUGUAUGUUACGUUAGCACAUUCAGUCGGUGUCGCUGUCAUGGGCGGCUUCUCUUUGUAUGUGUUGCUUGGCUUUGCUGGAUCUCGAAAAUGAGAAUGAUUUUGCUCCUCUACAAUUUGUGAUCCCAUAUUUAGGUGUGCCAUAAGGGAAUAUUGCCACGAUAAAUGCACGCAUUAAUAAUUUAUGAUAAUCUAUCUCCGCUAUGUUCUUAAUAAACAGGCAGCAUAUCGUCAAAUGUCAUUCUUAUUAUGCAGACCACCAGGUCGUAAGGCUCAUUCUUUCACCAAAGCAACGGUAUAGUAGCUUGCUCUUGUAGCAUCUUUAUCAACAUCCAACGCCAAAUUGUAUGACUAACACAUGAGGCAGCUGAGACAUACUCGACUUUACAAGUUAAGAAGGAACCAAAAAAAGAAAAAGAGAAACAAGAGAAUAUCAUCAUAGGUUGCUUCUUAAGCACCAAAGAUAUUGUCAUUUCUCCAAAAGGAAAAGAUUGCAGUGUAAAGCAUCGUAGCUAUGCGUAGGGUCGGGGGAAGAGGGCCAGACCACAGGGCUCUAUUGCACCAGACUGCCCUUCCCCGGACCCUGCGCAUAGUGGGAGCUUUAGUGCACCGGGCUGCCCUUCUAUAAUUUUCAAUUAGUUAGUCUUGUUUGUGUUAAAGAUGUUUUUAUUCAUGUUGUUUUUCUUUACAAAUUCCUUUCUUCUGAUUAAAGCAAACAAUAAGUACCUUUCUUUGAUCAAAGGCAAAGAUCUGCGUGGUGUUCAGAAUAUUUCUAUAUAAUAUUUCAUCUGGAGAAAGCAAAGAACUCACCGGCAAACCAAGUAAAAGAAACGAAAAUGGAUCCAACCUUGUACAAUGCUGCGGUGGAAGGCAAUAUCAGUAAUGGUGAUUUUUCACUUGCUGAAUAUCUGAAAAGGGAUGAAGAAAAUCCGUACCAAGUCACUCCAACAGGCAACACAAUCUUACACGUGGCCGCUCAUUAUGGCCACUCCCAUUUCGUGGCAGAAGUCCUUAAGAUUAGUCCGGCAUUGUUAUGCCAUCGGAACAAGAAGAAUGAAACUGCGCUUCACGUAGCAGCUAACGAAGGUCACAUCGAAGUAGUCCAUUCGCUACUUAGUAUGGAUGAGCAUUAUAAGGAGACACUCAUGAGGAUGACAGAUGAGAAUGGAGAUACAGUGCUGCACAAGGCCGUGAGGAGCCGACAUCAAGAUGUAGCCAGACUCUUGGUGAAAGAAGAUCCUGAAUUCGAAUUUCCAUCCAACAAGGCCCGGGAGACACCACUGUAUCUGGCAGCCGAGUCUGGUCUUCGUGAAGCUUUGAGUGAAAUCUUGAACUCCUGCACGCAACCAACUUCUUCUGCAGGUCCAUUAAAUCGAAUACCUCUGCAUGCAGCAGUAAUUCAGGAACACACGGGUAUGUACAUAUUUUCUUGCCGUUACUCUCACUGUAUUAACAUCUCUUUUCGAUUCUUGUUACUAUCUGUUUUUUCUUGUUCUUCGACUAUUGUAUUAUUUUGUUGUAGUGCUGUUCUGUUUUGGACUGUUUUUUCUUGAGCUGAGAAUUUAUCGGAAACAGCCUCUCUGCUUCUGAGGUAGUGGUAAGGUCUGCGUACACUCUACCCUUCCCCAGACCCAUUUAGAGACUACACUAGGCAGUCUAAAUUUGUGUUUAUUUAACUCAUUAUCAUCCUCAUAUUUGACACAUACAUCCAGAUUGCGCGAGAUUGCUGAUGCAAUGGAAUAAAUCUUUGAGUGAGGAACCUGACGUGGGGGGCUGGAAUUCGCUGCACUUUGCCGCUCUUUUAGGAUUGAAAGAAGUAGUUUCUGAUAUGCUCGGGUGGAAAAAAUCCUUAGCCUACCUUCCAGCAGGCAGUGAAAACGACUGGACAACAGCAAUUCACAUUGCAGCCGGCUCAGGUAAGGUAGACGUUCUACAUGAGCUAUUAAAUCACUGCCCUGAUUGCUGGGAAAUGCUCGACAGCAAUGGCCGAAAUGCUCUUCACGAAGCCAUAUUCUGCAGUCAAGCAAAUGUGGUCAGUUACUUACUGAAGUCCAGAAAGUGGGAUAAGCUUAGCGAGGAUCCAGACAACGAUGGCAACACUCCUCUCCAUUUGCUUGCUUCCUCUAAUUUCUGGGGCUAUGUGCCAUUGGAAUUAAAAUAUCAUCCCCGAGCAAAGAAGAUGUCAUAUAACAAGGAAAACAAGACUCCUUUUGACGUAGCAGUGUCUUGCACAGAGUGGACGGCAGACAAGGACAGAAUCGCGCCCAGCUUGUUUAACGAUUUCCUUAUUUCCAUUGCUCAGUUGGGACGACGUUCACCCAAGCUGAACCAGAUGGAUCGGCAGAAGAUAAUUUUCAACCAAGCUAAGGAACGCGACAUUAACAUCAAAGGUAUCUUAUCAGCAGCUCAAAUGCAACUUGUUGUGGCUACUCUAUUAGUCACAGUCACCUUUGCAGCUGGUUUUACAUUACCGGGAGGAUUUGAAAGCGAUGACAAUAGCCCUAAUAAGGGGAUGGCAGUUCUAAUAAAAAAAGCAUCGUUCCGUGCAUUUGUUAUAGCAGAUGCCAUCGCCUUUGCAUGCUCCGCUGGUGCUAUAUUCAGCUACUUCUAUAUGGCGACAAAUCCUCGUCCGAUGUCCUAUCAGGAUUUGGGUUAUUUGUGGUCUCUCAGUAAAGUUGGAGCUAGAUCGCAGCUCGUGGCAAUGUCAGCAGUUGUAAUUGCUUUUGUAACUGGUAUGUAUGCUACUUUAGCACAUUCAGUUGGUCUCGCUGUUACUGUCUGUGCCAUCGGUUGCAUCUCUUUCAUUAUGUACGUGUGGGCAGUGCUGAGGCCAGUAUGCUGGAUACGUGUAGCAAAAAAGUAAUGUAUACCUACAAAAAGUAUUUUUGACAUGUAUACUUUGUGUAAUUUUCUAUAUACAUAAUAUAAAUUCAUUGGUUGCACCUCUUUCCUUGUGUACAAACUUUUGUUAUGUUCCUUGAACUGAACUCGCGAUAUAUAUUAGUAGUAUGUGCAAUAAAGACUAGUGAAAUUCAUGAACAUGAGCGGAGACAAUGAUUUCAAGUGUUGGUAAUUGAAUUCCUAAAGAUUACAAAUACGAGUCUAGAACAUUGAAAUGGGAGGACCGGUGAAGGAUCCAAAGGACAUGAUACCCCAGAGGCUAGCCAGGCUGUUGUGCCGAGGCUAAACCACGAAGAGGCUCAAGAAUUAUUAGACAGACCAACAAUAGAUUUGCUUGUAAUUCGAAAAAUAUAGUAAACAAACUAUUCACAAGAUGGGAUUAUACAUUUUUUAUGGACGAACGACAUUUAAGCUGGGAAAAUGAUUGAAUUUGCCAACAAUGUGAAAGAAAUAGCCUUAAAUAUCGAAAAUGAGAAUGAUUUUGCUCCUCUACAGUUUAUGACCGCAUAUUUGGAUGUGCCAUGAGGGAAUAUUUCCAUGAUAAUCAAAUGCACGCAUUAAUAAUUUAUGAUGAUCUAUCUCCGCUAUGUUCUUAGUAAGCAGACAGCAUAUCGUCAAACAUCAUUAUUGUUAAUAUUAUUACGCUGACCACCAGGUCGUGAAGCUUUGGAAAGGGAUGUUUUCUAUUUAUGUUCUCGACUCUUAAAAAGAGCGACCAAACAAACAAAAAUUAGACAGGUGCAAGUUGCUUAACCGCCUUAUCUAUCAUUGAAACUAUAUCCAUGUCACACUGAAAAUGUGGAUUUCAAAACCCAUCGGAAUUUAGUGAAGGUACAUUAUAUUGGGUCUAUAGCAUUGUACUUAGUGAAGGUACAUUGGGUCUAUAGCAUUGUAAAAAAUGAUCUUUCAUAUGUAAUGGACUAAAAAACCUUAUCUUUCAUAUGUAAUUCAAGGCAUUGGGUAAAAACUGAAAUAUAUGUAGUUGAAUUAUGUAUCUGCAAGCAAUAAGUACAAGAAGUAUCUAGCUAUUCAUGUCUGCCUUAAUGAAUCCCAAGAAGAAAGGGAUCUGGUGUUUGCCUGGAUCAUAAGAAAGGGAUUUUGAUGUUUUCGUAUAUAAUGAACAUACAAAGUAAUACUUGGAUCUCUUAGGAUUCACUUCAUCUUAUGAUUCUUUUCUCAUAAAAACAAACAAGUAGAGUAGUCGAUUACUUAAGAAACGAACAAAACAUGACUACAGAACAAAGAAAAUCUUGUAACCAACUCAAAUGAGCAAAUUUAACGAAAUAAUAAUGGCGAUAAUAUCUAUAGGCAGCUGCGACAUACUCGACUUUACAAGUUAAGAAAGGAACCAAAAAAAGGUAAAAGAGAAAAACGAGAGGAUAUCAUCAUAGGUUGCUUCUUAAGAACCUAAGUGAAUGCCAUUUCUCCAAAAGAAAAGAUUGCAGUGUAAAGCAUCGUAGCUAUGCGUAGGGUUUGGGGAAGGGCCCCACCACAAGGGUGUAUUGUACGGAACCUUACCUUGCAGUUCUGCCAGAGGCUGUUUCCAAGGCUUGAACCCGUGACCUCCUGGUCACAUGACAACAACUUUACCAGUUACUCCAAGGUCACAGAGAGUUGUGCGUAGGUUCAUGGGAAGAGGGUCAGACCACAGGGGUCUAUUGCACCGGGCUGCCCUUCUAUCAUUUUCAAUUAGUUAGUCUUAUUUGUGUUGGAAGAAAGAGUCAUGACAAGAAGAUCUUAAAUAGGAAAAAGAUGUUUUUAUUCAUGUUGUUUUUUCUUUUCUGUUGAUUGUUGCCUCACUUUCUGCAGUAAAAGUAGGAAUAGUUGCUGGACAUUAUCCAGUUUUUUAGCCAUGUUCUCAACUUAGUUUAGUUGCUGUUUUUUAGGUGUUAAUGGUUCAGUUUUUUAGGAUGUGCUGAUCAUGGAAUCAUGUACAAGUAGUUGCUUAAUUAUAGGAUUUGAUUGUUGCAAUUUUUUCUAUUUAAGCACAAUUUCAAUUCAAUGAAAAAAAUAGCUUUCCAGCAACAAAUACUUUCUCUGUUUCUUUUUCCUGCAACAAAUACUCUCUCUGUUUCUUGCUUUUGUUCUGUUUCUAAGAGUGAAUUUGUCACGACCCGAACCAGGGCCUGGCUGUGACGAGCAUUUUGAACCAUUGAGGCCCGAAACGCCCCUAUUUGUCUGGUAAUCAUGCACCUAAUUCAUAUGAUCAAAGAAAUGCGGAAAAACACAAUAAUUCGGAAACAUGGUCAUAAAUAUGAAAAGAGACAAUGAGGGGGAGAUAAGGUUCCCUCAACAUCAAUUAUCGUCUGAAAAACUGUCUGCAAAAAUCUCUAAUAAAUGACUGAAAUAAUGUCUAUCUGAAAACUAGGACAAGGCCCCCAGUAGACCCUAAAACUGAGUAUAAGAUAAAAGGACCACAGGACAUAAGACCUUCUGAAACAUAGAAGGCUCACCACUUGUCUCUACAGCUCUGUCUGAAAGUUAUACUGAUUCUCUUGACCCCUAGACUAGGCCUCUGAACCUGAGAGGUUGGAGAGGGGAAGGGGUCAGCACAAAAGUACUGGCACGUAGAGAUAUCAAAACAAAACAUAAUAUUUUUACAAAGUAUAGUUGAGAGCCAUUAUGAAGCAAUUUCGUAUCAAAUCAUUUGAAAACACAUGGGUGUAAUGCAAUAGUUUUUCUCAACAAUAAUGAAAUGAAACUGAGCUAGGUGUAAUACCCUACAUAAUUUACAUCAACUGUCAAACCUCGGUUGCCGUCGAGAUUAGAGUAUAAGUGAGGGAGAGACACACAAGAUCACACAGCAUGGUGUCUCGACCCAAUGGUAGUUCCCGAGAUCACUUGGCCGGGGCUCCUACCUAUAGUCCCAAUAUGGGAAUGACAUGAAGUCAAGUACACAAGAUCACUUAGCCUGGUACCAAUAUUCCGUGUCGGCAAACACGUUUUUCUAGCGAUGAGCCCUUGUGUCUCAAACACCUUCUUCGGGCAUUCACCUUUCUCAUGUAAAAUCAAUGCAUUCAAAUUUCAUCUUAUUCUAUCACAUAUCGUAUUCUGUAGGGUAUCGUAAUACCCGACUUGCAAGUCCUCAAUAUCACUUCCACAUAUGCACAACCAUGUAAAAACCAAGGUGCUUCAUCAUUUACAAGUAGUGAACAAUAUUUAUUUCAAAUUCAUGCUCUCUUUUAUUGUUCACAAUAUGAUAUGGGGUAUUGAAAAAUUAUCAUGGGAAUUUAAAAAUAAUUUAUCAUUCAUAUUUAUCAAACUUCCAUGGAAAAUCUCAAAUCACAUAUGCAUGGUUUCAACCAUUGAAGUAUAUAGGCAAAUAAUUCCCAUGACCUAAAGAAAAUGACUUAGAAAUCAUAUUGGAAGUAAGUUAUUAGCAUUUGAUUGAAAACCCCCAUUUAAAAGCAUGCAUGUCCAUAAAAACUACACCCAUGAGAUUUUUGGAUAACCCCACGUACCUCUAUUUUCAAGGAUAAUAGGUGUUUCUUGAAGCUUGCGGAUUGUUGAUUCCAAAUUUAUAAUUAUCUUUGAAAACCUACGGUCAAAUCUUGAACUACUUGGAUUUUAUUUUGAAAAACUAAGGAGAAUCUUGAGCACUUUUGAUGAAAGAAUAUGUAUUUUGGGGUCCUUGGAACUAAAUCUCGUGUUUUAGGGCUAUGUAAGGGUGGAAAAGGACCACUUUGUCCUCAACACGGAGUGUUUAAAUCACUAGAAUUCCUUACAUAGGCGCCGCCCAUCCCGUUGCCUAUGUUCACAUAGGCGCCGCCUAGGAUAUCGCCUAUGUUCACAUAGGCGCCGCCUAGGAUAUCGCCUAUGUUUGCAUAGGUGCCACCUAGGCUAUCGUCUAUGUUUACAUAGGCGCCGCCUAGGCUAUUGCCUAUGCUUUCCAGUGGCCAUGGGCGAUUGGUUAGGCGACACUUAUCACUUUGAAGGGCCAUAACUUCUUGCUCGGGUGUCGGAUUUUAGCCAAAUUGGUAUCGUUGGAAAGCUAACUCGCAUACCUAUCAUUUGAAACAUAGUAAUCUUCCUAAUUCGACAUAUACAGAGAGUUAUGGUCGAUGGAAGCUUACAUACUUUACAACAUCUACUAAAACUUAGUCGAUUGAAAUAAUUUCAACUCGUCCUUGAGUUGAAGGACCUCUAUGGUCUAAAUUCAAUCUUGAGCGGAUUCACAUGCUACACAAUAAUUAACAUGUCGUAUUGGCAUAGGAUUGUAUGGCUUCCGGAUUAUCAAUGCAUCGAGAUCAUGGUCUAUAUUGUAGCCUGAAUUAUGGGGCUUUACAGAAUUUAACUUAGAACUCUAACAAAUUGGUAUCAAAGCUCUCUUCUUGAGGGACCUGCAUUUGAGGGAAAUAUAUAUUUCUCGUCUUGUUUUUUCUUUUGUGGAUUUAGAGACUCCUUUCACUGCACUAGCACCACCACUCUUCAAAGGUGAAGGCUAUCAUGUCUGGGUAGCAAGAAUGGAGGCACACAUGGAGGCAAAUAAUCUGUGGGAAGCUGUUGAGGAGGACUAUGAAGUUCCUCCCUUGCCUGAAAAUCCAACCAUGGCACAGAUUAGGAAUCACAAGGAAAAGAAAACAAGAAAAUCAAAGGCUAGAGCAACGUUAUUCACUGCAGUCUCAUCUGAAAUCUUUGUCAGGAUUAUGACAUUGAAAUCGGCUUUUGAGGUCUGGAAUUUCUUAAAGAAAGAAUAUGAAGGAGAUGAACGGAUCAAAGGUAUGCGUACUCUUAACUCAAUCCGAGAAUUUGAACUUCAAAAGAUGCAGGAUUAAGAGACAAUCAAAGAGUAUUCUGAUAGAUUACUCAACAUUGCAAACAAUGUAAGCUUACUUGGGUCUAAAUUUCCUGAUUCUAGAUUGGUUCAAAAAAUUCUUGUAACAGUCCCCGAAAGGUUUGAAACAGCUAUUUCCUCGCUGGAAAAUUCUAAGGAUCUGUCACAGAUUAGUUUGGCAGAACUAUUGAAUGCUUUCCAGGCACAAGAACAGAGAAGACUAAUGAGUUCUGAAAGAUCUGUUGAGGGUGCACUACCUGCAAAAGUUCAAUCAAACCAGGGAGACAAAGAAAAUAAGAAGCAGAACAAGAAGGAAAACUCAAGUUCUCAUUCUCCUGGGAUCAAAACAUAAUUUUCCUCCUUGCAAGCAUUGUGGAAAGAAGGGUCAUCCACCAUUCAAAUGCUGGAGAAGGCCAGACCAGCAAUGUGAGAAAUGUCAGUAGAUGGGACAUCAUCAGAAGGUUUGCGAAAACACUCAACAAACUAAUGCUGCACAGCUAGCUAAUCAGGAAGAUGAAGAGCAACUCUUUGUAGUGACAUGUUUGGCAACUAGAUGCUCGAGUGACAAGUGUCUUAUUGACAGUGGUUGCACAAAUCACAUGACUUUUGAUCGUGAUCUCUUCAAGGAGUUGGAUACUUCAGUAAUUUCCAAAGUACAAGUUGGUAAUGGAGACUACAUUCCUGCCGAAGGCAAAGGUACUAUGGAAAUGAAAUGCUCCUCAGGUACAAAACUUAUCAAAGAUGUGUUUCUUGUACCUAAUAUUAGUCAUAGUUUAUUGAGUGUCGGGCAGAUGCUUGAGAAUGGUUUCAAUCUUUUCUUUGAAACCAAUUACUGUCAAAUCAAGGAUGAAGAUAGCAGAAACUUAUUGAAGGUAAUGAUGAAGGGAAGGAGCUUUACAUUGGAUCUUUUAAAUCAUGAGCAAAAAGUUUAUUCCGCAACUAAAGUCAAUGCACAAGUUUGGCACAAAAGACUCGGACAUUUCAACCAUGCUGUGGUAAUGAACUCACAAAAGAAAGAUCUGGUUUGAGGGCUGCCUAAUCUUGAAGCAAAAAUUUCAGAUUGCAAAACUUGCUAAUUUGGCAAGCAAGCAAGGCUUCCUUUCAAAAAAUCAACCUGGAGAGCCACUGAAAAGUAGUUAAAAUUAAUCCACAUAGAUCUAGCUGGUCCUCACCGAACUCCAUCACUCAAAGGGAGUAAGUAUUACAUUGUUUUCAUUGAUGACUAUACGAGAAUGUGUUGGAUUAUUUUCUCAGGUUCAAGUCAGAGGUUGCCACUAUCUUCUGGAAAUUCAAGCAGUGGAUUGAAACUCAAAGUGGUUGUAAGAUUCAAUCAUUAAGGUCCGACAAUGGCAAGGAGUAUACAUCUGAUCAAUUCAAUACAUUUUGUGAAGAAUCCGGAAUUGAACACCAACUCACUGCUCCAUAUACUCCACAGCAAAAUGGAGUUAGUGAGAGGAAGAAUCGUACCAUAAUGGAGAUGGCACGAUGCUUGUUGCAUGAGAAGUGUUUGCCAAAAGAGUAUUGGGCAGAAUCUUCUCAUACAUCAGUCUUUCUACUCAACAGGCUUCCAACAAAAGCAUUAGAAGGGAAGACACCAUUUGAAAUCUGGUAUGGGUAUACACCUUUUUUAAAAAAUCUCAAAGUGUUUGGAUGUUUGUGCUUUACUUAUGUGCCACAGAGUAAAAGAGAUAAGCUUGAUAAAAAGGCAGAAGCUGGAAUAUUCAUGGGUUAUAGCACUGUUUCUAAGGCUUACAGAGUUUUCCAACCUCAUACAAGGAAAAUUCUGGUAAGUAGAGAUGUUCAUUUCAUGGAGGAUGAAAAAUGGAACUCGAAAGAAGCAUAACCGGUGCUAUUUCCAGAUCAAAGUAAAAUACCCCAGCUGAAAGAAGAUGAAUUGGUGGAUGAUGUUCCUGUGAGAGGCAUAAGAUCACUCUCUAAUAUCUAUCAGAGAUGCAACAUGGUUGUUCUUAAGCCAACCGAUUUUUGCGAAGCAGAAAAAGAUCAAAAAUGGAGAGCUGCAAUGAAGGAAGAACUCACCAUGAUUGAGAAGAACCAGACUUGGAAACUUGUGAAAAGACCUGAAAUCAGGAAAGUCAUAGGAGUGAAGUGGAUUUUCAGAACCAAGCUGAACGCAAAUGGCUCUAUCAACAAGCACAAAGCCAGACUUGUUGUAAAGGGGUAUGCUCAAAUUUUUGGUAUUGAUUUUUCUAAUACAUUUGCUCCUGUUACUUGAUUAGAAACCAUCAGAUUGUUGUUGGCUAUAGCUGCACAAAAUGGUUGGAAAGUGUUUCAGCUAAAUGUUAAAUCAGCAUUCUUGAAAGGCUAUCUUGUGGAGGAAAUUUAUGUCGAGCAACCUGAAGGAUUUGCAAUCAAAGGGCAUGAAGAUGAAGUGUAUCAGCUCAAAAAAGCUUUGUAUGGACUAAAGCAGGCGUCCAGAGCUUGGUACAACAGGAUUGAUGAGGAUUUGGUGCAGUUGGGUUUCAGAAAAAGCCUCAGCGAAGCUACUCUCUACAUUAAAGGUGAUGAAACAAAUAUUAUUGUUAUUUCACUAUAUGUAGAUGACUUGCUGGUUACAGGAAGCAAUCAUGAGCUUGUUCAGAAAUUUAAAGAAGAUAUGCAGCAUACUUUCGAGAUGACGGACUUGGGAGAAAUGGUUUAUUUUCUAGGAAUGGAAAUCAAGCAAGAGCAAAAUGAAGUUUUCAUCUGUCAAAAGAAGUAUGCAAAAGAAAUCUUGAAAAAGUUUAGGAUAGAAAAUUGCAAAGAAACAACUACUCCGAUGUGUCAAAAGGAGAAGUUUAGCAAAAAUGAUGAAGCUGAAAAAGUGGAUGAGACUCUUUAUAGAAGUAUGGUUGUAUGUCUCAUGUAUCUUACAGAAACUAGACCUGACAUUUUAUAUGCUGUAAGUCUUCUAUCUAGAUUCACUAAUUGUGCAACUAACACUCAUUUUAGAGCAGCAAAAAGGGUGAUAAGAUAUGUUAAGGGAACACUGAAUUUUGGAAUCAAGUUUAAUGCCAAUCUGAAGCACGUGUUGCAGGGAUAUUCUGAUAGUGAUUGGGGUGGUUCUUCUGAAGACAUGAAGAGCACUUCUGGAUAUUGUUUUAGUCUUGGUUCAGGUGUAUUUUCUUGGUGCUCUAAAAAGCAAGAAAUUGUUGCACAGUCGACGGCCGAAGCUGAGUUCAUUGCAGCAACAGCUGCUGCAAAUCAAGCCUCAUGGCUUAGAAAAGUGCUACUUGAUCUGAAUUUAAAGCAAGAGAACUGCACAGAGGUGUUUGUAGAUAAUCAAGCAGCUAUUUCUAUCUCAAAUAAUCCUGUUUUUCAUGCAAAAACCAAGCAUUUCAAUAUCAAAUUAUUCUUUCUCAGAGACGUGCAGAAACAAGGAUCGAUUGGGCUAAAGUAAUGGAUCUUCAACUGGCAGAUAUGUUUACCAAAGCCUUGCCAAAGAGCAUAUUUGAAUUUCUCAGAGAAAGACUUGGAAUUUGCAGCAACUGAAGCAAGGAGGAGUGUUGAUUAUUGCCUCACUUUCUGCAGUAAAAGUGGGAAUAGUUGCUGGACAUUAUCCAGUUUUUUAGCCAUGUUCUCAACUUAGUUUAGUUGCUGUUUUUUAGGUGUUAAUGGUUCAGUUUUUUAGGAUGUGCUGAUCAUCGAAUCAUGUACAAGUAGUUGCUUAAUUAUAGGAUUUGAUUGUUGCAAUUUUUUCUAUUUAAGCACAAUUUCAGUUCAAUGAAAAAAAUAGCUUUCCAGCAACAAAUACUUUCUCUGUUUCUUUUUCCUGCAACAAAUACUUUCUCUGUUUCUUGCCUUUGUUGUGUUUCUAAGAGUGAAUUUAACUUGGAACUCUUUAACAUUUUCAAAUUCCUUUCUUCUGAUCAAAGCAAACAAUAAGUACCUUUCUUUUGAUCAAUGGCAAAGAUCUGUGUGGUGUUCAGAAUGUUUCUAUAUAAAAUUUCAUCCAGAGAAAGCAAAGAACUCACUGGGAACCAAAUAAAAGAAACGAAAAUGGAUCCAACCUUGUACAAUGCUGCGGUGGAAGGCAAUGUACAAGUCACUCCAACGGGCAGCACAAUCUUACACGUGGUGGCACAUUAUGGCCACUCCCAUUUCGUGGAAGAAGUCCUUAAGAUUAGUCUGGCAUUGUUAUGCCAUCAGAACAAAACGAAUUAGACUGCGCUUCACAUAGCAGCUAACGAAGGUCACAUCGAAGUAGCCCACUUGCUACUUAGUAUAGAUGAGCAUUAUAAGGAGAUACUCAAGAGGAUGACAGAUGAGAAUGGAGAUACAGCGCUGCACAAGGCCGUGAGGAGCCGACAUCAAGAUGUGGUUAAGCUCUUGGUGAAAGAAGAUUCUGAAUUCGAAUUUCUAUUCAACAAGGCCCGGGAGACACCACUGUAUCUGGCAGCUGAGUCUGGUCUUCGAGAAGUGUUGAUUGAAAUCUUGAACUCAUGCAAACAACCAACUUCUUCUAUGCAGGUCCAUUAAAUCGAACACCUCUGCAUGCAGCAGUAAUUCAGGAACACACGGGUAUGUUACAUAUUUUUUUGCCGUUACUCUCACCGUAUCAACUUCUUUUUUCGAUUUUUGUUACUAUCUGUUGUUUCCUGUACUUCGACUAUUGCAUUAUUUUGUUGUAGUACUGUUCUGUUUUGGACUGUUUUUUCUUGAGCUAAGAGUCUAUCGGAAACAGCCUCUCUGCCUAUGAGGUAGAGGUAAGGUCUGCAUACACUCUACCCUUCCCCAAACCCACUUAGAUACUACACUGGGGAGUCUAAAUUUGUGUUGAUUUAACUCCUUAUCGUCAUCAUAUUUGAACCAUGCAUCCAGAUUGCAUGAGAUUGCUAAUGCAAUGGAAUAAAUCUCUAUGUGAGGAACCUGACAUGGGGGGUUGGAAUUUGCUGCUCUUUUAGGAUUGAAAGAAGUAGUUUCCGACAUGCUGGGGUGGAAAAAAACCUUAGCCUACCUUCCAGCAGGCAGUGAAAUAACUGGACAACAGCAAUUCACAUUGCAGCCGGUGCAGGUAAGGUAGACGUUUUACAUGAGCUAUUAAAUCACUGCCCUGAUUGCUGGGAAAUGCUUGUGAGUAGUGGCCGAAAUGCUCUUCAUGAAGCCAUAUUAUACAGUCGUGCAAAUGUGGUCAGCAUGCUGGAUACGCGUAGCAAAAAAGUAAUGUAUACGUACAAAAAGUAUUUUUGACAUAUAUACUUAGUGUAACUUUCUGAAUACAUAAUAUAAACUUUCGACAAAGGAUGCUCAACUGACCACCCUUUACUGCAUGUGAGUCGUGUAUCUUCUUGAAAGAGAAGUGUAGAGAGAGACACAUGUGUCAAGUUCACCUUCGACAAGGUAUUUGCUAUCUAUACUCCCCCCUCCCCCAACUUCCAACACAUGUACCGUCUAACUCUCAACAGAUUGGAAGAAAUCACUUAGUGUACUAUCUAUUUCAUCGGUUGCACCUCUUUCCUUGUGCAAAUUUCUGUUAUGCUCCGUGUACUGAACUCGCGAUAUGUAACAAAAGACUAAUGCAAUUCAUGAACAUGAGCAGAGACAACGAUUUCAAGUGUUAGUAAUUGAAUUCAUAAAAAUUACAAAUACGAGUCGAACGUUGAAGUGAGUGAAAAUCCUAGGAGAUCAAGAUUUAAAUGUGAGUUUACCUUUGUAGCAAAAAUGACUUAAUAAACCUAGAAAAAUGAUAACAACAACAACAACAACAACAUACCCAGUGUAUUCCCACAUAGUGGGGUCUGGGGAAGGUAGAGUGUACGCAGAUCAUGCCACUACCUCAGGUGAAGUAGAGAAGUUGUUUCCGAUAGUGCAAAAAUGAAUAAGAACGAUAUAAUUCAAUUCAACAUUUUUUGUCGUUUGGAAAUAUGCAUUUUUCCAUCAAUUUUUCAACAUAGGGGUCAACAUGCUUCCACUCAGUGGCGGAUGUACAUGUAUUCCAGGGGUUCAUUCGUCGGAAAAUUAGACUAUUUUUACAUGGUAAAAAAAUUAUGUAUAAAUAAUAGAGGUUGAACCCCCUUCGACUAGUUCGUAUAUGUACUACUAAACCCCUUCACUGAAAAUCCUGGAUCCGCCCCUGCUUCCACUGGUGAUGAGUGGACCGGCGAAGGAUCCAAAGACAUGUUGUGAACAUGGAUAUUCUAGAGGCUAGACAACCUGUUGAGCCUGAGGCUAAACCACAAAGAGGCCAAAGAAUUAGACAUACCAACAAUCCAUUUGCUAGCGAUUCGAAAGAUACAGUAACCAAACUAUUCACAAGAUGGGAUUGUACAUUUUUAUGGACGGAGCGACAUUUAAGCUGCGAAAUGAAUUUGCUAGCAAUGUGAAAGGAAUGGCCUUAAAUCUCAAAAAUGAGAAUGAUUUUUCUCCUCCACAAUUUGUGAUCCCAUGUUUGGAUGUGCCAUGAGGGAAUAUUGCCACGAUAAUCAAAUGCACGCAUUAAUAAUUUAUGAUGAUCUAUCUCCACUAUGUUCUUAGUAAACAGACAACAUAUCGUCAAACAUCAUUAUUGCUAUUAUUAUUAUGCUGACCACCAGGUCGUGAGGCUUUCACAAGGGAUGUUUUGUAUUUUCGUUCUCGACUCUAAAAAAGAGAGACCUAACAAACAAAAAUUAGACAGGUGCAAGUAGCUUAACCGCCUUAUCACACUGAAAAUGCAUAUGUGAAAACCCCAUGCAAUAGUCAUACCCAGGGUUUUGAUCUAGUAGCAAGAGCGGAUUUGUGAAUUAGGCGCAUGUGACAUGUUCGAACCUUGCAACAGAUAAAAUCGUUAUACUUAAGUGGAAAAGUAUUUUGUCAUGGCUUCUCCACUUCUAGCAUUUCUUUUUUGAACUGCUUUGAAUUGUUUUUCUUUGCGAUGGAGGUCUAUAAAAAUUCGAAAACCUCUCUCCCUUCCAAUGUACGGGUAAUAGCUAUGUAUACUCUUUCCUCCUCAAACUCCACAUGCGGAGUUUUAACUGCGUAUAUUGUUGUUGUUGUACCAUAGAUUAUUUAGAGAAUGUACAUUGGGUCUAUAGCAUUGUAAAAAAUGAUCUCCUGCGACAACUUAUAAUUUGAAUAGAAGAAAAUAACAUGUAAUGGACUAAAAAACCUUAUCUUUCAUAUGUAAUUCAAGGCAUUGGGUAAAAACUGAAAUAUGUAGUUGAAUUAUAUAUCUGCAAGCAAUAAGUACAAGUAGUAGCUAGCUAUUCAUGUCUCACUAGACUCCUAUCUAUAUAAAUAAGAACCAAGAAGUACAAUAAAAUAGUGAGGCAACCUAUGAAAUAGACAGUAACAGCAAGACCAAGUGAAUGUGAUAAAGUAGCAAACAUACCCAUUGCGAAUGCAAUUACAACUGCUAACAUUGAAAUGCACAGACAAAAACCGGCGAGAUUAAAAAGCUUAAUUACAAUUUUUUUACGUUGAGGAAAUCUGCUAUGACCUGCCAUGAUGAAAUAGAUAAAUAUAGCAAAAGCUAAGAAUGUGAAGGCAAUCGCAUCGGAAACAACAAAUGUACGAAAUGCUGUUUUCCUUAUUAGAAUCGCCAUCCCUUGAUUAGAGCUACCGGGGUCGCUCUCAAAACCUCCUGGCAAUGUGAUACCAGCGGCGAAAGUGACUGUCAUUAUUAAAGUGGGCCACAACAAUAUGGAUUUGAGCUACCUUCAUAAUUCCUUCGACUGCUGUUUGAUAUGCCUUUUCAGCUUUAUCGCGAUCAUCUUUCGUCAGUGGCAUGUACUCACACUUACGCUUUACCUCUAAGUCACGUUUUCCAAAUCGGCCGAUGCUACACAAAUCCCGCACCAAUUUCUCCUAUUUUCAUCAAUAGUACAGUUUAUAUUCAGCUAGAUUUCUUAAUCCUGAUAGCAAAAAGUUUUGAAAGUCAUUCUUAUUCUACUCUUGCAAGGACAAAAUAACUUCAAUAGUUAUCUGAAAAUAGUAUCGAAGAUGAUAUUUAAGAUUAGUAUAUAGUAUGGAGGCAUUUGAACUUGAAAAGGAGUAUUUGAAGUUUUGUGGAACUACUUGUGUUUGGACAAAACGCUGAAGAUUUGUGAGUGAACGCGAACCAUUCUUUCACUUGACAUAAUCCUUGAACUAGUACUUCAAUAUUUCACCAGCAUAUAUACUCAAGCGCAACCAGUAUUUGAAAAAUAAAUGUGCGACUGCUUACCUUCUCUGUUGUCACUAUGCGUGAUAAUGCUAUGUCAAGUGGGGUCUGGUUUUGUUUGUUAAAUGACAUCUUCUUUGCUCUAGGAUGGUUUAUUAAUUCAGGCACAUGGUUACCAGAGGCAGCAAGCAAAUGGAGAGGAGUGUUUCCGUCACUAUCUGGCUCAUCAACAAGGCUGUCGUACUCAUCAUAGUCUAAUAAGAAGCAGAUUAACUCAUCUUGAUUGAAAAAUACGGCAACAUGAAGAGCGAUUUGAUUGUUGCUGUUAAGCAUAUCGCGACAAUCAGGGCAGUGAUUUAAUAGCUUCUUUAUCAUGUUUACGUCACCUUCACUUGCUGCAAUGUGAAUUGCUGUCGUCCAAUCAUUUUCACUGCCUGCCGGAAGGUACACUAAGGAUUUUUUCCAUGCCAGAAUAUCAGAAACUACGUCUUCCAUUCCUAAUUUAACAGCAUAGUGCAGUGAAUUCCAACACCAUAAGUCUGGUUCCUCGCAUAAAGGCUUAUUCCAUCGCCAUAGUGAUCUAAUGCAAUCUGGAUGUGUCAACACGAUAAAAGCAUAAAUAAGGGGUUAGACCUUCUUGCGAAUAUAGUUGCACGACCGACAUUACGAAAUCAUCAACAGAUUAUGGGAAAGUCAACUGAAGUUAGAUAUCGAUACAGCAAAUUAUGUAUCUUUAUGUUCCUGAAUUACUGCUGCAUGCAGCGGCGUUCUAUUAGAUGGACCUGCAGCGUAAGUUGGUUUCUUGCAGGAUUCCAAGAUGAUAAUCAAAGCAUCAUGAAAACCAGAUUCAGCCGCCAGAUACAGUGUGGCGUCUCCUGUGCAUGGUUAGGCGGAAAUUCAAAUUCAGGAUCUUCUUUCACCAAGAGCUUAACCACGUCUAGAUGUUGGCUCCGCAUGGACUUGUGCAGCGCUGUAUCUCCACUUGCAUCCGUCGUCCUCGUGAGUUUCUCCUUAGUAUUAUGAUCUUCUGUACAUGCAAGUAGCACACGUACUACUUCAGUGUGCCCUUCGUUAGCUGCUAUGUGCAGAGCGGUUUCAUUUUUCUUGUUUUGACAGCAUAAUAAUGCUGGAGUAAUCUUAAGGACUUCUGUCGCGAAAUGGAAGUGGCCAUAGAGGACUGCGACAUGAAGGACCGUGUUUCCCUUCGGAGUGACUUGGUAGCCAUUUUCUUCAUCCCUUUUCAAAUGAUCAGCAUGUAGAAAAUUGGCAUCUCCGAUAUUGCCUCUCAUCGCAGCAUUAUACAAGGUCAGAUUCAUUUUGGAUUUGGAGUUUUAUUCAAGAUCUCUCAAUGAUAAUCCUGUGAGUCCUUUGCUUUCUCUGAUGAAACAUUAUUAUAUAGGAAAAACUAGUUAGAUUCUUAAUUAAUCUCAAAGAAGAAAGGGAUCUGGUGCUUGCCUUGAUCACAAGAAAGGGAUUUUGAUGUUUUUGUAUUUUCGCUUUCAUGUCAAAAACUGAAAGAAUAUCAUGAACAUAAACAGUUUUAAGAACUUAUUAAACCUCCUAAGAAUAAAAGAAUACUUGGAUCUCUUAAGAUUCACUUCAUCUUAUGAUUCUUUUAUCCUAAAAACAAACAAGUAGUGUAGUCACCGGAACAAAGAAAAUCUUGUAGCAACUCAAAUGAGCUAAAGAUGAAACUUACCAAAACAAUAAUGGCGCUCGUUGGCUCCCAUUGCCCCAUGAGACUGGCGAACGUUGCUCCUUUUCCCUUUACUCAACAUAUGCUCUUCGCGGAUCUUCAACAUCCAAACUGAAAACCAGCAGCACAUUCGCGAUAAAUUGGAUUUGAAUUCAUAAAUGGUGAAGAAGAGGUCAAUAGAACGAUACCUAGAAAAAUGCUCCGAAAAAGGUCUUUUACCAUUGUUGCACUAAACACAACAUAUUCCCCUAUAGAAGGCCCUAUGGAGUAAAGGGAAGUGGAUGAAUUCUUGGAAAAAGGUAGAUAGAGUCAACGAUACAACAGUCAACAGACAGCGCUGCCUAUCUGAAAUCUUUGCGGAGGGGCUCAGAUUAGCUACACUGGCACUUAAACAACACAUCCAAAAUUGUAGGUACUGAUUUUAGCGAGGAUUUUUUGAUAAGCAGUGUAAAGACAUAUACUAGAAUUAAAGCUCCAAUCGUAUCAGAGAGGCAGUGGCGUAUUUGAUUUGAGAGAGGAAAACUCCGAUCUCACAUCAUAUAGCUUACUCUAAAGUAAGGUAUCUUUAAUAAUGAAAAUAUUAUACAAGAUGAAUUCAUAUUAAUUUUGAAACAAGAUGUUGCUGACAUAUCUAUCACUCAAGAACAUUAUACAAAAAGAUUGAAGAACUGCAAGCCAGUGAACAUGUCAAGGUUGUAACAUAGACCCGAGUCUUUGUGUAAAUUACGUAGGAAGUUUCAUAUCCCAAGGCCUGUUCUUUCACCAAAGCAACGGUGCUUCUUAUUCACACGCAAUAUUAUCUAUAGUAGCACCUUUAUCAACUUCCAACGCCAAAUUGUAUGACUAACACAUAAGGCAGCUGCGACAUACUCGACUUUACAAGUUAAGAAAGGAACCAAAAAAGGAAAAAGAGAAAAACAAGAGAAUAUUAUCAUAGGGGUCUAUGCGUAAGAAAGUGUGUAUAGUACUACGUUAAAAAAAGUUUUUCUUGCGAAGAAGCUUCUGAUUCUUUUGUCGACAUAAGGACAAUAGUUUGAUUCGAUAUUUUCAAAGAAUCAACUAAGGAAAUCUCAUUUUUCGUAUAUCAAAAACAAGAACUAUCCAUGUGUUAGUUAAACCAAAAUUUGGAUUGUACAAAUUUGGAUCCAUUUUCUUUUCAUUUUUAUCUUAUUUUUUGGGAUAAAAAUAGAUCCAAAAAAUAGAUCCUUGCCCUUCCCCAGACCCAGCACAUUGCGGGAGCUUAGUGCACUGGGCUGCUCUUUUUUGUUUUAAGAAAUACUCUGGACACCAAACAAACAUUUGCCUUUGAUAAAAAAGAAAAGCUAAGGUAUUUAAUUUGUUCUUUGCUUUGACUUUUUUCAUAGGGCGAUCAACAACUGUUAACAAUAUAUUAAAUUCAUGUUAAUUGUCCUCGUCAAGCAUGGCAUGACAACAACUUGCAACAAUAUAUUAAAUUCACAACAGCAAUGUUAGAACAUACAUGGGCGGAUUCACAACGUUGAUUUUAUGGAUUCACCAUCUGAAUCUAAUAUUUUUUGCCGGAUCCUGUUUGUAUAUAAAUAUUUUUGACUUGAGAAUCCAUAAAUUUUAAGUUAUGUAUAUAAAUAUUUUGAUUUGAGAAUCCAUAAAUAUUUUGCCAUCUUCAUAUUUGAUGAUGUCCCUACAUAAUUAAUGUACGUUAACACUAUGCCUUUACUUUUUAAGUUUAGACAAAUACCAAGCUAUUGUCAAUUAAUCAAUCAUAUUAUAAGGCUAUCAAUAUCAUUUUCAUAACAGCUGUUAAGGUCACUAGCAUAAAUAGAUAUUUGCCACGACUAAAUGUAUUUGAGCUGCCUUCAUAAUAUCUUUGGCUGUUCUUCCAUCUCACGGAGAGCAUUGGAGUAAUUGGUAAAGUUGUUGUAUGUGAUAAGGAGGUCACGUAUAAUUAAUAAAUAAAUCUGCAAUGAACUCGAAAGUUUUUGCUUUCUCGAGGUGAAACAACAACAGCAUACUCAGUAUAUUUCCCACCAAGUAGGGUCUUGGGAGGGUAAAUGUACGCAGUCCAUACGACUAUCUCAGGUGAGAUACAGAGGUUGUUUUUCGAUAGACCCCUGACUUAAGAACUUUCUCGAGGUGAAACAUUAUAUAGAAAUUAAAAGUUGACUUGGUCUUAGUAUAUAUCAGUCAUUCAUUUCACAUGUUGAAUGUGGCCCAACUUGCCAUCUUUAUGUCAGCUGUAUUAUUAUUACUUUAUGAGUAAAUGCACUGUUUCCACCUUGAACUAUAAACGAAAUUGCCGAGACACACCCCAAUUUAAAGGGGGUACUAUUACCCUAUAGACUAAUUAAAAUCAUAUUUUUGGCAACCUUAAGUGCCUACGUGGCACAUACGUGUGUCUACAUGGACCUUCAGUAUGUUGAUUUAAGCAGUGUGCUACUUAGGCCUUAAGGUCACCAAAAAUACGGUUUUAAUUAAUUCAGGGGUAAUAGGACCUCCUUUAAAUUGGAGUAUGUCUCAACAAUUUCGUUUAGAGUUCAGAAUGGAAAUAGUGCAUUUUCUCUUACUUUAUUACAAUGUUUUUGAGAGUGGGAUCAAUAAACCCACACCAACCUAUUCUGUCAAAGGUAAGGUACGAGUCUGACAGAAUUUAGUAAUUUCGAUUCAAAUUUAAUUUGUAUUUGUUUUUAAAAUAUAUACUUAAUAUGUACAAAUUAUUAGUUUAGAAUCCACUACCACAAAGGGGAUAGAAUCUGUCGUCACUAGGGGCAGUUCUAGAGGAUCGGGAGGGUGUUAACCCGAAUCCCCUUGACUACGUUGUCCCCUUGACUACAUUGUAUAUAUAAGGUAAUGCAAACACUAGCAGCAAGCUGAAUGUGCUAAAGUAGCAUAUGUACCAGUUAUAAAUGCAAUUACAACUGCGGACAUGGACAGAAGCUGCAAAAUACUUGUGAUCGCAUAAAGCCUCUGUGUAUAUAACUGUCAACUAUUAUAGUUGCAGUCAUGCCGAAGUAGGUACCUACAGAAACAACUGAGCAUGUAAAGGAGAUGACAUCCACAACAACAAGUGCACAAAACACUGUUCUCCAUAAUAGAAUCGACAUCCCUUUGUUAGGGCUAUCGAGUAGUUUGGUGAGCAGUCUUGGUAUACAGCGAUUAUCAUUGGCUAAAUGUUAACAAACAGUCCAAAGAACGAACAUUUAUGUAAGGACUGAAAUAAUCCGCAAUUCCAGCUUUUUGUCUGCCUCUUCGAAGCAACACUUAUCAUAUAAUAGGUCAUCACUAGCGCAACCUUGAGUGUUCUCAUGAUUCACUAGUUGAUAAUAACAGUGAUAAAAGAGUAUCAGAUGCCAUAUAUUUAUAUCAAAUAACGUUCACAAAAUACAUUCAAUAAUCCUAUGUGAGAUUGAAUCUAGUAUCGCUUAACCAUACGCCAUACAUUUAACAGAAGAUAGAACAUAGGGAAAAAGAUGCAACCGAUGACACAGACAGUAACAGCGAGACCAACUGAAUGUGCUAAAGUAACAUACAUACCAGUUACAAAUGCAAUUACAACUUCUGACAUCGCCACAAGCUGCAAAAGAAUUGCUAUAAUAAAGCGCACAGCUAUAAGUUUUAAUUCUUUUCCAAUUGCUGCAUUUAUCGCAAUGUAGAAGUAGAAGAGUACAGCAAAUGUAGAGCAUGUAAAGGCAAUGGUAUCUGAGACAACAAAUGCACGGAACACUGUUUCCCUUAUUAGAAUCGCCAUCCCUUUAUUAGAACUAUUGAGAUCGCUUUCAAAACCUCCCGGUAAGGUGAAACCUGCUGUGAAGGUCACGCCAACUAGUAGUGUGGCAACUACUAGAUGUAUUUGAGUUGCUUCUUCAUUUUCUUCCAUUUAUCUCAAAAUCACGCCGUCCUAAUCGACAAUAGCGAAGAUUCCGCUUGAAUGUCCGUUUCGCCUAUUUUCAUCAUGUGGUGAGUUUGUAUAUAGUAAAAGAACAUGUUAAUAAAGGAUAAAAUCAGCUCCUAUUUUUUUAAAUUUCAAAUUUAACAGUUCCUUCUCUCUAGAACUCUUGUAUAUAGAUAAGUAUUAUCCUUGUCUUAGUUUAUCUCUUUGUUGUAUUGUAUUUAUAUAUACUCAGUCUACAAUCAAUGAGAAGCAUCUUCCUUUUAUUCCAUUAACAGUUUUAUACUUCAUACAUGUAACUUCAGUAGCUAUACAUCCUCUACGUAAUAUGUACUAUUAAAUAAAUUUGAAGAUUCAUAACCAACAAUCUUUAUGUAUUUAGUUGCAUACGGGUGAGAAUAAUUACAUGUAGUCGCGGAAUUACCAAUAGAUUGUAGCUGAAUUGACCAUAGAUUUUGAAGUUGAAACUUGAAAAUUCAAGUUUUUGAAGUUGUGAUCUUGGAACAUGCCAAAUUUCAAGUCCAAACAAAGAUUUUUGAAAAUAAAUUUUCAAAAUCUAUGGCUAAACGCUAGCAAAGUAACAUGUAGGUAUGUACCAGCUGUGUUAUCUCUGUGCUAGACUCUGAUAUGUCAAGUGGAGUCUGGUUUUCUUUGUUAAUUAACACCUUCUUUGUACUGGCAUGUCUUUCUAAUUUAGCAGGCACACUUAUCCAGCCAGAGGCAGCAAGCAAAUGGAGAGGAGUGUUGCCAUCGUUAUCUGGCUCGUCAAUAAGGUAAUCAGAUUUUUUAGAAUUCAAUAAGAAUAUGAUUAGUCUUAGUUUAUUAUUCGAUAUGGCAACAUGAAGAGCAUUUUGGCCAUUGUUGUUAAGCGUUUCCAAGCUAUCUGGACAGUGAAAUGAUAGCUCACAUAUCAUGUUUACAUAACCUUCAUUGGCUGCAAUAUGAAUUGAUGUUGCCCAGUCAUUUCCAUUGCCUGCGUGAGUGUAGGCUAAUGAUGUCUUCCACCCCAGCAUUUUACGAAGUACUACUCUAAAUCCUAGUUUAACAGCAUAAUGCAGUGGAUUCCAAUCCCAUUUGUCAGUUUCCUCGCAUAAUGAUUUGUUCCAUUCCCACAGUGAUGCCGCACAAUCUGGAUACAUAUAUGUCGAAUAUUAAAAACUAAAAAAGAAGGCAGUCCGGUGCGUGAAACAUCCUGCAGGUGUAAUGUAAGAAGCCUACCAUAACACAAACAUCAGUGGCUGAAUCCAUAGCUCAGUUCUAUAUAAUAAACAGUGAUUGGUGGCCUUGAACAAAUAGUUAACCGACAUGAUAUAAUUUGGUUCACAAGUAUAAAAAUUUGUCAAUCGAAAGGAGGAUUCAAGCUAUAUACACUGUCAGUUUCAAGUUUGCACUAAUUCAAUUUAAUCAACUUUAAAACCAAAAAUGGACGUGGAGGACUGUGUUACCCUUUGGAGUGACCUGGUACCCAUUUGCUUCAUCCCUAUUUCGAUAAUCAGCAAGUGAAAAAUCACCAUUUCCUGUAAUUCCUUCGUCGCAGCAGUGUACAGGAUUCGAUCCAUUACUUUUUUUGAUUUAGGAGAUUAUGAUCUUGUGAGUUUUUGCUUUCUCAGAGUGAAUUAUUAUAUAGAAAUUAAGACUUAUCUAGGUCUUUGUUUUAGAAUAAUAUAUUCCCUCCGUUCACUUUUACUUGUCAUGUUUCGCUUCUCGACCAUCAAAUUGCAUGGAUUUUGAAAUAGUCUCUCUAUUUCUCUGUGGUAAGGAUAAGAUUUACAUACACUCUACUCUCCCCAUACCCCACCUGUGGGAUUACAUCCAAUAUGUUGUUGUUGUUGUUUUAAGGUAAGAACGAUUCCAACGUACAGUAUUUUGUGUAUAGCUCUCGACCAUCUAAAUUUUUAAAAUCUGCAAUAUUGAAUUAAUCUUAAAAUAUCAUACUGGUCCAUUAAAAGUCUUUGCCAAUAUAUAAAUAUCCUAAUGAAGUCUUCGCGGAGUCCAUUAUUCCUUUUCCCAAAAGAAAGCUUAAAAAAGGAAAGAAGAAAAGCAAAAGCAAAAGGAGAGAAUCAAAAGCAAAAGCAAAAGUAUUGAUUGGUAACUUUGAGUAAAUUGUUAACUAACAUGCUAUUACAGUUAAAUUCACAAGUGUAAAGGAUUAUGCCAUCAGCUAUGUCAUCCGUCGAAAAUUUUGCUCGUUUAUACUAUUACUGUUACAAAACAAGUUCAUCCAUGCCGUUACUUGUUAAUGAUGGUAUUUCAAAAAUACCUUUGACACGUGUCAUCUCACUAGAGAUCCACAUCGUUAAUUAAAAUAACGGAAAAAGGUUCAAAUAUGCCAUCAAACUAUCAUAAAUGUCUCAUUUAUGCCAUCCGUUAAAAGUUUAUCUCGUUUAUGCCAUUGUCGUUACAAAACAGGUUCUCCAUUCCAUUACUUGUUAACGGUGAUUUUUCAAAAUACCGCUUUGCCACACGUCGUCUUACUAUAGGUUCACGUCACUAAUUAUAAUUAAGUUAACUCAACAGCUAAAUAUAUUCUGAGAUAUUCUUAGGCCAGACUCCAAUAGCUGUAAGAAACUGGAAAUUGCAUGUCAUAGACCCAAAUAUGGAUGACUUUAGAUAUUUAACCCCAAUAAAGAAAUGUAUUUAAAGAAUAAUCUUCCUUACUUUUUAAGUAUAGUACAAGUACCAUUUUGCCUCUCUACACCUCAAAUAUAUUUAUUAAACUUUCCAUACUUAUUUGUUUCUCAAAUUUUAUAUUUUAUUAUUUUCACUUUUUUAUUUUUUACUUUAAUUUUAUUAUUCUAUUUUUUUAUUAUUUUCACUUUUUAUUUUUUCCUUUAAUUUUAUGUUUAUCCAACCUUAAUUUUUUUCUCUUUUUUUUUCUUAUUCAUUAUCUAUUUUUUUUCUUUUUUUAAUUCAUUUAUCUCUAAACUUUAUUUUUUUUAUUUUUAGUUUUUAUCAGUUGUCUUUUUUCCCCCAUUUUUCUCAAACUUUAUUUUUAUUUUUUUCUCUCAUUUUUUAUUUUCUCAAUUUUUUUAAUUCUUCGUUUUUUUCUUAAUCUUCAGUAUUUUUUUUCUUGCCUUUUUUUUUCUCACUCUUUUUUUAUUCCUCUAUUUUGUUUGAUCGUUUUUUUCUUUUUUCAGUUAUAUUUUUUUUCCUCAUUUUUAUCAAAAUUUAUUUUUAUUUUCUCAAAAAUUUUUUGAUCUUUAUUUUUUUUUCUUUCCUUUUUUUUCUUAAACUUUUUUUUAUUUUUCUAUUUUGUUUGAUCAUUUUUUUCUUUUUUCUCAACUUUUAUUAUAUUUCGCUAAUAAAUAAAAAGUUGGAUAAUUCGCAAAGGAAUCUUCUUUUUUUGACAUCAUAUCAAAUUUAAGAGCAUGAAUUGUUGUUACAAAGUUCUUUGAAAAUUCUUGAGAUAAGUUGUGUCUCUAAGGCGAGAGUUGUAGAAUAUCUCAUAAAUAAAGACAUAAUGUUACGAAAACAUGGUCAAGAAUCAUACGAAAGCAAUAAUGGGGAAUAAGGUCCCACAAUCUCAACACAACAUCUCUAUAACGUCUGCGAAAUCUCUACUGCAUGACUGAAAUAAAUAUCUAUCUGAAAACUGGGGCAAGGCCCCCAGCAGACCCAAAACUAAUAAAUGAUAAAUGAAACUGGGAGGGAAGGGGGUCAAUACAAAAGUACUGGUACGCAGAGAUAUCAAAACAAAAUAUAAUAUUUUUACAAAAUAUAGUUGAGAGCCGUUUUAAAGUAGUUUCAUAUCAAAUCAUUUGAAAACACAUGGGCGUAAUGUAAUUGUUUUCAACAAUAAUGUAAUGCAGUUGAGCUAGGUGGAAUACCCUACAUAUCACAUUUACACCAACUGUCAAACCUCGGUUGCCGCCGAGAUUAGAGUAUAAGUGAGGGAAAGAAACACAAGAUCACACAGCAGGGUGUCUCGACCCAAUGUCAGUGCACAAGAUCACAACGCAGGGCUCCUAACCAUAGUCCCAACUUGGGAAUGACAUAAAGUCAAGUACGCAAGAUCACAAAGCAGGGUACCAAAUUCCAGUGUCGGCAAACACAGUUUCCAGUGAUGAGCCCUUACACUUAAACGCCUUCUUCGGGCAUCCACCUAUCUCAUGUAAAAUCAAUGCAUUCAAAUUUUAUCUGAUUCAAUCACAUAUCAUAUUUUGUAGGGUAUCUUCAUACCCGACUUGCAAGCCAUCAAUAUCACAUCAUUCUUUCAUGCAACCAUCAUAUUCAUCAUAUUUCAAUGAAACAACCCUCUACUUGCAAGUCAAAAGUCAUAACCAUUUUCGAAAUUUCUCAUGUCAUGCUUGUCAAGAUAAUUUCAAACAUUUCAUAUCAUAUGAGAAUUCAAAACAAAAUCAUAAAGGUAUUUCAUAUAAUUCAUGCUCUCAUGUUAACAUUUUUUUGGAAUACAUGCAUAUACGUAUAUCUUAAAUCAAAUCACUUCGGGAAUAGGCCUAAAGAUCAAAUCAAUAUCAUAAAACGUUUAAAACAUAAUCAUAUUCAUAAUUUCAAAACCCCCAUUUUGAAAACAUGAAAUUUUAUGCCCAUGAGAUUUUUGGAAUAACCCCACGUACCUCUAUAUGCGAAGAUGAUUAUUUUGAAAUCCUAAGGAGAGUUCUUGAGCAAUUUUGAUGAAUGAAGGUGUAUUUUGGGGUAUUUGGGGACUGAAUUUCAUGUUUAUGGCUAAAUAAGGGUGGGAAAAGGACCAUUUUGCCCUAAAAACGGAGUGUUUAAGUCACUUGAGUAAUAAUGUAUGCGGUGCACACCUUAUCUCGUAAUAUAGGUUAUGCGGCGCACUCUUUAUCGCACACAUUAGGUUGUGCGUCGCACACCUUAUGGCAUAAGUUAGGGUGUAGUCGCACACCUUAUGCUGCACGACACACUCCACUUUGCAAAGCCAUAACUUUUUCCUCGGGUGUCGGAUUUUUGCAAAAUUGGUAUCAUUGGAAAGCUAAUUCAAAGAGAUUUCAUUUGAUAUAUAGUAGGCUGUCUAAUUAGUUAUAUACAAAGAGUUAUUACCCAUUGAAGUUGACCCAAAUUUUGACGCUUACUUAAACUCAAUCGAUGGAAAAGCUUUCAACUCGUCCUUGAGUUAGGGGACCUCUAUGAUCUCAAUUCAUGCUCAACUAGAUUUACACACCAUAUAGUUCAUUAAAACACUAUCUUCACAAUAGAUUUAUGGUUUUUGAAUGUGUACAAGUAGAAAUGACAAUUUACGUUCAAGUCUGAAAGUAUGGGGUGUUACAUUAUCUCCCCCUUGGGAUCAUUCGUCAUCGAAUGAUGGGUAGGAACUUGUUGAAGCCUUAAAGGUAUGGAAUAAUGCAGACAUGAUACGUCCUCUAAUAAGGAUACACUGAUUUGAAACCUAACUAUAUGAGUGAAACUACUGAUGUUCUGAAUCUUUAUACCGGGCGUGCAUAUCUGAUGCAUGGAAUACACGACUGAAGCUACUCAUAAGCUGAAUUCUCAUAAUGAACAUGCAUAUCUGACUGAACUGACAUAUGAAUGUAUGACUGAAUACGCAAUAAUAACUGAUGCGAAGCUUGUAAUAAGAAUUUAUGCAUGCAACUGAAUGGGGGUAUCUCCCCCUUGGAACACUAUGCCUUUCUAUGAAUGCUCAAAUCACUAAGAUACUCGGAAAAAUUGAGGCGAUGCACUAGGCACCUACGAAGUGAGUUAGAACUGAACAUCUGGAAUCUGAAUCUAGUACAUGACACAUGAACUGAGUUAUACUCGCAACUACUAGUAUAACUUGGAAUAGUAACAUAUCUGAGAUUUUUACGUAGCAUGAUUAAAUGAAAAGACGAGAAAACAAGUCAUGUGAAUCUGACUGCUAAACUGAUUUGCUGGCCACAUAGACUGAACUAUACUGGAAACUUAUACUCAAUCUGGAGUAUCUUAUCAACACUCCUCCUAACGAAGUCCUAGAAGCACUGGGUAGAAAAAAAAUCUUGGGUAUGAGUCACACAAGACAUCUGACUAUAGGAUCCUAACAUUAACAUUACUCUGCAGCCUGGAAUAUAGACAUAUAACUCAUAAAUCAGGAUGGAAUUGCCAGGCCUUAGUCAAUGUAACUUCUUAAUUUCAAGCUUAACAUACAUCUCGUAUACUCCCUUAACUAUACUAUCCCCCUUAAAUAUCAUAUUCAUUUAAUUCAGCUUAAAAUUCUCAUAUGAGCAUCGACAAAACUUUAUACUAAUGUCUAAAAUAACUGAAUCGUUUCACCACGAUCAAGCCUAACUCUAAGUCACAAAAUACAACAUGCUACACUAUGAUACUAGUCCAACUGCAUGAUUCAACCUCUCCUAUCUUCAUGAAGGUCACAUCUUAAGCAUAACGUGCUUUAACACUUCAACGACUGACUCCGAUCUCUUACUAUGGAUUCACUAACGCAUAUUGUGUUCCUCCCCUUGAAUCCCAACAUGUCAUUCAAGCCUAUAUUGAUAACCACAUAUAAACUUUAAUGCAAACACUCAUGGAAUUAUCUAAACAAGCAUACAAUGUCCCUUUUAUCAACAGGUAAUGUAACACAACGUAUUUUGGGGUAGAAUAAAAACCAUGACUCUGAUGCGUUGAUAAUCCCAGAGCCUUAAAUACUAUUCUAAUUUGGCAUGUUUAUGUAGUCUUAAAUCAAGAUUUAACUGUGGGUUUUCAAAAUUGAUUAGAAAUUCGGAAUCCCCAAUCCACAGGCUUCAAGAAGCACCCAUUAUUUUUCGAAAUAGAGGUACGUGGGGUUUUCCUAAAUUCUCAUGGGCAUAGAAAAAUCAUGUUUUAGAAUGGGGUUUUUGAAUCUAUGUAUAUAUUCAUGUAUUAAAUGUUUUAACAUCAUUGUUUUGGUCUUUUGACCUUCCCCAAAGUAAUUUGAGAAUAUGAAUGUAUGAACCAUGUAUUCAAGAAUGAAUUGUUGUUGAGAGCAUGAUUUUCAGUGAAUUCCCUCUUAUUAUGAAUUUUUCAGAUUUCUCAUAGCAUAUGAAUUGUUUUGCAAUGCAUCCUUGAAAAGCACUUUAUGAAAUGAUUGAACUCUUGUUAUGAUUUAAAGGUGGUUUUAAAUCAUUAAAGAGGGAAUCUAGAAUGAAUGUUUAAUGUUCAUAAUGCAUGUAAUGAAAGAGUGCAUGGAUUUGCUAAAGGCACUAGACCACCAUAUGUUGAUGAAGUUUUUGCAUGAUUUUGACUUGAGUUUCGAAACACGAAAUCUUCUAUAUCAGUUGUAUGUUUUUGGUGGUCUAAAUUAUGAUUUAAAUGAAAGAUUUAGCUUAAUGUAUUAUGGCUCAGAAAUCAUGAAUUGCAAGUCUUGGUAUGACGAUGCCAAUUCAGACCAAUGCCAUAUUAAACUCAGACUAAUAGACAUUUCAGACUAUCAUGAUUUUAGACAUUCAGAAUGUUGCAUGUACAGAAAAGGUUAAAAAUGGGCAUACAGAGAUGUUAGGUGGUUCGCUGAAGAGGGAUUGAGUUCAAAUAACUCACUGCCUAACACCGUGGUUUGCCGACCCGGGUAUAUUAUUAUACGCUGACUUAAGUGUCGUAUGGCGUAUCAAAUUCAAGAACUCCAACCCUUGCGGCAUACUCGGGUUGGAGGCUUCCCCGCCGAGUCAAUGGCGGAUUCCAUAUCGCCUGUGGAAUAUCAAACUUGUAGGGGAUACCACCUAACUCAGAAGUAAUACACAGAUCAGAGUUUGAGAUUUACAGACAUAUUACAUGUUUUCAGAAGGUGCCCAUAUGUUUUUUAGAAACUGUUUUAUGCAUAAUGUUUGAUGAACAUUUUCUCUCACGUAUUAUAUAUAUAUAUAUAUAUAUAUAUGUUUAAUUACUCUAUUUUGGCUUGCUUAACGUGCCAGUACAAUUGUGCUGACCCCCCUUCCUCCCAGGUACUGAGGCGCAGUCUAGGGGGCCAGAUCCUCAGUAGAGUCUACAGAUAGGGUUGUCUCAGAGUUCAGUUGGUGAGCCUUCUUUGCUUCAGAAGGCCUAGUCAUUUAGAUAUUUAUUUCAAUAUGGUUUUUGGUCUGCUGGGGCCUAUCCCAAUUAUUCAGAUAGUAUUUCAGUAGAUAUUUCACAGACUAUUGCAGAUGUUUAUUAAAUAUUAUUGGGCAUGUUCUUAGGCCUUUAACUAUUUUAAAUUUUUGACCAUCUUUCCGUAUUAUUAUGUCUAUUCCGUAUUACUUUGAUCAUAUAAAUUAUGUGCAUGAUUAUCAGAUAGACAGAGGGCAUUCUGGGCCUUCGAGUUUGGGAAUGCUCGUCACGGCCAGGGCCCCGGUUCGAGUCGUGACAGGUAAAAUUUACCCAUCACCACUAUCACCACAUAUAGAGGAGUCACUAAGAGGUUAGGACAUAAAACCUUGAAGCAUGGAAGGAUAUUAUACAAGACUCGACAAUCAACUGAGGCUGGAUAAUAGCAAAUCGACAUCAAGGAUUCAUCAGAGAAGAAAUCUGAACUGGCAUACAUGGCUAUAAGUUGAACAUGAGUUAUGGAAACUGAGCACAUUACAAAGCGUGAAUACAUGAGCCAUGAUUUGCAUGACCUCAAUUUGGAGUUCAUAAUAUAUGGAAUAUGAUCCCGACUGCUGAAUGAGCUGAAGUUCCUCAUUUAGGAAUCUGAAAGAGCACGUGAUUCUCUAUCAUAAGAAUGAUCAUGAACUAUGAUUAUCGAACUUAUAUGUAAGGCAUGAGUAGGUAUUGGGAUCACUAAAAAAUACUGAGAUAAGGAUGGGUUGAGUCUCACCCUCACUUGCUGAUGUUCUAUAUCAUCAUGACAUCACUACUAGAAUCUGAGAGUCUGAUUUGGUUAUUCGUUCUAUCAUUUCCCCCUUGGCUUCAAGCCAUCAUAUUAAGUUUGGGAGAUCUCUUACUAGUUCUAACUGAACUACACUUACGAUAAUUUAUGGUUUGAGAAACGACAGUACACAUAUAUCAUAGAACUCACCCGAAUAACUACACCUGAAAGUGGAAAAUCCACUGCUAUUACUACUUUUUCCGAUACACUCUAUCUUUCUAUAACCCCAAUAGUUAUCGUAUAAUAGUCGUACACUUAUUUCUAUCGGUUCAACCUUCAGAACUCAAACUUAGAUGCUAAUAAUAAUCAUAGAUAUCACCAAGCCCUUGAUGAACCAUACAAAUUUUGACAUAGCCUACCAAUAUCGUAGCUCCAAGCUUAUGUCAAAUUACUAUGAGAAUCAAGAUUGUAUAAAAAGGUUCAAAACUAUCAAUCAAAACUCUUUAACCUGGCCAUUUAGAACCCAUAUAACAUCUACUAGUCUUUCUCCAUCUAGCAACUCAAUGGUACUACUAGCCACACGCAACAUGUAAUAGUCUUAGAGAAAUGCCACUACCUCAUAUCACCUUAGCAUACUUCUACAUCAGACAUACAACAUCAUACUUGACUAUGAAUCAAAUAAACUUAAGCUCUUGCAUAUACCGUUCAAGCUUAUUAGAUUACUUCUAUAUAACUAGUAUCAUUAAUCAAGAAAUCAUCACAUCCACCUUCAUGGCCAUCAACUGUUCAAAACUUAAUGUGUAGUUCUAAACAUGAUUUUACAACCCAACCUUAUGCAUGAUUUUCACUUGGAAACUAUGAAAUGAACAUCAAGAAACACUAGCACACUAGAACUUCAUAGCAACAAUAAUUGUUCUUGACCUUACGGUCUUCCUUAUCAUAUUCCAUUAGCAUGUACUAUUUCAACACAUCAAGCCUACUAAUUUAAUCCCACAAAACAUACAUCAUUAAGAUCAUGCCACUAUUCUUUACAUCCACAUCCUAUAUUAAAUUCAAGCCAAUAGUCUAGCAUCAAUCAUCUACCACCAAUGAAGAAGGCAACAUAAUAUACUAGUCCGUCAAAUCUGAACAUUCUAUCCAAAAACCUCAAAAAUCUACUACAUACCUUCUCACAAGUAGUACUAGUCUACAACUACCAACAAAAGAAGGUCAAGGGGGGGAGUAAAGUCACAUAAUAGGCAUGAUCAACCUUAAUAUGAUAUUAUAACCCCAUACAAUUUUAUCCACUUAUACGAAUUUCUUACCUCAUGCUUACUUACUCAAUCAUACAUUUAGACUACCUUCAAUUUCCACAACAAGCAUGAGUCUAUAAUUAUAACUUACUGGCUAAUAUAACCAUUUUCAUACUUCAAGCAACCGACAAAUCACCCUGACUAACACUUCUUCUUUAGUUUCUACUAAACUAUCAUGCAAGGACGAAGCACCUCUUUACCAACUCAAUCUCAUGCAAAUAGAUUCAGCGAUACAUAUAUUAAACCAACACAAGAACAACAAGUUGCUAGUGAAUCGAAAUAGGCCUCACACGGUUUCACUAGACUUUGAUUUUUGUAUUUUGAACAAGAAAAUGAGAUGAAUGAUAAGACAACUAUGCUAGUGAAUUGAAAGAUCCCCACACGGCUUCAUAAGACUUUAAAUUUUUUUUUUUUCAAAAAACACCAUGAUAACAAGAUUACAUAUUACAAGGGAUAGAAAAUUGACACAUAAUAUUUAAUGGUCUAAGAAUAUACAUAUUAUUCUGUAUAAAUAAAAAUAUGAGUAAAACGCUUCCUCCAUGGACUACCAUGCUAAGAGAGUCCUGUCUCGAUCCUUUUUCUUUCUGAUUUUUCUUCUACCACAUUAGUUUAUCACUAUAAAGGGGUAAAUCAUCCUCAAACAUCGGUUAUUCAACUGAAGUAUUCAUUUACACAAAAUCACCCUCACUCUGACUUCUAACUUUGUGACUUUACAUCGCCAAUUUCUUGGUCCAAUUUCACUACCAAUAGAUCAUGACAACAACACUUUAACUUAUGCUACUAUUCAGGUGGAAAUACAGUUCCAACAUUCUGCUAUACAUUUUCCACAUCUGUAAUAGGAUUUUGAGAGGGACUAGAUACACUUAAUACCUUAAGCUGGAAUACACAACUCCAUCAGGAUCAAUAUUUACAUCAGAAUCAACACAUAUUGAUGCACUAACAGACUCCUAUCGAGUCUUUGCACAAUUUUUAAAAUCUUAUAGGACUCAAUCGGAAAGGACUAUAUCAUGUAGAUUCUAAAUUUUUUGCACUUGAAUCAGCCCAAUAAUGGGACAUGUCUGAGAACAUCAGAGUAAGGAAAGAAUUUGGGAUGACUUUACUUUCAUAUGAGUGACACCAUAGCACAAAUUAGAGUAUGAAAGGGAACAUUCUGACUCUAUUGCAUGGACUAGAACAUGAAGAAAGAGAAAUAUUCCUAAAUGCCUAGUAGCCUUCUACUUAUAAGUGUGGCGCGCUACACACCCAUAAACAAGACUCUAUCCAACACAAUUUCGUAGACACCCUGGGACCAUAAACCGUGCUUUGAUACCAAGUUUGUCACGAUCCGAACCGGGGCCCUGGCCGUGACGAGUAUCCCGAACCAUAAAGGCCCGAAAUACCUCAUAUCUGUCUGGUAAUCAUGCACAUAAUUCAUAUGAUAAAGAAAUGUGGAAGAUAAAUAAUAUUAUGGAAAUGUAGUCAAGAAUCAUACGAAAGCAAUAAUGGGGAAUAAGGUCCCACAAUCUCAACACAAAAUCUCUAUAACGUCUGCGAAAUCUCUGAAAACUGGGACAAGUCCCCCACCAGACCCAAAACCAAGUGACUCUGCAAAUCUGUUUGAGGAAUCUACUGAUUUUCUAGACCCCUAGACUGUGCCUUCGAACCUGGAAGGGAAGGGGGUCAAUACAAAAGUACUAGUAUGUAGAGAUAUCAAAACAAAACAUAAUAUUUUUACAAAAUAUAGUUGAGAGACGUUUUAAAGCAAUUUCAUAUCAAAUCAUUUGAAAACACAUGGGCGUAAUGUAAUUGUUUUCAACAACAAUGUAAUGCAGCUGAGCUAGGUGGAAUACCCUACAUAUCACAUUUAUGCCAACUUUCAAAACUCGGUUGCCACCAAGAUUAGAGUAUAAGUGAGGAGAAGACACACAAGAUCACACAGCAGGGUGUCUCGACCCAAUGGUAGUGCACAAGAUUACAAAGCAAGGCUCCUAACCAUAGUCCCAACUUGGGAAUGACAUAAAGUCAGGUACGCAAGAUCACAAAGCAGGGUACCAAAUUCCCACGUCGGCAAACACGGUUUCCAGCGAUGAGCCCUUACACUCAAACAUCUUCUUUGGGCACUCACCUAUCUCAUGUAAAAUCAAUGCAUUCAAACUUCAUCCGAUUCAAUCACAUAUCAUAUUCUAUAGGGUAUCAUCAUACCCGACUUGCAAGCCAUCAAUAUCACAUCAUUCUUUUCAUUCAACCAUUGUAUUCAACAUGUUUCAACACAAAUAGCCCUCUCGUUUUCAAGUCAAAAUCAUAUCAAUUCUCAAAUCAUUUCAUGUCAUGCUUUUCAAGAUGUUUUCAAACAAUUUACAUCAUAUGAACAUUUUAAACAAAUUCACAUCAAGAGAGGGAUUUCAUAUAAUUCAUUCUCUCAAAUUAACACCUUUUCGAAACACAUGCAUAUACAUAUAUAAUAUGAUAACCCCACGUACCUCUAUAUGCGAAGAUGAUAGGUGUUUCUUGAAGCCUACGUUCUGGGGAUUCCAACUAUGCAAUUAGUUUCAAAAACCCACGGUUGAAUCUUGAGUUGCUUGGAUUUUUAUUUUGAAACCCUAAGGAGAGUUCUUGAGCAAUUUUGAUGAAUGAAGGUGUAUUUUGGGGUAUUUGGAGACUGAAUUUCGAGUUUAUGGCUAAAUAAAGAUGGGAAGAGGACCAUUUUGCCCCAAAAAUAGAGUGUUUAAGUCACUUGAGUAAUAAUGUAUGCGGCGCACACCUUAUCGCAUAAUAUAGGUUGUGCGGCGCACUCUUUAUCGUACACAUUAGGUUGUGCGUCACACACCUUAUGGCAUAAGUUAGGGUGUGCGUCGCACACCUUAUGCUGCACGACACACUCCACUUUGCAAAGCCAUAACUUCUUCCACGGGUGUCAGAUUUUUGCGAAAUUAGUAUCGAUGGAAAGCUAAUUCAAAGAUAUUUCAUUUGAUAUAUAUAGGCUCUCUCAUUAGUUAGAUACAAAGAGUUAUGACUGAUUGAAGUUGACCUAAAUUUUGAUGCUUACUAAAACUCAAUCGAUGGAAAAGCUUUCAACUCGUCCUUGAGUUAGGGGACCUCUAUGAUCUCAAUUCAUGCUCAACUAGAUUUACACACCACAUAGUUGAUUAAGACAAUAUAUUCACAAUAGAUUUAUGGUUUUUGGAAUGUUUACAAGUAGAAAUGAUAAUUUAUGUUCAAGUCUAGAAGUAUGGGGUGUUACAUAACAUGGUAGUGUCAACUCUUGCCCAUGGGGCAUAAUUUAUUAUUUUAAAGUCCUAGAGCUAAGUCUUUCCUCUAAGGCAAUAGUUGUAGAACAUCCCAUAAAUGAAGACAUAUCGUGGUAGGGUCAACUCUUGCCCGUGGGGCAUAAUUUGUAGUUUGAAAAUCUUUGAGCUAAGUCUUGCCUCUAAGGCAAGAGUUGUAGAACAUCUCAUAAAUGAAGACAUAACGUGGUAGUGACAAUUCUUGCCUGUGGGGCAUAAUUUGUAGUUUGAAAGUCCUUCAGCUAACUCUUGCCUCUAAGGCAAUAGUUGUAGAACAUCUCAUAAAUGAAAACAUAACGUGGUAGAGUCAACUUUUGCCCGUGGGGUAUAAUUUUUGUUUGAAAGUCCAUGAGCUAAGUCUUGCCUCUAAGGUAAGAGUUAUAAAAUAUCUCAUAAAUCAAAAUAUAAUGUGGUAGUGUCAACUCUUGCCCAUGAAACAUAACUUAUUGUUUGAAAGUCGUAAGUCUUGCCUCUACAAUGUAGUAGUGUCAACUCUUGCCCAUGAAACGUAGCUUAUUGUUCGAAAGUCGUAAAUCUUGUCUCUAUAAUGUGAUAGUAUCAACUUUUGCUCAUUAUAUGUAACUUGAAUGGAAGAAAUAGAAGAAAAGAACAAAAAUAAUAAAAGUUGUGGAAAAAUUUAUUUACCGUAUACAUUUUAUUUUGAAUUUCAGAAAUAUAGAACUGCCAGAUAUAAACCAGAACCCUCAGAAGGUAGAAAUUUCCUCUCUGAUUUGUCGAUAAACUUUUGCAUCCAUCAAGGAACUCCGCGUAAAUCUUGCUAAUUAUAUGACGAAACAUACAUACAUGUAUCUUUCUGUAAGAUGCAUCUCUUUAAUUAUAUCUCAUGCUUGCGUUUCCUGCCUCUCUAGUUUCUUCUGCAUUUGAAAUUCAUGGAGAUUGUAAUCUGCACAUUGCAGGAACAUCGGAAAAGAAGUCUACCAGUGUGAUAGAGAUGCCAUCGUUGGACCUGAAAACGUAAGUCUUUGCUGCCAUACUUUGCAUAUUUAUUGAUUAUGCAGCGAUCGCAUAUCUUGUAUGUCUGUUCAUUACGGGGCAUAACGUUUAACAUGAUGCCAUAUGAGCAAAAGUUCAUUCGAUUAUCAAUGUUUACUUCAAAUCCAGUGUUCUAUUUUACAACCGCAGAUAUCUCACCCCACCCCCAUCCCCAUCCCGACCCAACGUUCAAUCCACAAGUACAAAUGAGGGAUCAUCUUUUACAAACUUGACAUUUUUAGUAAUAGGACUAUGGGAAUAACAGAAGCGCUAAGAUUGCAGAUGGAAGUCCAAAAGCAGCUUCAUGAACAACUUGAGGUGCGUAGACGAUCAAAGUCUCAAACAUUACUCAUGUAUCUAUUCUUUCUUUUCUUGUACCUGUUUUCAUCGUCAAAUCAGAUGUCGAAAGUCUCUGGAUAAUUGAGAAUGUUAUCUUAAAAAUCUUGUACAUUGUGUGUCUGUGUAGACACACAUCCAAGUUUAUCAUUUUAGCAACAGCUCGAUGUAUUCGAAUGUAACAUGAUGAUAUUGUUCUGUUUUGAAACCAUGCGACUCCCUCAAAUUGCCGAUGACAUGGUCACUAACUCCACUCCGUACCUUUUUUCAUUUUAGCUGAUCAUCAUCCGUGGCAUAAGUAGCUGAUGAAAUAUCCGUAUUCUUGUGUGGCGGGACCAUAGAACCUUGUGGUCCGGUCCCCAGACCCUGUGCAUAGCGAGAGCUUAGUGCACCGGACUGCCAUUUUACGGUUAUUACAAAAAAUAAAUUCUAUCAAGCACAUUCAUAAUUUUAACGUAUCCCUUUCUGCAGAUCCAAAGAAAGUUGCAGUUGCGGAUUGAAGAACAAGGUAAAUACCUCGAAAUGAUGUUUGAGAGGAUGAAGGACAUUGGGAAAGAUUUAAAGGUAUCAUCAUCAAUAACAGAUGAACAUCCUUCACUAUCAACCGAGACAAAGCAUUCGCCUCCAAACGACAAAUCAGAAGCACUCGAGAAAGAUCCUGUUAGUUCGACAAUUGUUCAAGUUCAAGUUCAGGAGGGAAAUCACCGGACAAGAAAGUUCGUGAAGAUCACGACUCAGAUGGUGGAGACUCGUGUUGUUCACCUCCGUCAAAACAAGCAAGAACUGAAGAAAGGUCAGCUCUUCAUGAAUCUUGAUAGACUCAUUUGUAAUAUGUAGCCCAGCAGGAUAGCUGAAAUGUGAAUUGUUGUCUUUGCAAAUGUUAUCGACUUGAUGAAAGCUUCCGGCUUGAAAAUAAUCGUCUUCUUUGGUUGUUUCAUUCACUUUUCCUCUGACCUUAAGGGUCGACUGUGUUCUUCACUAAUCACUGCAUGACUCGAAUCACCAUCUUGUGAGUUUACGAGUAUGCCAAUAGACACACUUGUCUGUCAUCCGGAUUGUUUCAUCAUUCUAUAUAGGUGUCAUACAUACGAGGACGCCUAAAGUGGACACAAUUUUCACUUAAACACCUCAACCAGACCUCGUUCUGAUUGAACACCCAUAAGUAGGCUCAACGUGUACCAAUCAGACAUGCAUCGCUGAAUGGCUGAUAGUGUAUUUUUGUUUGUUUUAGGAACAAGUAUUUACAUAUACUAAUUUUUGGACACGUGCUUUAUCUCGUAUUAGUGUAAUAGAAAAUUUGUCAGGGGUGCGGCAGUCGCUGCAAAACCUUGGGCGAGAGCCCGGGAGGAGGGGACGUCGGUGCGGGUCUUGGUGGUAGUAGCAAAUAUUCAAAUUCCCCUUCCUCUAAAUGAUUAGGUUCAAUGGACUUCUCGUGAUGUCGCGGGCAGCGAACCGCGCAUUUCGCCACGAUCCAAACAUUUCAAUCGCCAACAGCCCCGUCGUGGACGACGCCACCGAUAGCCGACACGAGCGCACAAUGAAGCGCUGUCAACGUUGGUUCGCGGCUGCAUUUACAUGAAUGUGAUCUAUCAAGAAGUCUUAUUAACUUUGCGUCGUUUGGCAAUCACGAAAAGGUGCAAAAACAUCUUGUGUUUAUGUUUUGUUCAAUUUUGGCCAAGAACAUCCCUUAUAAUGUAUCACCAUAGACAAAAGACAUGCUUAUUAGUUCUUUAAGUUGACAAAUGGCAUCCAACUUUUAGAGUGAUUUAGGCAAAAGAAACCAAGAUAAUAUAUUACAUACAAUAAUAAGAAGAGAUAAGCAUCCAGUACCCCUCGAAGUACGACCAAAGUUACUACGACACACUCCAACUUCACAGGGGUCUUAUUACCCCCGAACUCAAUUUUAGUGUAUUUUUGUCACCUUUUGUGCUGACGUGGCACCUAUUUUACAUAGAAUGGGGCGUGCAGUCUUAGUGCUUCUGUUAUUCCCAUGGUCCUAUUACCAAAAAUCCAAAUAGAGUUUUAAGAAUAAGUCUCAAAAGAGAAAAAGACUUGCAAGAAGAAACUGUCACGACCCGAGCCGGGACCCUGGUCGCGAUGGGCAUCUUGAACCAUCAAGGCCUGAGAGACCCCUAUAACGGCCCACCUGAACCAUCAAGGCCCAAGAGGCCCUUGUAAGAGCCCAACCCACUUGUGAUAUUGUCCGCUCUGGGUCUAGGGCCUCACGGCUUUAAAAUGCGUCACUAGGUAGUAAGGCUUGCUUACUUAUAUACCCAACAUCUCUCCUGUGUUUUGCGAUGUGGACUCCUUAUCCUAAGUUGGGGUGUUACAAAAACUUUGUAUAUAAAUGUUAAGUUUGUAGAAGAUGAUCUUUGUUUGUAAUUUUGUACUGAAAGUUGGGUUGGGGGGUAGGGACGAGAUAUUGCCAGUUGUAAAAUAACACACUGUAUUUGAAGUAAAAAUUGACAAUCGAAUAAACUUUUGCGCAAAUGGAGUCAUGUUAAACAUUAUGCCCCGUAAUGAAAAGACAUACAAGAUGUGUGAUCGCUGCAUAAUCCAUAAAUAUGCAUAGUGUGGCAGCAAAGACUUACGUUUUCAGGUCCAACGAUGGCAUCUCUAUCACACUGGUGGGCUUCUUUUCCUGUGUUUCAAAGUCGGGCAUUGAUAUGAAACAUGCAGAAGAAAUUAGUAUGAGAUAUAAUUAAGGCAUAAUACAUAAAUAUGACCCAAAACUUGACACGAAAUUAUAACAUUGACCUUAAACUUUGACAGUGCACAAAUAGGCCCUUUAACUAUACAAAACUGAACAAAUGUGACCUCCGAUCCUACGUGGAAAAACACGUGUUGUACACGCAAAACUGAGCGAGUUGGAGUACGAAUUGAAGGAUUUUUUUGUUCAGCUUUUGUAUAGUUAAAGGGCCUACUUGUGCAUUGACAAAGUUAAAGGUCAUAUUUAUAAUGUGUCUUUUUUAUUAGGUGGCAGCAUCUGAUUGGAUGGCUAAUCAACGUAGGCGCAAGUGAGGUACAUGUGUGUAGUUGUGAAAUCGGAGGUCAUAUUUAUUCAGGUUUUGAAUAGUUAAAGGUCCUAUUGUGCACUGUAAAAGUUUAAGGUCACUGUUAUUUCGUGUCAAAUUUAGGGUCAUAUUUAUAAAUUAUGCAUAUAAUUAAAGAGAUGCAUCUUACGGAAAGAUGCAAAAGUUUAUCAACUAAUCAGAGAGGAAAUUUCUACCUUUUGAGGGUUCAGGUUUAUAUCUGGCAGUUCUAUAUUAUGGAGGUUUUGAGAGCGAUCUCAAUAGCUCUAAUAAAGGGAUGGCGAUUCUAAUAAGGGAAACAGUGUUCCGUGCAUUUGUUGUAUCAGAUGCCAUUGCCUUUACAUGCUCUGUUGGUUCUGUAUUCAGCUACUUCUAUAUUGCAAAAAAUGCAACAACUGCAAAAAAAUUAAACUUAUAACGAGGCGCUUUAAGAUAGCAAUUCUUUUGCAGCAUUUAGCAUUGUCAGCAAUUGUAAUUGCAUUUAUAACUGGUAUGUAUGCUACUUUAGCACAUUCAGCUGAUCUCGCUGCUAGUCUUUGCAUUACCUUAUAUAUACAACAUAGUCAAGGGGGUUCGGGUAAACACCCUCUAGAACUGCCCCUGGUGACGAUGAUUCUAUCCCCUUUGUGUUAAUUAAUGGAUUCUAAACUAAUAAUUUGUACAUAUUAAGUAUAUAUUUUAAAAACAAAUACAAAUUAAAUUUGAAUCUAAAUUACUAAAUUCUCCCAAAAUCGUACCUUUGACAAAAUAGGUUGGUGUGGAGUUAUUGAUCCCACUCUCAAAAACAUUGUAAUAAAGUAAUAAUAAUACAACUGACAUAAAGAUGGCAAGUUGGGCCACAUCUAAGUAAAGACCAAGUCAACUUUUAAUUUCUAUAUAGUGGUAUGGGCUGCGUACAUUUACCCUCCCAAGAUCCCACUUGCUGGGAACAUACUGAGUGUGUUGUUGUUGUUUCACCUCGAGAAAGCAAAUGACUUUCAAGUUCAUUGCAGCUUUAUUUAUUAAUUAUCCGUAACCUCCUGAUCACAUGACAACAACUUUAUCAAUCACUCCAACGCUCCCCGUGAGAUGAAAGAAUAGUCAAAAAUACAUUUCACAGCUGGUUUCACGUUAUGAAAAUGAUAUUGAUAGCCUUAUAUGACAUGACUGAUUAAUUGACAGUAGCUUGGUAUUUGUCUAUACUGAAAAAGUAAAGGUACAGUGUUACAGUACAUUAAUUAUGUAGGGACAUCAUCAAAUAUAAAGAUGGCAAAAAGAUGCAAUUAUUGAUAGCUGGAAAAAGAUAUUUAGGACUCCUACUACAACAAACAAAGUGAAACAGAGGGAAUUAUUGAAAUACAGUUUGAAGUAAUAUAUGUUUCAUGAAAUGAAAUUAUAAAGCAUAAAACCCAACCAAGAAGUUAUCAUUUCUUCCAAUCAAAGCAAAUAACAAAUGCCUUUCUUUUAGUCAAAGGCAAAUAGUGAUACUUAGAUAGUUGGAUUUCUACUUUGGAGAUUCAUACUUUUUCUAUAUAAUGGUUUUGCAUGAAGGGUAAAUGAACUCGGAGCUAGCAAGACAACAG